rnacentral:lncRNA from 1 species
AAAAAUCAUAACUAUCUAUCAAACCAUCUUCUCCUUUAUCUUCUGAUACAGUUGAUAUUGUUGAUGGUGAAUCGGUUUUGGAACAACUUUUAUGCAGUAUAGGUCCACAAAGAAAAGGGUUUCCUUCAUAACUGUUUUCAAUAAAGGUCUCAAAUUGAGCUUUUGGUUCGGGAAUACUACCUGACAAGUUGUUAAAUGCCACGCUGAAAACCUCCAAAGAGUUUAACUCUACCAAUUGAUUGGGGAUUUCACCACUUAAGUUGUUGUAAGAAAGGUCCAAACUCUCAAUUUGAUGUAGUUUUGAGAGUGACGAGGGUAUAACUCCGGUCAACUUAUUGUGUGAAAGGUUUAAAGAAUGGAUUUCACUCAAGUUCCCUAAUUCUGGUGGGAUAUGACCAGUUAAGUUGUUGCAAGAUAAAUCAAUCCCAGUCAUAUAUGAAAGGAUGUCGCCCUUGUAUGAAUAGAACCCACUCUUUGUUGUGAACUCUAUUACUUCUUCUAAGUAGCUACUAGGAUAGUAAGAAUCCAUUCCCAAAUUUAGUAUCAUACUGCGUGUUGUUUCAUCCUCUUCUAUAGAUGGCCCAUAGAACCAAGUUUCUAGAAUCUUCUUCGUUUGCAUUGGAAGAGAUAAAUUUCCCAAACAAGAAGGUAUAGGACCAGAAAACAUAUUUUGAGAAAGAUCUAUGAUGCUUAAAGAAUGCAACUUGCAUAACUCAAUAGGAACUUUACCAUGAAAAUGAUUAUCUUUCAAGAGAAGAACACUCAAAGAAGAAAGCGUGUAAAUCCAUUUUGGAAUACUACCUGUCAAAUUGUUUCCUCUAAGAUCUAAAGUCACUAUUGAAGAGCUAUUAUAAAAAGCAAGUGAUAGUGGGCCUCUCAGUCUAUUCCCGUGGAGGUGGACAUGCUCUAUGUAUGGUGGAUUAAAACAUGACGGUAUAGAGCCAGAUAAAUUAUUUUGAGAAAGAUCCAAAAAUUCCAACCUAUUCAACUUGCAAAAUUCCAUUGGAAUGGAACCUUCAAAACCAUUGUUGGACAUAGCUAAUCUCUGCAAAAACGAUGCAUUCCCUAUCCAUCUUGGGAGCUUUCCAUGCAACUUGUUGUUACUGAGAUCAAUUUCGCUUAGUGAAUUUGGAAACUCAAAAGUAGACACAUCAACAUUUGUCAUCUCUCCUGAAAAAUUAUUUCCAUCCAAAUAUAAAUGCUGCACCCCAUUUGCGCUGAGAAUCACAGGAACUACAUUUCCACUGAGGUUGUUAUUUGAUAGUCUCAAAAUGGUCAGUGAGCCUUUCGUGAUCAACUCUUCUGGUACUUUUCCAUACAAAUGAUUGUCUAAUAGAUCUAAAAAUGAUAAGUCCUUCAUGCCACUUAAACAAAGUGGGAUAUUAUCUUCAAAAGCAUUCUUGGAUAAGAAUAACCGACUCAAAUGUGGAAAAGUUGAACAUAUACCAGUUGGAAUUUGACCUUGUAAUUUGUUUUCAGAUAUGUCAAUUGAAGAUACAUCAGAAAUAAGAGCCGACGAAAGUGAGAGAGGACCUGUAAAUGAAUUACCCUUCAAGAUGAGAUCUUCUAACUUUGUGUUGUUUUCUAGCAACCAAGUUGGUACAGUUCCACUGAGAUUGUUAUGAGAAAGAUCCACAUAUCUCAAGUCAUAUUGGUAGUAAAGGAAGGUAGGAAAUUUACGAUUGAGUUGUUGAGAUGCUAUGCACUUUGGCAAUCUGAUGACUUCCAAUUGGAACUUUGGGAUUGAGGUAUAAAAGGAAGAUUCCAUUACCAUCUUGUUUUCAUUAAUCGAAAGGGCUUUGAGGUUUGAAAGGUUUGCAAAUGGUGCAAAUGACAGCGGAAUUUGAAAAUGGUUUCUUGAAACAUCUAACACACGAAGAGAUGUCAAGUUACUAAAACAACGAGGAAGCAUCCCCUCAAGUGCAUUGUUGCUCACAUCCAAUACUUCAAGGUUCUUUAGAUCACACCAUCCUGAAAAAUUUAUAAAUUCAUGGAAGAAAUUUUAAUUAAAUUUGGUCCUAUUAAAUAGAAUAGGAGAUAUUAUAUUACAAAAGCUAGUAAAGAAAUCAAUUUGAGCCAUAAAAUUAUUUACCUUGAUUAGGUAAGGGACCAAUAAGUCCACAAUGAUAUAAAGACAAUGUUUUAAGAGAAGCGAAUACUCCAAUGCUUUGCAAAAUGUUGGUGUUGAGAGUAGAAUAGUCAAGAUAUAUUUCCUCCAAACUGCUCGACACAUUUGAAUCUAAGCAAUGUCAAGAGGUAUUAGAUAACGGUAUUAUAGAAAGCCUCUACUAAGUAGAAUGCUUUAUUUUCUGUGAAUGAAAUGAAGUAUAUAAAUAUAUAUAUAUAUUUUUUAUGAGUUAGAUUAUUCAUGAUUUAUCUGAGAUAAAUUUUGAUAGAGAGAAGAUGUUGAAACUUUAAUAUAACUCUUCAUCCAUUUUAUUAAUUAUACUAUUUUUUUUCUUUUUAGUAUUUUCUUAUAUUAUUUUUUAAUAUAAGUAAUUAACUGAUAUAGCUAAGUUGUAUAAUUUUCAAACUCCAAUCAACAACACUAUAAAUAAUAUUUAUAAAAUAAAACAUGUCUACACUAAAUGUAUGUUUAAAUUUCAUAAAAUUGAAGAUAUUUUUAAAUUAUUCAAAAUUCACAUGUCUACACUAUAAAUAAUAUUUAUAAAAUAAAACAUGUCUACACUAAAAUUAUUAUAUUACCUUUAAAGAUGCCAAUAGUAUAUAAAAAAAUCAAAUAGGUAUUUUACUCAACAAUAAAUAAAACUCAAAAGAAUUAUAAGUAAACUCAGCGGAUUAAAUGAAAAUUUUAAAGCAUUAAAUCUUGGCCCAAAAAUAGAGUUAAGUUAAAAUUCAAAAUUCAAAAUUAUUUUAUUAAUAUUGUUAAAAUUAUUUUAUUAAAUCCAUGUUCAUUACGUCAUUUUUUUAGUUACAUUACUACUAAGUUUUUUUUUUAUUUCAAAAUGUCACACCAACAAGCUAUUUUAAAAUUUUAACAAUUUUAACAAUUUAACUAGGAUUUUGAUUUUUUUUUAUAAAAAAAACAGGGAUUAAAUUCUUGAAAAUAAAAGUAUAAGAAUUAAAUUACAAAUUAGUAAAGAGUACAUAGACCUAUCAUAUUUUUUAAAACCAAAAAGUUAAAAACAUAUGCACUUUGAAAUUUAUAAAAAGAUUGCAAUGGAAGUUUAAGCACCUCUCAAUGUAUGUUUAAAUUUCACAAAAUUAAAGUUUUUUUUUAAAUUAUUCAAAAUUGACAUUUAUUUAUUUUUGCCAAAAAAUGCCAUUUAUUUAACGCUAAUAUGUAUUUUUAUGUUUUAUACUAUUAAAAAUAUAUGAAAUUAAAAUAUAGUUAUAUUACAUAUUUUCUCAUAAAUAUAUGUUUUUAUUUAUUUAUAAUAUCAUUUUUUAUUGUUAUAAUUAUUUUUUAUCUCAUAAAAAUUCAAUAAAUUAUUUUAAAAAAUAUAUUUAUACAAACAAAAUAAUUAUAAACAUUAAUAUUUUAAAAUGAUGAAAAUUUUAAAGAAUUUUAGUUUCAAACCAAAGUCCAAACACAUUAUAAUGGAUGAUUUAGAAAAUGUUUCACCAAACCCAUAUUUUACUUUCAAGUAUGAUAUGAUAUAACUUUAUUAAUAUUUAUGACAAUAACCGUUAUUAUAAUAUUUGACAUCAAAACUAAAUUUCUAAAUUAAAAAAAAAAAGGAAGUUUAAUUAAAUGAUACCUUGGUGGAUCACCAAAUCUUUCAAUUCAUUAUAGCUCAUAUCUAGUUUCCUUAAGUUGAUAAAUGCUUCCAAAUCUAGGAAAACAAAAACAACAAAUCAACUUCAUUAUAUUCUCUUAAAACAUUAUUAUAUUCUUGUUAAAAAACUAAUACUUUUACCUUUCAUAUCUAUUGAUCCUUUCAAUUCAUUGCCUCUUAUGCUCAAAGAUUUCAAAUUUGAAAGCUUGUUAAGGGAUGCAAAUACACUAGUAUUGAAGUGAUUUCCAUCUAAAUUAAGCUCUUCCAAGUGGGUCAAUUCCAAUUUUCUACCAUCAUCUACAAAAGAUUUAUAUAAUUUCAUCAUCUACCAUCACUAAUUUCAUCUACCAAUUUGUUAAAUUGCUCAAUCCUAUACAUAUCCACGUACAAUUCAAAAAAUCAUUAUGUUAAUAAUUUUAAUUUCUACUUAAUAUUUUAAUGAAAUAAAAAUGAAAAAAAAAAGUAAAUCUAAAACUUGAAUUGAAGAUAAAAAUCCUCAAACGUGAAAUGUGAAUGUUCAAAUUUGAAACAAUUAAUUUUAAAAGGCUCUAGAAAGAAUUAUCAAGAAAAACAAAGUUAUAGCUUUAGUACCUUUAGUAUCUAAUGAGCCUUGCAAACGGUUGUUGAACAAAGUCAAAGACUUUAGGCUUGAAAGCCCUUGAGGAAAGGAAAUUGUGUUGUUCCGAAAGAGAUUACCACUCAAAUAAAGUUCCUCUAAGUUUGUUAGCCUCAAUUGUGUUCCAUCUAUCAUUGGAAGAAAGUAAUUAGUAUAGUUAACAUCAUUCAAGAUAUAAAUAGUUAGGAAAAAUGUUUGUUUGAGAAGGAAGAGCCAAUUUACAAGCUUUCCGAUGAAUUGAUUCAAUAUAUAAAUACUUUGUUUGAGAUACCUUCCUACUUAAAUUACUCAAUUUUGAAAUUUAAUCCCAAAUAUUGAUUACUUAUAUAUAUUCAUGAUAUGAUAAAAUCAAAUGACUUAUUGCAACAACUUUUCCUUCAACAUGAAUUUAUUUUAAAGAAUGCUAUUCUUCAAAUAAUUCCAACUUAUAUCAAUAAUUUCCAAUUUAAUGAGCCAUUGAAAACCUCAUUUAUAUAUUAUAUAAUUAGUUACUACAAAACUUAAAUAAAUAAUAAUACUCCAUUUUUGCAAUAAAAAUUCACUAAAGAAAAUACAUUUGAAGUCUGUCAUUGCCUUUUGGAAUAAGAGUCGGUCAAGAAAGUUACUAUGCAGAAAUACUUAUACCUUUGUUUGAGAUGCUUUCAAUGUCGUUCCAACUUAAAUCCAAGUACUUCAAAUUUGUCAAAUUAUUCAAUCCUGAAAUUCAAUCCCAAAUAUUGAUCAGUUAUAUAUAUAUAUUCAUGAUAUGAUAAAAGCAAAGACAUAUUGCAACAUUAACUGUCCCUUAAACAAAAAUUGGUUUUAAAGUAAAAAAGAAACAUAUAAAACCAGUCUACCUUUAAUAUGAAUUGACAUAUAAAUACUGUACUUAUACCUUUGUUUGAGAUGCUUUCAAUUCUGUUCCAACUUAAAUCCAAGUAUUUCAAGUUUGACAAAUUAUUCAAUCCUGAAAUUCAAUCCCAAAUAUUGAUUAGUUAUAUAUAUUCAUCGUAUGAUAAAAUCAAACUUGAACAUACAUUGAUUUUUAAAUCAAGGAUGAAAGAUUUCUCAUAUGAAACAAAAUGCUAUUCUUCAAAGAAUUCCCACUUAAAUCAAGAGUUUCCAAGUUAUUGAGUCUUGAAAGCAAUUGAAAACCUGAUAUAUAUAUUUACUUGUUAAUUGUUUUUUCUUUCUUAGCCAUAUGAAAAUUUUACUAAAGCAAAAGUGGAAUUACGACGGAUAAAAAGAAUGGAAAACUAGGUACCAAGCCUAGAAGACCAUCCUCAAACUCCACUAUACAAAUAAAAACUAACAGCAGACCAAACUUAAUUUACCUCUUUGAUGACCUGAUCCUUCAAAUUUGUUGAUUGAUAGAUCUAAAUACCGGAGAGAUGAAAGCUCACUCAAAGAUAACAAAAUGCUAUCAUUCAAGUAAUUGAAACUUAAGUCAAGGAUCUCCAAAUUACUCAAUGUGGAUGAUAGUUUUCCAAAGCCUAUAGAAAUAUUCUUUUAAAUAUAUACAAGUUAGUGACUUUUCUUCCAUAAAAUAAAAUAAAAUAUAAGUAAUUGCAAAUUAACGAUGGUAAGAGUAGUGGGAUAAUAAAAGAUGUAAUUAAGGAAAAACUAGAGGCACGACCUUCAUUUUCAAGGUUACCACUUAUGGCAUUCCCCCGCAAAUAAAGACUCUUCAAUUCCUCAAAGGGAAGAAACAUAGAGGUAUUGAGAUACCAGGCAUUGAGAUUCCUAUUAUCCGUUUUGUAUCCCAUACUGUCAAACCAUCUUGUAGAAUUAAGGGAGAGUUGUAUGAGUCUCCUAGUGGUGGUGUUACACUCAACUCUUUCCCAUUUACAACAAUCUGAACCCUUCACCUCAACCCAACUUUGCAAUUGAUUUUGAUAAUUGAAGAAAGGCUUGAGAUGCAAGAGAGCGAUUCUCUCAUGCUCCAAACAAGCAUCAGUAGUACACCAUCUGCAUCCUUCUAACACCAACAACAUUACUGCCAUCCUAAUAAGCCUUAACCAUUUCCACUCCAUCAUCAUCAUCUCUCUGUUUUCACUUCUCUCUCAGUUAUAUGUUACUUUUUGUUAACUUCUAUAUGUAAAUAAUCUAAAGCAGCCUAACCUUCUUAUUUAUAUACAAGCAGAACAUACUGGAUCCCACUAAUUCACUAUAAUGUAAAAAUAAUAUAUAAUUAAUUAAUUCCUCAAAAAUUGGAUCAAAAUCUAGGCUUUUUAUUUACGUAAAUUCCUUAUUGCAAAAACUCCUGGUGGAAAUUCGUUAGGAAAGGAUGAAUGGACCACAAGAAUGUUGAUGUUAAUCUUGAAAAACGAAUGGCCAAAAAAAUAUGAAAAGUGAGAGGUGGACAUAAAAUCUUGUGGUUGGGGUUGCAAAAGUCUUCAUGUGGCUUUCUUGUGAGCUUCAUUUAUACCCUUCUUACACAUAUACAAACUUAGUCUUGACUUGGCUUUAUUAAUGGAAAAUUUAGGUCUUCAUUUUUGGUUUCAUUCAUGGAAAUUUUACUUCUUUGAUUUUGAUUUUGCUUUUAUUCUUGCACAUUUUAGGUUUUGAUUUUGAAAAUUUAGUUUUUUUCAUCUCUAUUAUUAUAAAAUUUCUUGAUUUAAUUAAUAUCAUGAGUUAAUUUAAUAUUUUAAAAAAUAAAAUAUUACAUUCACUAUUUUUAAAAAAAUAGGAGUAACUAUAAAAUUUAAUUAUUUAUAUAAUAUUUUUAUAAAAAAACUAUUUAUUUCUACUAGACCACUACUUUAAAACUAUCAAUUAUCAUAUAACUUCUCUUUAAUAAUUCACUAUUCUUUGAACAUUCAUUAGUUUUUGAAACAUAAAAUUUAUAAAUAAUUAUUUUUAAAAUGACUUGAGUUUUACUUGAAUCAUUUUUGUAAUUAGUUAAUUAAAUUGGGUUAUUUUUAAAAAAAAUCCUCUUAACUAAUAGCAAAAAAAAAAAAAGAAAAAAAAAAGCCAUCAUGUAGAAAAUUCUGGUUUGUUGGAAAGAUAAAGACUUGCACCAUUACUUUAAAUUUUGAAAUGUUCAACUUGAUAUUGACAUCUGAUAAUAUGUACAAAUUUCUCAUUGUUUUGAAUUUUAGUGAUAUUACACAUAUGAUAAUAUGUUUGUCACACCAAAUUUUGAAAUAGUAGAACUUAAUGAAUUUAACAAAUACUUAAUGAAUUUAAGAAAUAUCUAAAAUAUCAAAUUAAAGUCUAGGAAUUAAAUCUACAACUUCAGUAAAGUACAAGAACUAUUGUAGAAUUAAACCUUUAUAUAAUAAUUUCCUUCUAUGAACCACAAUUCAAGUGCACCCCACAAGCAACAUUAAAAAAUUGGCAUGUGUCUAUUUUUUUAAAAAUAUUUAUUUUUUUAAUAUUAUAUACUACACCUCUAUAGGAUACGUGUCAAUCCUUUAACUCUCCUUAUGGAAUUUAAAAACUCCACUAACAAUGUACCAAAUAUUAAUCCUAAUUAUUAUACUAUUCAUGGAUAAAGAUAAAAUAUAAUAUUUGCUUAAAAAUCUCAAUUAUAUAUAUUUGGUCACCCAUUGUGAUGUAAUAUAGCACCGUCUACAAAAUAGUUGGAGGAAAGUGUUAAGAAAAUAUCAUUACAUAUAUCAACAUUCGCAUAAUUCAUUGCAUUAACUUUCAAAUGUUAACUAUUGACUUCUGCGUCAACUUUGAGCUUAUAUAGGUCCCCCUCAUGGAAAUUGAGAAAAACAAAUUAAUAUGUAUAUUCUUGUGGGUGGAAAUUUAGUGGAGAUGCCCAUCAUCUUUCCUAAUUAAUAAAAAUGAAGACUUAGAAAAUGUGCAAUCAUAAUCCUAGUCGUCGUUAUGGCCCCAAGAAUAGUUAUCUUAAUUUGUCUCUCUUCAGGAUUAAAGAUAAAAAAUAAAUUUUAUAAAGUUAGAACUAUAAUUUUAUAAUUAUAUUAACAUAUAAUUUCAUAAAAUUUUAAAAAUGUAUCUUUUAAUUUUUUAAUUAAAUUGAUAAUUCGUUAACUCAUAAUAUUAUUUUAUUUUUCAAAAUAUUUACGAGAACGAGUUCGUAUUCUAUUGUGUGGAAAAUUUUAGUACAGAUUAUUAAGUUAUUGGAGAAGCCAAAUCCAACUUGUUUGACCAAGAAAGUUUUUGUCGCGUGGAAAAUGGACAUUACCAUUUCCUUGAAUGACCUUCAAUUUAAUGUAUUCACACCAAAUUUCAUUAAUGAGUAAAACAAAUAAUGAAUAAUAAUGAAAAUUGGAGGAAAUUGUUAAGAAAUUAUUAUUACAUAUAUCAACAGUCACAUAAUUCAUUGUAUUAACUUUCAAAUGUUGACUAUUGACUUUUACAUCAACCUUGAGCUUAUAUAGGCCCCCCUCACGGAAAUAAUCUCAUAAUUAAUGCCUGAAAAAUUAUUAUACAUCAAUUUACAGUUUUAAUCCCUAGACUUACUCAAUUGAAUUAAAAUUUUAGUUUUUAUUAUUUAAUUUGAACUAUUACUUUAGAUUUUGAAAUGUUCAACUUGAUAUUACAAAUUUCUCAUUCUUUUGAAUUUUAGUGAUAUUACACCUAUGAUAAUAUGUUUGCCACACCAAAUUUAGAAAUAGUAGGACUUAAUGAAUUUAAUAAAUAUCUAAAAUAUCAAAUUAAAGUCUAGAAAUUAAAUCUACAACUUCAGUAAAGUACAAGAACUAUGGUAGAAUUAAACCUUUAUAUAAUAAUUUUCUUCUAUGAACCACAAUUCAAGUGCAUCCCACAAGCAACAUUAAAAAAUUAAAAUGUGUCUAUUUUUUUAAAAUAUAUUUUUUUUAAUAUUAUAUACUACACAUAUAUAGUAUACGUGUCAAUCCUCUAACUCUACUUAUGGGAUUUAAAAAAUCCAGCAACAAUGUACGAAAUAUUAAUCCUAAUUAUUAUACUGUUCAUGGAUAAAGAUAAACUAUAAUAUUUGCUUAAAAACCUCAAUUAUAUACAUUUGGUGACCCAUUGUGACGUAAUAUAGCACCAUCUACAAAGUAGUUGGAGGAAAUUGUUAAGAAAAUAUCAUUACAUAUAUCCAACAGUCACAUAAUUCAUUGCAUUAACUUUCAAAUGUUGACUAUUGACUUCACGUCAACUUUGAGCUUAUAUAGGCCCCCUCCUCAUGGAAAUAAUGUCACAAUUAAUGCUUGAGAAAUUAUUAUACAUCAAUUUAUAGUUUUAAACCCUAUACUUACUCAUUUGAAUUAAAAUUUUAGUUUCAAUUUGAUAUAUUUUGUUCCUCUUAUUAAUAUUAAUGUUAUAGAUUUAUUAAAAUAACUAACAUUAUUAAUUCUCUAACAUUUAAAAAUUAAAAUUAUGUGGUUAUUAAAAUUAUGAUGCUAAAUUGAGAAUUAAAAAUUAUCAAGUUUUAAAUGAUCUCGGGAAUUAAGAAGAGAUCGUGUCCUAACUUAUUGGGCAUGAUCCUUUUUUUUCUCAAGUUUUAAAUGAUCUCAGGAAUUAAGAAAAGAUCGUGUCCUAACUUACUGGGCAUGAUCCUUUUUUUUUUAAAAUCUAAGAUAGCUAAAUAUUUUUUAAAUAAGUAAAUUUUUGGCAUUCAUUCGCGCAUCGGGAAUUCAAGACAUUGUGUCCUAACUUACUGGAUAUAAUUCUCUUUCUCGAUUAAUGUGAAUUAUGGCUUUUUCCCGAAAAUUUUCAACAUUUCAAUAAAGGAUCGUAUUUUAAAUCUCUUUAAAGUUUUCAAUCUUCGAUACUAAGACAUUAAUUAAUCAACUAGGUACCAAUUUUGGGCGUAACGAGGGUGCUAAUCUUUCCUCGUACGUAACCGACUCCCAAACCUGUUUUUCUGAAUUUCGUGGACCAAAAUUAUUAUUUUAUUAAAAUUAAAUUGUUUAUUAAAAAUAACCACUUUUCAAGGUGGCCCGAUCACACCUUAUCAAAAAGGAUUGGUGGCGACUUCCAUAUUCGUUUUCAUUUUUUAAAAUCCAAGUCGACCCCGUUUUCACAAAAAAAAAAAGUGUCAACAAUUAUAUUAAUAUAUAAUUUCAUAAAUUCUUUAAAAAAAAUUGUAUCUUUUAAUUUUUUAAAUUAAUUUAGUAAUUCAUUAACUCAUAAUAUUAAAUUUUUUAUUUUUCAAAAUAUUUACGAGAACGAGUUCGUAUUCUAUUGUGUCGAAACUUUUAGUACAGAUUAUUAAGUUAUUGGUGAAGCCAAAUCCAACUUGUUUGACCAAGAAAGUUUCAGUCGUGUGGAAAAUUUUAGUUUUGUGGAAAAUAUAGAUUAACUUCUAUAUAUGUAUGUAAUCUAAAGAAGCCUAAGCUUCUUAUUUAAUUAUAUACAAGCAGAAGAUAUUGCAUCCCACUAAUUCACUAUAAUAUAAAAAUAAUAUAUGAUUAAUUAAUUCCUCAAAAAUUGGAUCAAUCUAGGCUUCUUAUUUACGUAAAUUCCUUAUUGCAAAAACUCUCGAUGGAAAUUCGUUAAGAAAGGAUGAAUGGACCACAAAAAUGCUUAUCAACUCUUGACUUUGGCGUUCAAUGCUAAGUUCAUUUUAAAAUUCUUUCAUGGAGAGAAGAUGGGAUGACAAGAAUGAUAAGUUUUAAGUCAUUUAAGUUUACACAAAAUUUUAAUCACUCACAAAAAAUCAGUCUUGAUAUUCUAUUAAAAAAUUUAAACAUGGCUUAACGUUGAUUUUAAAUCUAAUGUCGAUGUCAAUCUUGAAAAACGAAUGGCCAAAAAAAUAUGAAAAGUGAGAGGUGGACAUAAAAUCGUGUAGUUGGGGUUAUAAAAUUCUUCAUGUGGACAUAAUAUAUUUUUUAUGCCCUUCUUACACUUAUAUAAAGUUAGUCUUGAUUUCGCUUUAUUAAUGGAAAUUUUAGUUCUUCAUUUUUUGUUUUAUUCAUGGACAUAAUAUUUAUUUUUAUUUUUUAUUUUUGUGUUAUGGUCUAUGUUCGAGGUUUAUGGCUAUCCCCUUUCAACAACGUCGUCUCAACGGUUCAAACAUACACUUGCAGGUAAAAUAAUACUUUUUAAAAUCACAAAUAUUUGAAAUAAUAUAUUGCAGCUAUAUAAAUGCUUUCUUGUUUAAGAUACUAAUAAAGUAAUUAACAAAGUAAUUAUUAUACCUAUAAUAAUUCAAAAUGCCACUUGUUAUCUAAUGAAGUAUAGGGGUGCAAAUGAGACAUCCGUACCCGCAAGCUAUUCGAAUUCGGCUCAAAAAAUUUUGAAUUUGAUUCGGUAAUUAUUGCGCCGAGCUAUAGGUCGAUCCGGAUUCAAGCUUAGUAAUACUUGACUCGAGUAGUUUGGGAGCCUUAUUGAACUUUUCAUAUUUUUAUAUUAUUAGAUUACAUUAUUGCCUUUAAUAUAUAUUGUUAACCCUAAGUUUAAUUAUUGAGGCGAGCUCGAACUCGAGUACAAAAAUUGAUAAACAGAUUUAAUUUCGAGCUUAAAAAUAUAUGUUCAAUCGAGUAUCAAGCUUUGAAUUUCAAAUUAAACUUGAGUUUAACCGUAUUGAGUUCGAAUAGAUUCAAUUACACCCUACAAUAAAAUAUACCAACAAAACCUACAUUCCAUAUUUGCUUAAAAACUUUGCUGUAAAUUUUAUAUAUGUGUGUGUUUAACGUGAGUUCCAUCUAUGUCCAACUUGAUGACGAUGAAAGUUCCUAUGGUGUAAAAAGUUUUAGUUAUGUGGAAAAAUAAGGUCUUCUCUUCACACGUUUAAUAUGCUUACUUGUGACGGUCAUUUCGGGCUUGACAUCAAUUUUCAAAAUGUUCUAAUUGGUGGAAAACUUACGUCUGCUUUUAUGAUUCUUUCAAGUCAAUUGGAGAAUGCCUCUGUUACACUUCAAAAGAAGUAGAUUUUGAACUCAACAUGAACCUGUGAGAUUUGAUGCCUAAAAUAUAGGUAUAAGGUUUCAAUUCAAGGAAAUGUUGGAAGUCCAGGAAAUUUCUUAGUCUCCUCUCUUUGGAUGUUUUUGAACAAAAAUGUUUUAAGUCUCUUCCGAUGCUAAACUUCUGAUUGGUCGUCGGUUCACUGACCCUUUGGUACACAGCAAUAUGAAGCAUUGGCCAUUCAAGGCCAUUGCUGGUCCUGGUGAUAAGCCAAUGAUUGUACUACUAUAGAUUUGAAAUGAUUGUACACAUCUGAUCGGCUCUUUGUAAAUUUAAAUCUUACAAAUUCGGAUAAUAUUCGAAUUUAAAUAUUUCAAUUACUAUCUGCAAUAGAUUAAAAACAAACGUGAUUAUCAAUCCUUGGAUAUCCACAUACAGAUUAUGCAAUACAAUCUCUUAAGGCAUAUAGAAUUUGGGUCUUAACCAAGCUAUGUUGCUUAAAAGCUUGCUAAAAGCACCCCUAACAAAGGGGUAAAUAAAUAAAAUAUCAAGCACCAGUUAUCAAAGCAGAUUGACCACCUUAUAUCUAUGUAUGCUACUACAAAACUUGCACCAUUAAAAUCUCAAGCUGGUAAUUGGAGCUUCAUGUUAUUCUUGCAGCUGCAGGCAUAAUAAUCAAAUAAGUUGCAAUCAUUCACAUAGGUACUAUGAAGUGCUUUCCAGAGCGUGAGAAACCUCUGGAAGUAAUAGUAGAAGAAAUCAGCAUAAAGCAAUGUCUGGACAAGACCGCAAAUCCAAGCUGAUCAAAGGCAUCAAUCAUGUAAACUAGGUGUUAGAAAUAACAAAUAUAGCAUAGAAUAUAACAAAUAAUGAAUAACAAUGAAUAGUACACGUUACCAUUUCCUUGAAUGACCUUCAAUUUCUCCAUUGAGAUAUAGUAAGAGGGAGUGGAAUAGAUGUAAGGUAAUAUUUGAUGUAUUCGGUAAAUGAAUAAUAACACCACAUUCCAUUAAUGAGUAAAACAGAUAAUGAAUAAUAAUGGAAGUUUUAUAAAAUAAAAAUAAAUUAAAUCAUAUACAUAUAAUGUAUUAAAUCUUAUUCGUGAAGUUCACAAUGAACAAAAUACUAAUCCAUAAUGGAGAAAAAUAACCUAAACUUUAAACAUUUGUUCAUUACUAUAAACAUAUGUACAACUUUUUAAAGGUUUUAUAUAAACUAUUAAAAGGUAUAAACACUCUCAUAAAAAUAUAUUAUUAAGUACGUCUUCUUUUACUAGGAAAGUUCCUAUCCUGUAGAAAAAUGUAGUUUUGUGAAAAAAGGUCUUCUAUGCACUAAUUUGUGGCAAUCACAUGGGGUUUGGGAAUUUCAAUUUUGAUAGCCAACCGAGAUUCACUAAAUUUAAAUUUUAUUAUGAUUAAUUACGCUCUUCGUUUUGGAGAAAUAGGUAAUCACAACAACUAAUUUAAUUAAAUGUAAUUUAAUAAUUAAUUUUUUUAUAAUUUAAUUACAUUAACUAUAUUUAAAUUUAAUAUUUAGUAUUUAUAUUUUAAUUUAACAUAAUUUAAUUCACUUACUUUUAUAAUAUUAUUAGUUCGUCUAAAUAGUUGACACCUUUAAUUAAUUCUUAUUAAAAUGUUAAAAAUGUUUAUACUUAUUUUCCAUGUUAAAAUAUAUAUUUUUUUGUGCUUUUAAAAACAAAAUUUCACAAUAUCAUUUCCCGAUAUAAAAAUUAAAUCUCAAAUUAAUUUAUAUUUUUGUAUUUUUUUAUAACUAAUGUUAUCAAGAACUCUUAAUAGUGCAACUGAUUCCACCAUAAUAUUUAUAUUCUUUAAAUAUGAUUUACAAUUUAUGUUUGGAGUUCGUGACUGUCAUUCUUAAUAAUGUCAUUUCUAAUGUUCGAACAUGCAUCUCCCCUUGAGAAUGCAAUAUUCAUUACUAUUGCACCUAAUUAUUUUGAUAAUUUAAUUUUAAAUAUUGACAUAAAAAUAUUUUUAAAUAUAUUAUUAAUAAAUUUAAUUAAGAUUAUAAAACUUGAGGUUUUUUUUAAUUCUUCAAAAAUGUCAUUUAUUUAUUUUUGGCCAAAAAAUGCCAUUUAUUUAACUCUAAUAUGUGCUUUUAUGUUUUAUUUUAAAAAUAUAUGAAAUUCUAAUGAUAGUUAUAUUACAUAUUUUUUAAUUUUAAAUAUCAUUGUUCUUUUAUAAUUUGUUUCAAGUAUGAAAUGAUAUAAUUUUUUUUAGUAUCUAUCACAAUAACCUUUACUAAGAAUUGAAACUAAAUUUCUAAAUUUUGAACAAAAAUGAAAGUUUAAUUAAAUGAUACAUUGGUGGAUUCAUUACCCCUCAUAUCUAGUUCCCUUAAGUUGAUAAAUGUUUCCAAAUCUAGGAAAACAAAAAACAACAAAAUCAACUUCAUUAUAUUCUCUUCCAACAUUAUUAUAUUCUUGUUAAAAAUCUAAUAUUUUUACCUUUCAAUCCAUUGCCCCAUAUGCUCAAAGAUUUCAAAUUUGAAAGCUUCUUAAGGGAUGCAAAUACACUAGUAUUGAACUGAUUUCCAUCUAAAUAAAGCUCUUCCAAGUGGGUCAACUCUAAUUUUCGACCACCAUCAAUAAAAGAUUUAUAUAAUUUCAUCACUAAAAUGAAUUGGCAUAAACUUUUAUUAUAUAUAAGAAUUUAGGUAAUUGGUUAAAUAUAAAUGCAUACCAUUUAAGGAUUGAAAGCUUUCAAUUUCAUUCCAACUUAAAUCGAGUUUCUUCAAAUUUGUUAAAUUGCUCAAUCCUAUACAUAUCCUCAUCCAAUUCAAAAUCUGAAAUUAGUAAAGAUAAAAUUGCACAUUGACCCCCUAAAAUUGAUAAAAAUUUAAUUUAAUUCUUUAAAAAUUAUAAACAUAUGUAGCGACCUAAAAAUUUCGGCACGGGCGCUAGUCGAAGUAAUUAUUGUAAAUUUGAAAACUGAAUCUCGAUUUUAUUUGAAAAAGGAGUCGCCACCGAUAUUUUUUCUAGGUGUGAUCGGACACCUACAAAAUUCUCUUUUUAGAAGAAAAAAUUAUUUUUAAACUUUUCUAAAAAAGAGGUAAUUUUAGGUCCACGUAAAAAUCCAGAGAAAAUUAGGGUCCGGGAGUCGGUUACGCGCGAGGAAGGUAUUAGCACCCUCGCAACGCCCAAAAUUGGUAUCUCGUUAAACGCGUGUUGUCUUCAUUUUCAAAAAUACGAGUUCAAUUUAAUAUUAGUCGUGAUCCGAUUGAACACGAGAAUUUUAAAGCGCAACAACUUUUUCUUUUUUGAAAACACGAAAAUUUUAAAAUACAAGAAUUUUAGAAACACAAAACUUUUUUUUUAAAAAAAACACGAAGAAUUUAAAACACGAGAUUUUUUAUUUUUAUUUUUGAAAACACGAUUCUUCUUUUUGAAACACGAAAAUUUUUAAAACAGAAAAUUUGUUUUUGAAAACAUAAAUUUUUUGAUAAAAUACGAAACACGAGAAAUUUUGAAGACAUGAAAAUUUUUGAAACACAAUUUUUCUUUAAAAAAUACCGUAUUUAACACGAAUCGAUGAUAUUCAUCCCGAUAUGGCGAUGAAACCAUCGAAUUAGUGUUAACUCAAUUCAAUUUAAUAUUUAAUCGGGAUUCUAAUAAAACACGAGAAUUUUUAUUAAAAUACGAGGAUUUUUGAAUAUUUUUAUUUUUAAAAGGGUGUCCCGAAUUUAACACGAGCUAUCGAUAUCCACCCAACAUAGCGAUGAAUUCGAUGACUUGAUGCUAAAUCGGUUCGUUGCCUUAUGCAUUAAAAUAUUAUUAUUUUUAAAAAAAAUAUGCAAUUAAAAUGACAUAAUAAUAUUUAUGAAAACUGUUUUAAAGCAUACUAAUUUAAAUUAAAUAAAACACCAUUUAAAUAAAUAAAAUAAAAUAAAAUAGAUUAAAAAGAAAAAAAGAAAAAAAUUACCCAAAAGCCCAAAGUUAUGGGCUUAAAUUUUGGGCCUCCCCUUUUAUUAUUUUUUUUGCUGUUGGGCUNNNNNNNNNNNNNNNNNNNNNNNNNNNNNNNNNNNNNNNNNNNNNNNNNNNNNNNNNNNNNNNNNNNNNNNNNNNNNNNNNNNNNNNNNNNNNNNNNNNNNNNNNNNNNNNNNNNNNNNNNNNNNNNNNNNNNNNNNNNNNNNNNNNNNNNNNNNNNNNNNNNNNNNNNNNNNNNNNNNNNNNNNNNNNNNNNNNNNNNNNNNNNNNNNNNNNNNNNNNNNNNNNNNNNNNNNNNNNNNNNNNNNNNNNNNNNNNNNNNNNNNNNNNNNNNNNNNNNNNNNNNNNNNNNNNNNNNNNNNNNNNNNNNNNNNNNNNNNNNNNNNNNNNNNNNNNNNNNNNNNNNNNNNNNNNNNNNNNNNNNNNNNNNNNNNNNNNNNNNNNNNNNNNNNNNNNNNNNNNNNNNNNNNNNNNNNNNNNNNNNNNNNNNNNNNNNNNNNNNNNNNNNNNNNNNNNNNNNNNNNNNNNNNNNNNNNNNNNNNNNNNNNNNNNNNNNNNNNNNNCUCUUUUUACUUAAUUAUUUAUCAAUUUACACUAGUUCGAGUUUUUGUAACAGUAUCAUGGAGACUUAUGUACUAGGAGUUAGAUUGUAUUUUGCCUCUUUUACUCAAAAAAUGAGUAAAUUAAUCCUUGUACGUUAAAUCAAUGAGCAAACUAGUCCUUUUAGUUAACAUUUUCAUUCAUUUUUACUAUUAAAAAUUGGAGUGACUAACGAAAUAACCAGAUAGUUACACAUUACAUGCCAAGGGUGAAGCCAGAAAAUUCUUUUAGGGGGCCGAAAUUAAAUUUUAAUUUUUAAUAGCUUAUAUCUUUAUAAUUUUUAAAUGAUUAAAUCAAAUUUUUAUCAUUUUUAGGAGGGGACUAAAGUGUAAUUUUAUCUUUACUAGUUUAAAUUUCUAAAAUUUCUAAAAAGCCUAAAUGGAUAAUUUUCAAUUUUAGAGGGGUCAGGGCCCUUGCCAGCCUCCCUAGAUACGCCACUGUGGCAUGCCACAUGUACCUCAUGUCAGCAUACAUGAACCCGUUUUUAACAGUUAAAAUGGAUGAAUUUUUUAGUAGAAGGAUUAAUUUUCUCAUUUUUUGAGUAGAGGAAAGAAAAUGCAAUCCAAUGCCUAAUACAAGGGCCUCUAUGUCUUUCAUUAUUACUCAAUUAUUUGUCAUCAAAAGUUGUAUAUGUUCAAAUAUAAAUACAAUAAAACACAUAUGUAGUUAUUAAACAUAUCAUGCUAAUGUCAUUGUUUCUUCUUUAUCCAAAAUUAUUGGACUUAUAAAAUUCUUGAGAAUAAGAAAACCCCAUUAAACUUCCUUUUAAGUAAAACGUGUGUUCAAAAUCUUGAACUAGGUUUAUGCAGCAAUAGAAAUUCACAAGCUGUUUUUUUUAUACAUGAGAUGUGAAUCUCAAAAUUUUAGGGUUUCUGAUCUCAUAUAUUUUGGGUCCAGAUUUAAUGCUAAGGAUUUGUUGAGAAAGUUGAAAGGGAAGAAAAUGAUGUUCAUUGGGGAUUCACUAAGCUUGAAUCAAUGGCAGUCUCUAACAUGCAUGUUGCAUGCAUUUUUGCCACAAUCAAACUACACUGUUCACAGAGAAGGGAACCUUUCGACCUUUUAUUUGCCUGUGAGUUGCCAAAUCUAGUAGCUAUUUUAUUUCCUUCUUAUAAUUAAAACUUUUCAAUGUCACCUUUAGAAGGUAGCUGCAUGAAUCAAAUGAGUUAAAUCAAAUAGACUAAUUACUAUUGUUUGGCAAAAAUACCGAGUAGACCUUUUUAAAAAUAGUUAUUAUACUUUUAUUACAACAAAAUAAGCAGGGGUGAACCUAAAAUUUUUUUUAGCAGGAUAGAAAUUUAAUUAUAAUUUUUUCAUAGAUCAAAAUAUAAAUUUAUUAUGAAUUAAUUUAUAAUUUUAUCAUUUUUAAAGGGAUUAAACAGAAAUCAUUUCAUUUUUAUGGGGGUUAAAGUGUAAUUUUACUAUAUAUUAAUUUAUAAUUUCUUUAUUUAUAAGACUAGAAAAAAUUUUCAUGGGGGCCAAAGUACAAUUUUACUAUAUAUUAAUUUAUAAUUUCUCUAGUUAUAAAAGAACUAAAUUAAAAACUUUUCAUUUUUUAGGGGGGCCAAGGCCCUGCCUACCCCUUUCAGAUUAUUCGCCUCUGAUAAUAAGCCAUUAAACUUUAAUUUAUAACCGUUACCAUUAAUUUUUAACUUAUAUCCAAAUAACCCCUUACCAUUUUAUUUAUACUCAAAAUAAAAUUUAACAUAAAUAAAGGUGAGAGAGGGGCCUUGGCCUAUUGGUUAAAAUAGAAAAUUUUCAUUUAGGUCCAAAGGUAAAGCCAAAAAAUCAUUUUAGGGGGUUGGAAAUGAAUAAUAAAUUUUUGGGGAGACUAAUAUUGCAAUUUUAUCAUUAUAUCAACUUAUAAUUUCAUAAAUUUUGAAAAGAUUAAAAGACAAAUUUAUCAAUUUUUGGGGUUGUCUACUCUCCUGAGUUGGUCUCUAUUGAAAAUUAAUAAUUCCAUAAAAUAUAGCUUUCCUAAAUUUAUAAUUUUAGCUCGACCCUAAAUAUAAAAUUCUUUGCUUUACCCCUGAUAUUAAAUCAAAAGAUAGAAACUUAUUAUGUUACUAUAAGAAUAUAGGGAUUUAUUUAGCAAAAGCAAACUAUUUCAAGGACUUUUUUGGUAGUUUGCACUUAUAGUUGGUAUUAGUUAGAAUUAAGUGCCAAGAUUAAGUUUCCUUUGAGAUAUAUAGUUGGUUAAGCAAUUUAAUAUAAGUGGAAAUUUAGACCCCUAAGUUAUACCCUUCAUGCAUUUGGACAACUGUGUUGAGCCAAAAAAAAAAUUGCAGGAGUAUGAAGUUUCGUUGAUGCUAUCACGCAAUGCAUUUCUUGUGGAUAUUGUCCAAGAAAAGAUUGGCACCGUUCUGAAGCUUGAUUACAUUAAAAACGGCGAAUCAUGGAAAGGAUAUGACUUUCUCAUCUUCAAUACCUGGCAUUGGUGGCUCCACACUGGAAGAAAACAACCGUAAGCAAAACAUAAUUUCAGCAAUUAAAACCCGAUUUUUUAAUUGCAUCCCGAGUAGAUUUGUAAACAAAUACAACACUCGAAUUGGGUUGGGUUUGAACCGGAAUAUCAUUCCUAUAGUUUUGAUUAGACCUGUAGUUUAAAAGUUAAUUAUUUAUUUAAGUUUGAAAAUUCGUUUGAAAUUUAGAAGAAUAUUUAGAUAAAAAUAUUAGACUUCAUAAAUGAGCUUGAGUAAAAAAAUUAAACCCGUUUUUAAUAUGGGUUAAGCUUAAGCUCAAAAAAGUUAAGGAUCCAGACAUGUUGAUGAACUUAAAAUGAAUUUGCGAUAACUAUUUACAAAUAUUAGUAUGUUGGAGCAAAAUUUUAAGCCAUUGUUUGGUCCAACUAAAUUUAGGCAAAUAUAAAGUGCGUUAAUAUCAUGCUUAAAAUUGAUUCAAACUGAUCCCAACCCAUAACCACUUCUAAUUCUGAUUAGUUUGACUCAACCUUUUUAUUCUUUUAAAUACUUAUAAAAUCUCUUAUCCAAUUAUAUUUAUAUUUGAGCAAAAAAUGAUGUAUGUAUGUAUGUAUGUAUGUAUGUAACUUGAAAAAUGAAUUGGAUAUUAGAUGGGAUUUCAUUGAAUCAAGAGGAAAGGUGAAGAAAGACAUGGAUCGUAUGGCUGCAUAUAGAGAGGCACUAAGAACAUGGUCAAAAUGGGUGGAUUCCAAUGUUAACACUACAACUACCCAAGUGUUUUUUCAAGGCAUUUCUCCGACUCAUUUCAAGUAAGCUUUAGCUCUUCUCUUCUCUUCUCUUACCAUUUGCAUUAACUUCCUUGUUCUUAUUUUACUUAAAAGAAAUGGAAUUAUGAAAAAAAUUGAAAGCCAUUUUUUUUCCAAUAGAACUUAAUUCAUUUUAAUCCCAUCAGAUUUGGUUCAAAUUAGAGGUGUUUAUAAGUUGGUGAGUCAAUCGGCUUAGUUCGCUUUAGACUGCACUUGAAGUUAAGUUUUCAAGUUUCGAGCCAGAUUAGCCUUACUUGUUUUAUUAGUCGAAGAAAACUAUUUUUAAUUGUUUUAUAAACAAUGAAAAUGGACCAUUUAGGUAAGCUUAAGUUUGGAAAAUUUUUGAAAUUGGGCUUAAACUUGACUUGGAAAAUGAACACUUAUAGUUGAAAGAAACUCAUUUGUCAUAAAGCACAAAUACUUUUAUGAUUAGAGACGUUAAUGGGCUUGAACUUAAAUUUUCUUUUUGGUUUAAGCUUGGUUCGAGUUGAAAACUCGUAUUGUUUAAAAUAUUUCUAAUAUAUUAUUGUUUAAAAUAUUUCAUAAAUAUUUUCAAAAUGAAAUAUGUGUAAGAAUCAUAAAUUCAAGCUGUAGUGUUUCCUCAUAUAAAUUAUGAAUCACUCUAAAUAUCUCAAAGAGAAAAUGACAGUUCAUUGACAUCUAUAUAAAGAUUUUUUUUUUUAAAAUAAAAAUCAACAAGUCUCUUACGUUAUCCAUAUAUAAUAUGUGGAUGUACAAUUAUAAACUUCACCUCAAACAAUUUGGUAUUUUGAUCCACAAUUUUGACAGUGGCAAAGAAUGGAAUGGUACCAAAUCAACAACUUGCACACAUCAAAUCAGACCGGCUACCGAUUUAACGUACGAAAGUGAUCCACCUCCGGAAGUGACGAUCGUAAAGGAAGUGCUAAAAAACAUGUCGACGCCGGUGGUUUUGCUCGACAUAACCAGAUUAUCACAGCUGAGGAAAGAUGGUCACCCAUCAAUUUAUACUGGUCUAAAAGGAAAUGAUUGUAGUCAUUGGUGCCUAGCUGGUGUUCCUGAUACAUGGAAUGAAAUCUUAUAUGCAAUUCUUACAAGUAGGAAAACUUAAUUCAAGAUUAUAAUUUUUUUUUCAAUUUAAUGUAUUUAGUUAAUAAAAAUUAAUUUCCCAUUAAUAGAUGAAGAAUUUUAAAUUUAAUAACAUAGGUGUAGCCAUCAAUUUAAUGUAUUUUUUACCCGAACCCAAAUUAAGUCAAGCUCAAACCAAUGGAAAACCUACAAUAUUAUUCAUAAUAAUAUUGAAACUUUAGAUUUUUUUAUUAGUAUUAUAUAUUUUAAUAAUUAAUUUUAAAUAUUUUUAUUAAUAAAUAGUAUUCAGGUCGCGCCAGCCCAAUUUAAAAGAUAUUUAACUCAAUAUAAAUUCAACAUAUUAAAUGAAUAAUUCAAAUGUCAAAAUGAGCAAAGGAAAAUCUAGAGUUGUAAGCUUUGCAACUUUAAAUUGGACAUGAGAGUUUCUUUUAUUGGAUACAUGCCACAUUAUUUUUUAACAAAAUUCCUUUAUUUUAUCAAUUGAAUUUAAAUUAUUAUAUUAAUAAAAUUAUUUAAUUAUUUAAUUGUGUUUCAACCUUUUACAUAAAAUAAAAUUUUCUCUUUUAACUUUUUCAUCAUUUAAUUUUUCACUUUUUAAAAUCACCCUCAAUUUCAAAUAUAAAUUUACUUGUGUAAAAAAAAAUCUAAAUCUGUUAAUUGCAUCUAGAACUUUUCAGAGUUGGUCUUGUCAAAAUUUUAAGUCUAUUUGCUAGGCCCAAGUUUGGCCUAAAAAAUAGACUUAAAAUUUUGUCUAAAUUUAACCCGGAUAAAAUAUUAAAAUCAGGCUCGACUCAACUCACCUGAAUUAAUUUUUCUAUAAAAAUAUUAAAAAUAAUAGGUCAAAAUACUAAAAAUAUUAAAAUAAAUAUUUUUUAAUAAUUUAAAAAUAAAUUUAAAAAUAUUUAUACUUAGAUAAAAUUAACAAUAAAAUAAUUUUUUAAUGUUUAUUAAAAAAUGGGCCGGACCGGGCUCGGGCUUAUGAUAUUUUUCCCGGGCCGGGCCUGGAAAAAUAUCAGGCCCAUAUUUCGAGCCGGGCCAAAAAAAAUUUCUGGGCCCGACCCGGCCCAUGGACAGGUCUAAUCUUAGACCUUUUCAGUGUUGGUCUUGUCAAAAUUUUAAGUCUGUUUGCUAGGCCCAGGUUUGGCCUAAAAAAUAGACUUAAAAUUUUGUCUAAUUUUGACCCGAAUAAAAUGUUAAAACCAGACUUAGACUCAACCCACUUGAAUUAAUUUUUUAUAUAAAAAUAUUAAAAAUAAUACGUCAAAAUAUUAAAAAUAUUAAAAUAAAUGUUUCCUAAUAAUUUAAAAAUAAAUUUAAAAAUAUUUAUACUUAGAUAAAAUUAACAAUAAAAUAAGAGUUAUAUAAUAUAUAAAUAAUAAUAAAAUAAUAGUAACAACAAGAAAAUAGUAAUUUUUUGUCUUUUUGUUAAUUCAUAUCGGACCGGGCUUAACCCGGUUGAGAACGGUACUUAUAUUUGUACAAAAAAAAAAUCAAAAAAAAAUGUGAACGGUACUUAACCCGGUUGAGUCGGAGCUCCAUGACCCGAACAGCAAUUUAUUUUUCAAUUCUUCUUCGUUACGCAAAAAGGAAAAAAAAAAAAACAGCUCAUGAAAAUGGCAUGGUCAAAUACUCUGCUUCAGAUUCACAUCAAAUCCCCUUCGAUCCCUUCUCUCCAUUUCCCACAUUCCCUCCCAAAAAGCUCCCCAUUCCUUCUUAAUCCUAACCCUAUAAAUCCCAUUCCCAGAUCCCUCAGAAUGCAAUUCCUUCACAGACCCAACGCUGUCCCACUCGUAUCAAGAGCCAUGGACAUCAUCCAAUCGUCUCCUCCCACGUGGCAAUCCGCAGUCCUCAGUAACCUCUUGAUCUUCGUCGUCGGCACCCCACUUUUAGUGGCGGGGCUUUCUCUCUCCGGAAUUUGUGCUGCGUUCUUGCUUGGCACUCUCACUUGGCGCGCUUUUGGCUCCCCUGGGUUUCUCCUCGUUGCUUCGUACUUCGUUAUUGUGAGUUGCUAAUAAUAUAUUAUGAAUUGUAGCUGAAUUAUGGGAAUUAAGUUAAAUUUUGGAAAUUGGGUUUUGAUUUUGUAUCCAUCUGGUAUUAAAAGUUGCUUGCUUUGGAGAAUUAGCUGUCAUUGUUUGGUAGUAUGGCAAGGAAAAUAAACUUAAUUUAUGUCGAAAGGUUACUUUUUAAUUAGUUAGCUAUUCAAGUUUGAUUAGUUGUAUUUAGAGAAAUUGAUUGUACUAGGUGAAAUGAGAUCAAAAGAUUAACAAAAGUUACUUGAUGGUUUCUAGCUUUUUAGCUGAAAUAAAGUCCUGUAUGAAAUGAUAUAAUAUUUUAGUUUUCUAUUAUGGCUUGUUUUCCUUGCAAAGUAUGAAUCUUGAAUUAGUUCCUGCCUCCCUCUUCUAAUUCUCCUUACCCAUUUCUAGUUGAAAGUUAAUUGAAAUUCCAUGUGAUUUUGUGUUAUAAUUCCAGUUCAUAAUCUGAAUGGAGACAAUAAAUUUGGAUGAAGGAGCUUUAAGCAGUGGGAAAAAUCCAUAAUAAUUUGUAAUUCUCUAAAUCUCUAAACAAUCUUACAUCUCUUUGUCAUGCCUUUCAAACAUAGUUGGUAUAACUAUGUUCAAUUGUCUUAGCUAUUGUUUAAUCAUUUUUAAUUUUUCAUUCCCCCUGCUCCCCCAAAAAAAAAUGUUUGUCUGAGCAAUGAGUCUUUCUCAAAAUCAAUUUCCAAGGCCAUUUUAUUUGAUUAUGACUUUGUGAGUAAAACAUGUUUGUAUUUGUUAGGGAACCGCAGUAACAAAAGUGAAAAUGGCUCAAAAGGAGGCCCAAGGGAUUGCUGAGAAGAGGAAAGGAAGAAGAGGACCUGGGAGUGUAAUUGGGUCCAGUGCUGCUGGUUGUGUAUGUGCUGUUCUAACAAUAUAUGGAGUUGGAGGAGAGGCAUUUACACGUCUUUGGCAACUUGGUUUUAUUGCUAGUUUCUGUACUAAGUUGAGUGAUACAGUGUCCAGUGAGAUUGGGAAAGCAUAUGGCAAAACAACGUAAGUAGUGCAUCUCUGUUUGUUAAUGUAUAGGCGCUUUAGAUUAACUGUAUUAAUAAUUCUCCUUAGUUCAUUCUAAAGAAAGGAUAUUUCAAAUCAAGUGGAAUUUAGAUCCCUUAUGGUUCUUGCUAUAUUCGAGCUCUAUUAUUGUCAUAUAUGCUGGUGAUAAAGGUCGCUUUGACAUCCUAUAUAGAAACAAAAUUUGUGAGUGUUAAUAUUGCCUCAAAUCUUUUUUUUUUUCUUCAAAGGUUUAUGUCAAUUGCUACUCUCUUUUUUUUUUACUGUUAAACUACACUUUAGAAUUGCAAAUAUAAAGUGUGUGAUGUGCCAAAAUGAACAGGUACCUGGUGACAAACUUUCAGAUUGUUCCUAGGGGAACAGAAGGAGCUGUCAGUGUUGAAGGAACUGUUGCUGGACUUCUAGCAUCUAUACUGCUUGCCACUAUUGGUUGUCUAUUGGGUGAGGUAGUACUUGCUAUGUACUCAUACUAUGUGAAUAAUUUGUUCUGCCAUUCAUGAUACCAUUUUUUUUUAAUAACAAGCAUUAUUGUGAUCAUUACAAAAUGUUUACACCUUGUAAGAACCUGGAAUUUUUUCUAGUCUCUGCAACAAUAGACUAAUUGGUGGGGUGGUGCCUAGAUGGAAUGAUUUUGCAGAUAUAAUUUGUUGAAGGUGUUUUUCAAAGGGAACUCUUAGCAAAAUAGCAGAUCAUGAUAUAUUUAUAAAUUGAUUUUGACAUCUCAGUUUAGGCGUGUACGACCUUUGUGAGCAUUAUUUUGCUGGGAACUUAAAUUUCAAUUUAAUAUAGUUCAGGUAUUACAAUUUGGUAAAUUGGAUAAUAUUUUCAAGGGGAAGGAGAAUUAAAUUAGUUGAAACCGAUUUUUAUUGUUAGUGGUUUUUUGUAUGUGAGUGGAUGAGGUUGUCUCUCUAGCCUUGCUGCAUCUUUAGCUAGGAUUUUCUCAAAAAUCUUGUAUAUAUCCCUAAGGUUAUGGUGUUGUUCAUAGUAUUGACGCCAUAACCUCUAUACACUUUCAAACUGAAUAUGAUCAACAGCUUCUAGAGAAUGCAUAAAUGAAAUAUGGGUAUUUGAAUUUAUAGAGAUGUUCUAAGCUUCUGUUUUUUGCUUUUUCAUUUAUCUUUGCAAGCAGAUAAAUGUACCUGAGGUAUUGAUAUGUGUAAUAGCAUCCCAGAUUGCUAAUCUUGGUGAGAGCAUAAUUGGUGCUGCAUUCCAAGGGAAAGAAGGAUUUCGUUGGGUAAGGAAUCAUUUGAAUAAUAGGAUGGUUUCUGUCAUCCUGUUUUCUUAACCAUUUUUUCUUAAAUUUAGUGCCUAUGUAUCUUCUAGAUUUUAGUGUUACCGAUGAAUCAGGCUUGAUUCUAUAUGAAUGUAUGGUUUGAUGUGGUAUAUCGAUGAGAUGAUUACAUGUAUAUCAUUUUGUGGACUCUCAUCAUGUUUGGAUCUGGCUGCACUCCUAAAGCUGUAGUGAGGAAGAAUUAUAUACCCACUGUUUUGGGGUAAAGAAGAUCGAAGAGUAAAUUUAGAGAGAUCAGCCUGUUAUAAAACUGCCUGCUAAGGAUUAAUUCUAGUCUUAAUUUUCAUUCGAUGAAAUCACGGUAUUGUGCAUGUAAAAGGCUGUUAUGUUGGUCUGAUUCUUCUUUUUGCUUUGAAGUAUCCAUGUUCAACAUAUAGUCACACAAGAAAUAUGGAGAUAUGACCUUCAAGAUACAUGAUAAACUUUAGCACAAAUCUCUAUCAGACACUUACCUGAAUUUGAGCGAAAUAUCUGGGUUGGCCAUAUAUAAAUCUGCCUAGGAUCUAUCAUCUUAGCAUGUUUAUAUGCUUUUCAUUAUAAGGCUGAAACUUGGAUUCUUUUACCAUAUUGAUUUUGGUUUUCAUCUUGCAGCUGAACAAUGAUGCUGUUAAUGUCAUCAACAUAUCCAUAGGCUGCAUUUUGGCAGUCUUAAUGCAACAACUACUCCAAAACUGGCAAAUGUAAGUUCACCCCAUCAUCUCUUUUGCGAUGUCAGGUAAUUAUUGCAGAGUUCAUCGACACUGCAAUCGACAUAUUGCAAUGUGGGGAAAGAAAAGAAGAAGAAGAAAGAGAAAGUCUUCAAUGUAAUGCAAGAGAUGAGCACAAAGGUGCAACAAUUAUAGCAAUGAUUUUGCUAACCUUGAAAGAUACUCAAAUGAUAUGGAAAAUCAUUAGCAUAACCAUUUGUUCCAUGAGUAUAUUUUAAAAAGGCUUCUCUCUUUUAUAGUCUUGGUAUUCAAAGAUGUAUUCCUUUUAUCAAUCUCCAGUUAGAAAUGAAUUAGAUGCUUUUUAAAUUGCAUUUCUUAACCAAAAUUAUUGGCUUUUUUUUUAUUGUUGUUGAGCCGCACUGGAUUUAUGGGUGUAAUUGAAGCACAAGCUUGACUUGGAACUUUUAUGUUCAAAGUUCGGCCCGGGCCCAAGCUUGAGUUCAAUUAAGCCAUUUGUGAAUAUAUCAACCAAUUGUUCCUUUGUAAAGACAUGUCUAGUUUGGACUAAACCAUCUUGGAUUUUUUUUACAAGGUGAGAGUCAAUCUCUAUAUGUUUCGUUCUCUCGUAGUAUUCAGGGUUGGUUGCAAUCUGAAUUGCUGCUUGACUAUCAUAGAAUAAUAUGAUUGGUUCUACUCGUUUAAAUCCAAGUUCCUUCAGUAGUCCAGUCAACCAAACUAACUCAGCCAUAGUUCUAUACUUUGCCUUUGCUGAAGAUCGUGAUACUGCAUUUUGUUUUGUUUUGUUUUUUCCAAGAGAUGAGACUUAAAACUUCUGGAGGAUGGUCAGGAUGGGUGUUUGGUUUACAAGGUAAAGAAAACGGUGAAGGUGGAGUUUGUGAGGUUUUCUUUUUACCUUUCCCUUUGGAGGAGGAUGAAGGUUGGAUCAUGAAAUUUUCUGGAAGUUUUUCUGGUGGUCUAGAAAGAAUGUCUGCAAGAACAUUGGUUUUCCCUUUUAUGUGGAGGACAUUCUGUCACUAAUCGCUUUGACAUUGGACUUGAAGCCCAAUUCGAAUCACAAUAUGCUACAAGUUAUGGAGAACCAACUACAGCACAGAAUAAACCUUGUCCUGGAUCCUUUUUAAUGUAUCUGACUAUUCUAAGAGCAGCUUUAUAAUGCGACUUCUUGGGUCGUUGCAUAAACUGACUGGAUGUUGUACCACAAACGUCAUAUCUAGCCUUGUAUGAGUCAAGUACAAAAGCCUUCUAAUAAGCCUUUGAUAUAAUGAAACAUCUGUCAAUACCUCAUCAUCAUGAUUCAUUUGCACCAUCUCAUCUUACUGGAGAUGUCAAGUUUUGAUUUUGUUCUAAAGGAGUGACAACUAUCUUUCCUCCCCCUUACCUCGUGUCUGAAAUUAAUUCAAGAGCAUAUUUGCGUUGAUUCAGUACAAUUUCAAACUGUGAUCUUGUGAUUUCAAUGCCAAGAAAAUACUUUGAGAUCACCUAAAUCUUUCAUUUUGAAAUUUUGAUGCACAGUUCCUUUAAGCUCAUUUAUAAGCUUGGUAUCAUUUCCAGAAAUCAACAAAUCGUUAACAUAUAUCAACAUGACAACCAGCUUAUAACCUUUCUUCUUGAUAAAACGAGAAUAAUCGUACUUACUUUGUGAAUAACCAUUUAGAAGAAUAGCUUUAGUAAGCUUUAGAUUCCACUGUCAGACUUAGCAAUUGACAUACUCUAGUCUCUCUUUGAUUGCGAAAAUCGUCUGGAAGAGUCAUAUAAACCUUCUCAUGUAAAUCUCCUUGCAUUAUAGGCAUCCAUUUGAAACAAGGGCCAACCAAACUAUACAGCAAGAGCAAUGACCGUGCAAAUUGUGACUUGCUUCGCAACAGGGGAAAGUGUCAUGAAAAUAAAAAACCUGCCUGCUGAGUAUAACCCUUCCUAACAAGUCUGGCUUUAAAUCUUUCAACCGAGCCAUCAGAGCUGUACUUGACCUUGUAGACCCAUAUGCAACCAAUGGGCGUUUUACUAGGAGGUAAAGGAACUACCUCCCACGUGACAUUUGAUUCCAAUGCUUGAAUUUCUUGAUCCAUGGCCUUUAUCCAAUGUUUAUCCUUAAUUGCUUCACUUUAGGUUUAAGGUUCAAUAAUAUGGGAAAUGGAGGCAGCAAAAAAUUGUGUAUGCAAAGGUAAAUGAGCAUCAGCUAUACAAUUAGAUAUAGGGUACUAACCUUUAUGGAGUGAAGAAGAUAAAGAAGAGCAAUUUAAAUCUUUCAUCCAUGUAGGAUCCUUAAAAGAACGAGUAGUGCGAUGUAAAGACAGCUGGUAAGGUAGUAGACUACGAAGGUAAUAAGGACUGGUUGGGAAAUGGAGCUGAAGAACGACAAGGAGCUAAGGAUGAACAUUUCAAAUGGGAUUUUUCCAAUUCAAAGCUGAAGUAGGUAAUCUGUUAACAAUAUAACAAGCAGCAAGGAUACACUCGCCCCAAAAUUUGGUAGGUACAUUAGACUGAACUUUGAAAGCACAUGCUAUUUCUAACAAAUGUCGAUGCACACAAGAACUUUGAUGUAUUAUGCCUAAGAAGAAAAAAAAGGAGUAUAUUCAGAGUUAAAGAACUCAGUACUUAUGACUUCCAAAAGUUUUAACAACAGUUGAAAAUUGCGUGUGAACCAAGGCUAUAAACUGUUUCAAAAUGACAAUAGUGUCGGUUUUAAGCUUAAACAGAUGAACCAAAGAAAAAGGAGAAUCCGCUCGAGAAUAACUAAUAGGAAAUGGCAAUCGUGUUUGUUUAGUAAGAGGACGAACAUGGCAUGGACUAAUAUAGUCACUGUUCCAAAAUGAAAGAAACAUGGCCAAGUCCGGCAUGCCAAAGGAAAGACUGAUCAUGAGAUGUCAAAAAGGAAGAAAUGGGAGAAGAUACAAAAGAUGGCAAUUGAGGCUGUUGAUGCACCAGAAUGUAAAGAUCAUUCUGUUCUUUACCAAUCCCCUUCACUUGUCCACUGCAAAGUUGCCGUAAAAGGCAAAAAUCGGGAUAAAAGGAUACAAAACAAUGUAAGUCUCGAGUUAACUUGAAAACGAAAAUUAAAUUGAAAUGAAAGUCUGGGACAUGAAGGGCAUUGGUUAACUUGAUAGAGGAGGACAAGACAUAGGAACCCAUGUGAGUAAUAGGGACGGAUUUACCAGUGGGAAAUUGGACAAAUGAAGAAUGAAAAGUAAAAGGAACAAGAGAAUCCAAAUAUUGGCAAUCAGAUAUCAUGUGGUUGGUGGCCCUCGUCUCCAAAAUCCAUUGGAAAGAUGCAGGCCAAGAAACCAUACCUGCCAUGUGAGCAGCUACUCCAACAGUUGAAGUGAACUCAAGACUGAGUAAAUUCAAGAUCAGUAGAUACUGUGCCUGAAUAAACACAGGUGCAAAUACUAUGGUAGCAUUGUUAGUCAUAGUUGACCUUUGUUUUGUAAAUUUAAAAUCAACAGGAUACCCAAUAAGCUUCUAACAAGUUUCCCGUUUGUGACCUUUAAUCUUUCAAUGGUCACACACAUCUUUCAAUGGUCACAGAAUACAAUGUUGUAGGUUCAGAAGGAAAAGAUAUGCCAGAAGAAUGUUGUCUUUGAGCUUCCUCUUGAACAAGCACGGAAUUAGCUUAAUUAACAGAAGGUAAGGGUUCCAUUAACAAAACCUGACUUCCAACAACAGCAUAAGAAUCAUUCAGGCCCAUCAGAAACUGAAAUAACCACUGUUGUUGAAUAAGUUGUUGAUUCAUGCGGGAAUUUUCACAAGAAAAAGAACCAAAGCAUCGUAAUCCCACAAAAGCUUCAAUCGUGUAAACAAAACUGAAACAGAGUAAGUACCUUGAGCAUGGGAAGCAAUCUCACCAUGAAGAACCAUCGACUUUCUCAUAUCGUUCUUGAAGUUCUUUCCAUGUUGACAAAAAUAAACUGUGCGGUAUAAUUAUAUAAUUAACGUCGCUCAAAAUUAACAUAAAAUUUCAAUAUUUGUAAAUUCGAAUAAAGAAGGUGAAAUUCAAUUAUAUUACUUUAUAUACUCAGUGCUUUCUAUGUAAAUUAUUUUCAUUAUUUUAAAUAUAAAAUGUUUAUAUUAACAUGAUAAAAAAUAAAUUAAAUUAUAAAUUAAAUAAAAAAUAAAAUUCAGUUUUAGUUACAUUCAAAUACUCGAUUUUUGGGGUUUUCUGCGCCCUAAUAGUAGGAAAAGAAAAUUCUCAUCAAACCCUAAAGCCCAUAAAAGAAAAAGUGAGAAGUUUAGUUGAUCUAUCAGAAUCUCAAGCACUCACCCUUAAUUUGCAGUAAGUUGCGAGUCUGCAAUUCUUUAGACCCCUUUUCUCAAUUGAUUUUCUUCUUUAACCAAUCGUUUCUCUCGCGCUCUGUUUCUUUUAGGAUGGCCGAUGAACAUAUUUCCACAGUCCUGGAGCAGCUACGACGAAUCAUGGCCGACGAAAGAUUUCGGAACUCGGAGUUUCAGAUAAACUUGCUUGUAUGGAGACUCGAAGCUUUUCAAUCUAUGAUUCUUUAACAUGGGGACGGGCUAUUUUCGGUUCGGCUAUUGGAGCGUGGGAUUACUGUUCAUGCACUCGAUCAAGUGCUAUAUAACAUAGAAGAUGUAAUUAACGACGUCUUACAUUUAGGAGUAUCUACUGAAUUAGCAGCAGCAGGCCUUGAGAAGUUUGCUUCUACUCAAUCAAAAGCAGCAUCAGCAGAAACAGCCACUCUUUACAUCUUGCGCAAGAGGUUGGAAGAAUUGGAGGAGGUAUUGAUUGGUAAUCCGCAUGAAUCGCAUCCCUUGCACUCUAAACGAUCUUUUUUUGUAAAAUUGUCAAAGUUAUAUGGUCUAGAUGUGGUUAAGAAAGAUAUAAUAAAUGUAAUUUUGGGUGAAAGUUUCAGGGAUAGUAGCGACAGCAUUAAAACCAUCAUUAUUGUUGGCAUGGAAGGAACGGGGAAAACAUAUCUUGCGCGGUGCAUUUGUACUGAUUGUCAAGUUCUGGAAAUUUUUGACAACAUAAUUUGGGUGAAUGUUUCGGAUGAUUUUGAUUUAGGUAAAAUUGCAAGAAAAAUUAUUCUGUCUCUUGAAGGUUUGGAGCAUGACUCUUUGCGUCUCCUAACAUUAGUUCCAUUGCAAAGUCUGUUAGAUAGAAUUCAGCGAAAGAUUGUUAACAAGAAAUCACUUCUUGUUUUAGAUGGUGUGGGGAGAUAUGAUUGUGAUGAUUGGGAAGCACUUAGAGCUGUUUUUCAACAUGGCAUGUCGGGGAGUGGGAUUCUAGUGACUACUCAUGAGCACUCGGUUGCAGGAGCAAUGGAAUCAUCUUAUAAAUUUUGUUUGGGAAAGCUGUCUGAUGAGUUGUGUUGGAUGAUACUUCGUGAAGUUGGAUUGAAUGAUGAUACUCUUGAAUAUGCGGUAGAGGAUAUAGGAAGGGAACUUGCAAGGAGGUGUGAAGGACUACCCUUUGCUGCAAAGGUUUUGGGAGAUGCUAUACGACAUUAUGACUUUGGAAUAAGAGGAUGGGAUGUUUUUCUGAGAAAUUGUAUCUGGAAAUCUCCUAGAAUACCCAAAUAUAUGUCUAAAAUUCUAUCACUAUCUUAUUGCAAUCUACCUUUGUCUGUAAGACGGUGCUUAUCGUAUUGGGCUAUCUUCCCCAAAAGCUUUGAGAUUUCAAAAACUCUUUUGGUGCAACACUGGAUGGCACAAGGUUGUCUGUACUCAUCUGAUAAUUUAGAAAUGGAACUAAAAGGUGAAGAGUACUUUAAAUGCUUAGAAGCUCAUUCAUGUUUCCAAUAUUGUACCAGAGAUGGUGGUAUGCUUACUUGUAAGAUGCAUAGCUUAGUACAUGAUUGUGUCCAAUCUUUGUCCCCAUAUGAUUUAAUGAUGAGGUUCGAGUCUGUUAAACAGCUGACCUUGAAUUUAUCUUCUUGGACGGAGGAGGUCAAAGUUGUUGGCACUCAUCAUUUGGUAAUGAUGAUUGCUCAAGGAGCUGGUUUUCCCAUGGACAUUAGUGGUGCAGAGAAAUUGAGGACCCUUGUUGCUGUUACUCAAGGGUGUUUGAUAACUAGUCAAGCAUUAUCUAACUUAUUUAAACAAUCCAAACAUCUGAGGUUAUUGGAUUUGAGCUUGACUAGUGGGUGGCAUAAUUGUUUUGGGCCAUCCGGACAAGGUAAUAUACUAGAUGAAAUUCCGGUGGAAAUCUGCAGAUUGAUUAAUUUGAGGUACCUUAGCUUGGCUGGCAGCAAAGUAUUGAAGAUAUUACCAGAAACAUUGUGUGACUUGCAUAAUUUGCAAUCCUUGGAUCUUACUGGUUGUAGUAGUCUUAGAAAAUUGCCAGAUGGAAUGGGGAAAUUAAUGAACUUGAGGUAUUUUUAUACCUGGUGUUGCUCUAGUAUAACUUCCUAUCCAAAAGGGAUUAGCUGCUUAACUUCUCUUUGAGAAUUAACCAAUGUCAUUGCUAGAGCUGAUCACAAUGAUGCAAAGGAAUUCACUCUUGGAGAUUUUGAAAAGUUGAACAACCUUUGUGGACAUGUUCGUGUGAAACUGGUAGGGAAUGCGAUGGAUGCAGAUGAGGCUAUUAGAGCUAACCUUUGGAACAAGAAGGAUCUUGACCGUAUCAGAAUAAAUCUGGAUGGGGAUAUAGGGAAAGAAAGCCAAGACGUUAUAAAGAAAGCAUUAAACCCGCCUUCCGACUUGAAUAUAGAGUUCGUAGGUUGGUGGUUCUAGUCCAGAAAUGUAAGGAUGCUGCAAAGCAACAGGUAGUCUCUCUGUCUCAUUUUCUCUUUUGUUGUAGCUUUGAUGGUUCAAAUUCAGUAUUUACUCCUAUGAUUCAUUCAAACCCAAAUUUCAGUUGUGUUAUAGUAGUUCUAGUUUCUGUUGUUAUCAUCUGAUUAGAUGGAAUAUUAUGAAAUCUCUUAUAACAUUACAAUGACAAAGAUAUCGGCUUGUCUAUCACAUGAAAUUUCUCUCUUGCUAAAGCAUGCUCUGAAUGAAUCACUUUAAAACGGCAAGAUAACUUAGAUUAUCCUUAUUUUCUUUUGCUGGACAUACAUAUCCCGUGAGAGACAUUGUCGUUAUCGGUGGUACUGUAGUUAAAGUUGGAGUAUAUUUUUAGUAUUUUAGUUUUUAUAUUAGGAUUUAAUCAGUUAUUAAGAUGGAUUUUUUCUGGAAAAAACAUGGAUACUUUUUUCUAAAAUUUUUUAUUAACUCUUUUGAAAUUUGUUAAAUUUUUAAUUAUUUUUAUUAGUUUUUGAAUUUUUAUGAAUUAUAGGUAGGCUACCACACGAAUUGAUCACGUCAAUAUUGUUAAAAUUUUAAUAAUCUUUUUAAUUCAAAAGAAAGUAAUAUAACUAAAUUGUAAAGGUUAAGUGUAAAAGUCAAAAUGACAAAAUAAGUCAACAUUAAAAGAUUAAAUUUAUCACGAUGCCUUUUUUAUAUACUCAUAAUUAAUUAUAAUAAAAAGUUAACUUUAUUCAGAUAUAUUUGUUAUUUUAAAUAAAUAUUCAGAAUACAACUUGAAAAUAAUCUCAUGUUUAUAAUUAUAACACGAAAACUUUACUUACUAUAUAAUGGAAGAGUAUUUGGUAUAUUAACAGUGUGCCUUUUUUUAUUGCACAAGUAUGUGUAAAAGAUUGAUAUAUGUCUUUAUUUUUUAAUAUUUUAUUAUACUUUCUAAGACACUUGUCAAUCUUUUAACUUUGCUUAUAAAAUUUAAAAAUUCCACUAAUAAUCUCACCUAGCAAAAUGGAUUAAAAACAUUUAAAGUAAUUUAGUUGAAUUAUGAUAAAAGGUCAAUGUAUUCUAAAAUGCUAAAUGGCAUAAAUUUGAGUUUGUCAAAUUCUCUAGCAUUGGGAGGUAAGUCAAAUUGCAAACUAAGUUGAAUAUUUUUUGGCUUUUCAGUAAUCAUAUUCAUGCUAAUAUUUUUAGAUUUAAUUCUCACUUUCAAUAUUAAAAGAGGGUUCAAAUGCAACUUGGAGUCAACAUGAACAUGAUACUUUGAAAACCCUAAAGGGCACUUGCACUCUUGUUUUGGAGGUGAGGUUAAGAAGACCUACAACAAGUUUUAAUAGAAUUUGAUAUAGUUGAAAAAGAUUCAGAGGAAAAUGGUACCAAAAUCUACAGUCGUGGAAUACGAUGACUGUAUUAAAAUAUAUGAAAUUGGUUGAUGGUUUUAUUUAUUGUCUCUUAAUAUUUUAACUAAUCAAUUAAGUAGUAAUGAGAAGGACAUGACACUUAAUCAUUAUAGUUUCUAGUUAAAGUUUAGGAAGAUGCAUUGACAUCAAUUCACUAAUUUUUUAUGAAAAAUGUUUUUAACCGGUUCAUAUCCCCAAUACCAUUGAACGUUGAAUCAAAUGGUUUUGUUGAUUAGAGAAAGACACUAAGAAAUGUAGAGGAACAUGUAUGCGUAAGAGAGAAUUUGAGGCACAUUUAAUAAGUUAACUUUGGAAAUUUUAUAUGUGGAUAAUAGCAACGAAGAAAGAGACUGUUGAGAAUGAUCAAACUUGGAGCAUAUGUUUAGAUCCAUGUGGAGGUACCUAUUAGGUAAGUGAAACAAGCAAUUGAAAUGAUGGAGAGUUUAGUACACCGGUAUCGUACUAUGAUAAUUUAUGGUCAUUUUUAAUUAAUACAAGUCAAAAAUAAUAAUAUUUAAUAAACCUAAAAUUAAUGGGCAAAUAGUGAUGAGUUAUCCUAAAAUAGAAUUGAAGAGGAUAAGGUCCUACAAUUAAUAAUAAGAAAAGUGAAGACUCUUUGAAAAGAUUAAGGAUGUACUUUGAUUAAGAGUGGUUAUAAAAAAAAAAAUUGGGGGGAAGGGAUAGAGUGGAGUAAGGAAAGUGGUGUGAUUGCCCAUUAACAUAAGUAAGAAAUAUGCGAAUGAUUGCCCAUUAACAUAUAGAGUAGGUAAAAUUGACUUGUUUUUCUAGAAAGACAAUAGAUAAGCCUAAAAAGUUAUAAAAAGUAAUUGUUAAAAUAGUUAAAAUGAGAGGAAAAAAUAAGAUAUUUUUGUUUAUGAGAAUUAAGUGUCGUGAGUCGGGACGAAAAGAUUAAUCAUUGUUACGACAGUAAAUACCUUGAUUACAACGAAAAAGAUAAAAUACCAUUUUACUUUAUAGAAAAUUCUCAUGAUUUUAUAAAAUAUACCAUGAAUAUAUUAAAUCAUAUAAAAAGCGUAAUUCUAUAACUCAUACCUAAUUUAAAUACAGGAUGGUAUUUAGAAUGAUUAUAAGAAAAUGCUUGUUCAUGAAUGUUGUGAGUUUUCCGAAUCUUGGGGACAAUGUACCCUCUGGCUCCCGUCAGGAUUCACCUGGUAAUUUAUAAAAAGGAAUAAACAAUCACUUGGUAACUCACAACUCACAAGGCAUAAAAUAUAAUCACGUCAAGCAGCAAAACACAAACCUUUUUUAAUAUUCCAAUCUAAUACAAGUGAUAAUAUCAACUCUUAGAGCCCUAACUCUUAAAGUAUCAGCACAUAAUUUUAACCACUUACUUUUAAUAAAUACCACCAUCACUACCAUUAUCACCAUCGACAGAGCCUCUCAAUUCAUAUGUCCUGCAAAAAAUGGUGUCAACACUAACAAAAAAACCAAAAUUAUAUCAUUAAAAUAUAUUUGUAUUUCUUAAAAGGCAGAUCAUUCAGUUUUUCUGGACAAGUUUCCCUAUGCAAUCUAAUACAAGUGAUAAUAUCAACUCUUAGGGUCUGUUUGAUUGACGGAAUUGAUUUUCCGGAAAAUCAUUUCCAACUUUUCCAGCGUUUGAUUGGCGGAAAACAUUUUCCAUUUGGAAAAUGAACUCCAAAACAAGGGAAAAUGAGUUACAUUUUAGGGAAAAUGUCUUACUCUUUCAAUUUCUAUAAUUUUAGGCUUUUCCCACCUACCUCUAAUUACACAAAAUAUUUUCAGAUUUAAUUUACUAAUUUUGGCUUUUACAAGGUCAAGAUUUGACUAUCCCAUCAAAUGUCCCAAAUUUAUAAUUUGGUCCCUCUUCUCUUUUCCAUGCUUCAAUCUAACCCCUUCUUUGCUUGUUUUUGAUUUAAAGUGCCCGAAUUUUGUUCCUGUCAAUAUUUAAACACAAAACGCACCAAUUACCAGGGAUUAAUUUGAGAAUAAGUCGAGUUGAACACGUAAAUUAUGCAAAAUGAACAAGUUAUCAUUGACCAUUAGUGCUACGUCAGCACAAACAAACGGUGUUAGUGCAGAGAUACCAACCUAGGUGACAGAAUAUAAAUUCAGGUACCAAUUAGAUAAAAAAAAAUCAUACACCAAAUAAAUACUUUUGAAUAAGUUCGAAAAUAGACGACAAAUUAUCCUUUCUUUUCUCUUUUUAUCUACCUGUAAUAUUUGAAUAUGAAAAGAAGUUACACAACUUUUCAAUUUCAAUAGUAGUUAUUUAACUUUGCCUAGUUGAGUUUUACAUAAAAUUUCUUUCUUUCGUUGAACAUGCUCUCAAUGAAUCACUUCAAACCCCCAAGAUCCUAAUAUUUUGCAGAACAUAUCAAUUGAGAGGCUCUAUCGAUGGUGGUGGUGGUGUUAGAAUCCGUUUAUGCUGGUGGUAGCAUUUUGUAUUUUUUUUUAUCGUAUUUAUUAAAAAUAAGUGGUUAAAAUUACGUGUUGAAAAUUUAAGAUUUAGAGCAUAUCGCCACUCGUAUUAAAUUGUAAUAUAAGCAUCGAUUGUAAAAAGAAAAGUUUGUGUUUUGCUUGUACUGUCUCAUAAAAGACAUUAAGUAAUUUCGUUGUCGUGUUUAUAUUUUAUGCCUUAUGAGUUACCAAAUGGUUGUUCAUUCCUUUUUAUAAAUUACUAGCCGAAUCCUCUUCAGUGAAGGAGCUUGAAAAUUUUUUGGGAGGGUCGGAAUUAAAUUGUAUAUUUGUAUGAUGGUAAAAAUAGAAUUUUAUAAUUUUAAUAGCUUAUAUCUUUAUAAUUUUUAAAAGGUUAAAUCAAAAUUGUAUCAUUUUAAGAGGUCAAAGUAUAGUUUUACUAUUACUAAUUUAAAAUUUUAUAAAUUAUAAAGGGCCUAAAUUAAAAUUUACUAUUUUAAGGGGGCUAUGGCGCCUUGGGUCUCCACUACAUUAUGCCACUGAUCCUCAUGGAAGACAGAGGCUACCUUGACCCCCAAGAUUUAGAAAAUUGCCAUUUGACCUUUUUAAUUUUAUAAAAUUUUUAAUUUAGUUUAUUAAAAUUCUGUAAAUUUUCAUUAAACAAUUUUUAAAACUUUUAAUUAGAUCUCUCAAAUUCUUUUUGGAAAUUCUUAUUUUCUCAAUUAAUUUUUUAAUUAAACUAUUCAGAAUUUUUGAUAAUUCUCAUUAAACCUUUUUAAAAUUCUCGAAAUUUUAAUUAAAUUGGUAAAAUUUGAAAAAUUUUAGUGAAGGGAAUCCCUCCCACAUAUUGAUCAAGAAAGCUUUGAAAAAAUAUUAAUUAAUUAUAUGUUUGAGAGAUUAAUAAUGUACUAUUUGGCUCCCAACAAUAAUAAUUCACUCUUAAUUUUGCUUCUUUUCCCUUUUUCUUUUACUUGUUUUUGUGAAAGAUAUCAUAAUAUAUGUUUUAAAUAAUUAAUGUAAUAAUAGAAAUAUUAAAAAAUAUAGUUAAUAGUAACAAUAUUUUAUACAAGCACAAUGACUUAUUCAAUUCUCCAAUUUUACAAAAAGAGACCAAUAAGUGAUUAGAUGUAAUGACAGGUCACAUUGCAUUCCCAAAAGAACUGCCUAAGUUCGAACAUCAUAAGUAAUAUAAAAACUUAAACAAAGUCAUGUAACAACCCAUAUAUCAAGUAUCACCAAAUACCAUUUCAUUCUUAUUCCAUUGUUUAGUUUCUAUUUUCAAUCAACUGAAUAUCGUCCGAUGGAACUAUAGCAAAACGGGCUCAAAUACACGGGAAUAAGUUGGUCACACAAGUUGACAGUAUAUUAGGGCUGCUCAGACAAGUUGACAUUACAACAGAAUUGCUCACAUAAACUGAUAUUAUAUCAAGGUUAUUCAUCUGGGCUAAACCUUCAAUAUGUAUAACCCGAGAAUUUGAGACAAGCCCAAGAACUCAUCCUAUGUAAAAGGGGUGCCAAACCCUAGUGCAUAGUAGGGUAUGUUGCCGCCCCUUAGUGUUUUGAAUAAAGGGGAACUGUAGUAUCAUAUUAAAACAAUACUAUUUAAUUACUCAUUAUUCAAGUAAAACUUUUGUACUAUUUUCCUAAAAUAGGAUCUAUGAAAUGAUUUAAUUACACCUAUCGCUGUUAUUUUAUCAUAAAAUAGUGGUAAUUUGUUUAUAAGAAUAAAUUCUAUAUUCUGAAAAGCUCAAAGUUUUCGAUUUCUAUAUAGAGAAUUAACUUUCUCACUAAAAGUUCAUGAAAGAUUGGUUGAACUGGGCAAAAAAAUUGGUCGAAUUAGAUGCGAUUGAACUGGUUGAACUAAAAUAUUUUAAUAUAUUUUUAUUUUUUAUGAAUUUUUUAUGAUUUAUUUAAUUGAAUUAGACUAAUCAAUCAAACCAAUUGAAUCAAUUGGAUCAACAAACUAGUAACCUUAUUGGUUUGAUCAUCGAUUUAGUUUUUAAAACCUUAGAUUUCGUCAUACCGUUUCAAUUAUUAUACCUUAUAAAUAAAAUAUAAAGUAAACCAGUGGUGAAAUUAGGGGGAUUGGCAAGGGCCCUGGCCCUCCCUAAAAUGAUUUUUUUUUUCAUAUGGACCCUCUAAAAAAAUUAAAAUUUUAAAUUAAUAAAAAUAAAAUUAUACUUUGGCUCCCCUAAAAUAUAAAAAUUUGAUUUAAUCUAUUAAAAAUUAUAAAGAUGUAGUCUAUUAAAAUGGUGAAAUUGUAUUUUUCUAUCGUAAAAAUUACAAUUUAAUUUUAGCCCAUAAUUUUUUUUUUCUAAUUUCGCACCUGAAAUAAGCUAUAUUUGAUUAAAUUUAUUAUUUUACCUUACAUACAAAACACAAAAUAAACAUUUAACUAUACAAAAUUAAUUGAUGAAUUGUUUUACUCAGUUGAAAGUAGAACAAAUAAUUGAUCCAAGAGGAAAGUGAAAUUUAUCCUUUUAUACGUCGAACAUUAGCGAAAAGGACAAAAAAGAAAUUUUGGGUUAUUUGGCUUUUGUUUCCUGCUGCUCUCCUCAAUCCAUUGACGCUGUUUCACCCCCUUUCUCUCGAUUUCUCAAUGUUUCUUUUCCUGUAAUUUGUUGUGAUUUGAAGUAUAAAUCAGGGAGAAGUAAAAGCUAUCAUAAAAAUGGCGGAGGCAAUUCUUACGGUAGUCUUGCGACAGAUAACAACAAUCUUGAGUGACCAAGCGGUAAAAGAGAUGACGAUGUGGGGAGACCGCGAGGCUGCUCUCAAAAAUCUUGAAACAUAUCUGAAAUCCAUCCGAUCCGUUCUCAAAGAUGCAGAGGACCUUCAAAUUACAGACGAUGCAAUCAAACUGUUGCUAGAAGAUCUGAAAAUUGUAAUUUAUGAAAUCGAGGAUGUGUUGAAUUUAUGGAGCUGUAAAGUACGGAAGGCAGAAUCUGUUCGUGCCAAGGUAAAUUGUCUACUUGAAUUCAUUGCAUAUCGUCGUAGUUCUGAUAGAAUAAAGAAGAUUUGUGAAAAACUGAGUCCAUUUGAGCUGAAAAACAAGCUGGAUCUGGGCAAGAGUAAAAUUAUAUCUCCUCUGCGGAACAAAGAAAGUACUAGCUAUUGUGAUCUAUCAAAAAUUAUUGGUCGAAGCGGAAUAAAAACUGAGUUAGUGUUCCGUUUAGUUUNNNNNNNNNNNNNNNNNNNNNNNNNNNNNNNNNNNNNNNNNNNNNNNNNNNNNNNNNNNNNNNNNNNNNNNNNNNNNNNNNNNNNNNNNNNNNNNNNNNNNNNNNNNNNNNNNNNNNNNNNNNNNNNNNNNNNNNNNNNNNNNNNNNNNNNNNNNNNNNNNNNNNNNNNNNNNNNNNNNNNNNNNNNNNNNNNNNNNNNNNNNNNNNNNNNNNNNNNNNNNNNNNNNNNNNNNNNNNNNNNNNNNNNNNNNNNNNNNNNNNNNNNNNNNNNNNNNNNNNNNNNNNNNNNNNNNNNNNNNNNNNNNNNNNNNNNNNNNNNNNNNNNNNNNNNNNNNNNNNNNNNNNNNNNNNNNNNNNNNNNNNNNNNNNNNNNNNNNNNNNNNNNNNNNNNNNNNNNNNNNNNNNNNNNNNNNNNNNNNNNNNNNNNNNNNNNNNNNNNNNNNNNNNNNNNNNNNNNNNNNNNNNNNNNNNNNNNNNNNNNNNNNNNNNNNNNNNNNNNNGCAUCUUUCUAACACCAACAACAUUACUGCCAUCCUAAUAAACCAUAAGUACCAUUUCCACUCCAUCAUCAUCAUCAUCUUUCUGUUUUCACUUCUCUCUCAGCUAUAUGUUACUUUUUGUUAACUUCUAUAUGUAUAUAAUCUAAAGAAGCCUAAGCUUCUUAUUUAUAUACAAGCAGAACAUUUUGCAUCCCACUUAUUCAAUAUAAUAUAAAAAUAAUAUAUAAUUAAUUAAUUCCUCAAAAAUUGGAUCAAUCUAGGCUUCUUAUUUACGUAAAUUCCUUAUUGCAAAAACUCUUGGUAGAAAUUCGUUAGGAAAGGAUGAAUGGACCACAAGAAUGCUUAUCAACUCUUGACUUUGGCGUCCAAUGCUAAAUUUAUUUUAAAAUUUCUUCAUGGAGACAAGAUGGGAUGACAAGAAUGAUAAGUUUUAAGUCAUUUAAGUUUACACAAUUUUAAUCACUCAUAAAAACAAGUAUUGACAUUCUAUUAAAGAAUUUAAACAUGGCUUAACGUUGAUUUUAAAUCUAAUGUUGAUGUUAAUCUUGAAAAAAGAAUGGCCAAAAAAAAUAUGAAAAGUGAGAGGUGGACAUAAAAUAGUGUAGUUGGGGUUAUAAAAUUCUUCAUGUAGACAUAAUAUUUUUUUUAUGCCUUUUUUACACUUAUAUAGAGUUAGUCUUGACUUUGCUUUAUUAAUAGAAAUUUUAGGUCUUCAUUUUUUGUUUUAUUCAUGGACAUAAUAUUUUCUUAUUUUUAUUUUAUGGUCUAUGAUCGAGGUUUAUGACUAUCCCCUUUCAACAACGUCGUCUCAACUGUUCAAACAUACACUUGCAGGUAAAAUAAUACUUUUUAAAAUCACAAAUAUUUAAAAUAAUACAUUGCAGCUAUAUAAAUGCUUUCUUGUUUAAGAUACUAAUAAAGUAAUUAACAAAGUAAUUAUUAUACCUAUAAUAAUUCAAAAUGCCACUUGUUAUCUAAUGAAGUAUAGGGGUGUAAAUGAGACAUCCGUACCCGCAAGCUAUUCGAAUUUGGCUCAAAAAAUUUUGAAAUUGAUUCGGUAAUUAUUGAGCCGAGCUAUAGGUCGAUCCGGAUUCGAGCUUAGUAAUACUUGACUCGAGUAGUUUGAGAGCCUUAUUGAACUUUUUAUAUUUUUAUAUUAUUAGAUUACAUUAUUGCUAUUAAUAUAUAUUAUUAACCCUAAGUUUAAUUAUUGAGGCGAGCUCAAACUCGAGUACAAAAAUUGAUAAACAUAUUUAAUUUCGAGCUUAAAAAUAUAUGUUCGAUCGAGCAUCAAGCUUUGAAUUUCAAAUUAAACUUGAGUUUAACAGUAUUGAGUUCAAAUAGAUUCAAUUACACCCUACAAUAAAAUAUACCAACAAAACCUACAUUCCAUCUUUGCUAUAAAUUUUAUGUAUGUGUGUGUUUAACGUGAGUUCCAUCUAUGUCCAACUUGAUGACGAUGAAAGUUCCUAUGGUGUAAAAAGUUUUAGUUAUGUGGAAAAAUAAGGCCUUCUCUUCACACGUUUAAUAUGCUUACUUGUGUCGGUCAUUUCGAUCUUCACAUCAAUUUUCAAAAAGUUGGAAAACUUAUGUCUGCUUUUAUGAUUCUUUUAUGUGUGUGUUUAACGUGACUUCCUUGUGAGUUCCAUCUAUGUCCAACUUGAUGACAAUGAAAGUUCCUAUGGUGUAAAAAGUUUUAGUUAUGUGGAAAAUUGGUGGAAAACUUACGUCUUUUUCACUUGCUUUUAUGAUUCUUUUUACAUGAUAUUACUAUAUAAUUAAAUUGAAAUACUGAUAAAUUUGAACCCAUAUGAUGUAAGUCUAGGCAUCAUCUAAUUUAUUGAUAUUUAAUUAAUUAAUAUAUAUACUUUCAAUUAUAAGAAUUGAAACAUAACUUUCAAGUCAAUUGGAGUAUGCCCCUGUUACACGUCAAAAGAAGUAGAUUUUGAACUCAACAUGAACCUGUGAGAUUUGAUGCCUAAAAUAUAGGUAUAAGGUUUCAAUUCAUGGAAAUGUUGGAAAUCUUGGAAAUUUCUUAGUCUCCUCUCUUUGGAUGUUUUUGAACAAAAAUGUUUUAAGUCUCUUCCGAUGCUAAACUUCUGAUUGGUCGUCGGUUCACUGACCCUUUGGUACACAGCAAUAUGAAGCAUUGGCCAUUCAAGGCCAUUGCUGGUCCUGGUGAUAAGCCAAUGAUUGUACUACUAUAGAUUUGAAUAUUUGUACACAUUUGAUCGGCUCUUCGUAAAUUUAAAUCUUACAAAUUCGGAUAAUAUUUGAACUUUGAAUGUAUGUUUUGUUGGUGAGAAUAUAAAGUUGAUAAAGAUUUGGUAAAUAGAGUAAAAUAUUAUUUUUAUUAGAAAAAUUAUUUGGUACACUGCCAAUCGAGGUAAUUAAAACAUGUCAUUAUAAAUAAUAAAAUUAUGAUGACUCAAAUAUACGAACACGUCAAAAUUUAUGUACAACGAAUUAUUAACAUGUAAAUGUAUAAUACGGUACGCAAAAAUAAGAUAAUUGCUUGUUUUUUUAAUUGAAUUGUUAUAACAUAUUAUACAAAAUACAUUGUGACUUAAAGCAUAAAAUGAACUUGAUAUCAAAAUAUUAAAUUUUUUUUAAAAUUCAAUGAUACGAAUAAUUAUGUAAAAUAUAACAUGAUGCAAAAUAUCUUGAGAGGAAAAGAGGAAUAAAGAAUUGCAUUAUUUGUGAGGUUUUAAAAUAUUCCAGUUUUAGAUUCAAUUUUCUAGUAUGUUUGGUUUAAUUUUACAUUAGAUUUCCUUUUCAGUAUGCACUAGUGAACGCUUAGCAGUCAGUUUAAUUUAAUUCAAAGAGAUAUUGCAUAUACAUAAUAAUGGAUUAUGAUUUUACAUUAAAUUUCAUAGAAGAAAAAGAAAUAGAUGGUUGAAAAUGAUAAAACCAUAAGAUAAAAGAGCUUUUAUUCAAAAUGCAAAAAUCAACAAAAUAUUCAUUAUCGCUCAACUUAGCAUAAUUAAACAUUUAGGUGUGGAAACAAGUCACAAUUUGAGUAGCUAAACACAUUGCUUGAAAAUGUGAUAAGUAAGAAAAUUGCCCACAUUUGAGUAGCGACAUGUGGUGAAGCAUUUCCCAACGAGAGAAAACUAAGCUCUUCACCAGUAUGGAUUUAUGUAGAGGACAACAAAAAUUGUCAACAACACAACUACAUAAGAAACCAAAAAGCUCACAAAAAAAUCAUAAGUAUCUAUCAAACCAUCUUCUCCUUUAUCUUCUGAUACAAUUGAUAUCGCUGAUGGUGAAUCGGUUUUGGAACAACUUUUAUGCAAUAUAUCUCCACAACGAAAAGGAUUUCCCUCAUAACUGUUUUCAAUAAAGGUCCCAAAUUGAGCUUUUGGUUCGGGAAUACUACCUGACAAAUUGUUAUAUGCCACGCUGAAAACCUCCAAAGAGUUCAACUCUACCAAUUGAUUGGGGAUUUCACCACACUCAAGUUGUUGUAAGAAAGGUCCAAACUCUCAAUGUGCUGAAGUUUUGAGAAUGAUGAGGGUAUAACUCUGGUCAACUUAUUGUGUGACAAGUUUAAAGAAUGGAUUUCACUCAAGUUCCCUAAUUUUGGUGGGAUAUGACCAGUUAAGUUUUUGCAAGAUAAAUCAAUCCCAAUAAUAUAUGAAAGGAUGUUGCCCUUGUACGAAUAGAACCCACUCUUUGUUGUGAACUCUAUUACUUCUUCUAAGUAGCUGUCAGGGUUGUAAGGAUUUAUACCCCUUUCCCAUUUUCUCAUCACAAUGGAUGUUGAUUCAUCCUUUUCUAUAAAUGGAAGAUAGAACCCAGUUGCUAGACUCUCUUUCUCUUUCAGUGGAAGAGAUAAAUUUCCCAAACAAGAAGGUAUAGGACUAGAAAACAUAUUUUGAGAAAGAUCUAUGAUGCUUAAAGAAUGCAACUUGCAUAACUCAAUAGGAACUUUAUCAUGAAAAUGAUUAUCUUUCAGGAGAAGAACACUCAAAGAAGAAAGCGUGUAAAUCCAUUUUGGAAUACUACCUGUCAAAUUGUUUCCUCUAAGAUCUAAAGUCACUAUUGAAGAGUUAUUAUAAAAAAGCAAGUGAUAGUGUGCCUCUCAGUCUAUUCCCGUGGAGGUGGACAUGCUCUAUGUAUGGUGGAUUAAAACAUGACGGUAUAGAGCCAGAUAAAUUAUUUUGAGAAAGAUCCAAAAAUUCCAACCUAUUCAACUUUCAAAAUUCCAUUGGAAUAGAACCUUCAAAACCAUUGUUGGACAAAUUUAAUCUCCACAAAAAUGAUGCAUUCCCUAUCCAUCUUGGGAGCUUUCCAUGCAACUUGUUACUGAGAUCAAUUUCGCUUAGUGAAUUUGGAAACUCAAAAAGAAAUGUUCACACAAAGUUUUUUCCAACAUAUGUCUGUCAUUUGUGGGGUCUUGAAUUUAAUAUCAAUGGUUGAAUUUUCAUAGCUAAUAUGUGCGCAAAAGGCCUAGUGGGUGGAAUUUUAUGUCAGGAAAGCGUUUCUACAAUGACAUAAUUAAUUGCAUUACUUUUCAAAGAUUGACUAUUGACUUUGGUGAGCUUAUUAGGUUAAAUUCUGCUGCUGGUCACUGUUCUUUGUGAAAGUUGUAAAUUUAGUCUAUUUACUUCAAUUUGAUCAAUUUUAAUCCCUAUACAUUUUGAUUUUUAAAAUUUUAGUUGUGACCCAAACAAUAGAGUUAAAUCAAUUUAAUUAAAACCAAUUACUAGUCCUAUAUUAUGUGUACAAUUGUUGAUUUAGUCCAUACUCUCCAAUUGGAUCAUUCUAAGUACCUAUAUUUUUCAAAUUUUAAAAUUUCAGUCUUGAUGCAAAUGACAAUCCUUAGUCCGUUAACUAGAUUUUUAGUAACAUAUGAAAAUAAUAAGAUGAUAUGACAUUACAAAUAUGAUAAUAUUUUUGCGUUAAAUAUGUCAACAAUGACAUAAUUAAUUGCAUUAACUUUCAGACGUUGACCAUUGACUUUUGCUUCAACCUUGAGCUUAUAUAGCCCCUACAAUAAUUUAGGUUAUGGAAAUAAUCUUACAAUUAAUGCCUGAGAAAUUAUUAUAGAUCAAUUUAUAGUUUUAAUCCCUAUAAUUACUCAAUUGAAUUGAAGAUUCAGAUUUUCUUAUUUAAUUUGAUAUAUUUUCUUCUCUUAUUAAUGUUAAUGUUAUGGAUUAGUUUUUUUAAGACAACAUUAUUUUAUUCAAUGAAUAAUAUCAUACAAUUCGAGGAGAAAAUAACAAACACUCGUUGUACUCGUUAAAGGACAAGUUCCAUCAACACAACAAAACCUUUAACUUCAACAUUAAUAGAACAUUAUGGCAUGUUGAAAUCGGCUCUGUCACAACUCAAGCACAACAUAUCAGGAGUGAUUACAAGCACUUAAUAUGGUAAGAAAAUUAACCCCGGAUGGUCCAAAGCGGUGGGCAUAAAUCAGCAAAAGAACUGAGCAUCCACCAAACUAGAGGGGAUGCGGCGACAAAACUAACCCUAAAAUUACUCUCAAAAGCAAGACUAAAAAGCGUACUACAAGAGUAGACAAAAACUUCGAAAAGUAAAGACUUAUUAAACAAUGGAAAAAUAAACAAAAAAAACAUAUAAAACUUAAGAUAACAUGAGUCUAAACCGAGUCAUGAAAUUAUUUAUUAUUUUGAAACUCUCAAAACAUAAACAAAUUAAGAAGUCAACGAAGAGGUACCCACUUUCUAAAAGAAAGUGUUGGUGGUCGGUGGUGUUUCAAUGAUGAUAGGCAUUGUCACCUGUUCAUCACAACUUGUAAAGAUAACAAAAAUACCCACAAAAUAAAUCUGUAAAUUGAAAAGAACGAAGACUCAUGGAGUGAAUGAGAAGAAGAAAAAUAAAAAGGGUUAAUAGAGACAAAGCAGGGCGGUAACUAGUUCAGAGGCUAACACCGCUGCUAGGCUAAAAAAAGAAGAAGAAGCAAACAUGUUAUGGAUUAGUUAAAAUAACUAACAUCAUUGAAAAUUUCAUUACUUGGCUGAUUUGGAUUUUUUUUUUUAAAAAAUUGAAACUAGAAACCAUAAAUGAUCUAACAUUUAGAAACCAUAAAUUGGGUUCAAUUGCUUUGCUGUCCAACUCCAUCCAUCUAAAAUCGCAAGGAUGUACCCAUGUUCAAUAUGCAGUACAGACCCAAAAAUUGACCAUAUAAUGUGGCUCAAGAGAAUUUUCGAAUGGUUUUAAAGAAUUAUGAGAACACAAUGAAUAAAGUUAAGGCAUCAUUUAUUCAGCUUGCUAUAAUGCAGGUCAUUCCAAUAAAGAAGCAUUUUUUAACUAUAUUUUCCGUUACCCCAAUAACAAUGGCACAGAAUGUUCUCCGAUGAACAUAGAACUCACCAUUUUUAGGAACACGUGUAGUUGAGGAUGAGAAUUCGGAUCAACUGUAACUUCAAAUGGUGGAAUGAAAACAUUGUCCAGAAUAUUCUGAAAAGAUUUUUCAAUUCCCAUUUGCUUGUACACAUUAUACAAUCGUGGUGACUGCAGAAUUAAGUCAAAAUCAAGUGAAGAAGGUUACCUUUGACUUGAGAAAUAUAUCACAGAGAGAGAGAAAGAGAAAACAGUAAUCUGGAAAGAUGAUGCUUAAUAUGGACAUGAUACCCUAGAAACCGAUCGAUCUUAAAUUUUAAUUUCUAAAAUAUUAUUAGCUUGUGCAUACUUUCAAAUACUUUUCAUUAGAGUUACCAUAAGACUAAUUUUUCCAAUUUUAGAUGAUUCAAGAAACUAUUUGGGGGCAAUUCUUAAAUAAACAUGUCCAAACAGUAGUCAUUAACAAGAAAGCAUCCAAGAAAACCAGCAGUUAAUACUUAAAUUAACAUUAUCAAAUGGAGAUGUAAAGAAGAAAGAAUCCUACUGCAAAGCUAGAUAGCAGGAGAAUCACUAGAAUGAAGAGAAAUACUAUUGGCACUAUACCUGGAUUAACCAAACAGUAGUCUCACUAUAAAUUUCAUUGUUAAUAAACCAACUUGCCAAACUGGUCCCAUUCACUUUGUUUCCUUCCAUAUAUGGACACCCUGUACUCUGCCAUCUAGAAAAUAUAUAUAUUAUUCAGUGUAGUCAGAGGCGCAAGGAGCACUCUAGGUGCUAGAAUCCUUUUAUUGUACAAGGCACAUGGCGCACAAAAAAAAAAAAAAACUUGCUUAUGUUAAGGCACAUGUAUGCGUGUUUUGGUAUGUCCAUGUCUGUAUAUAUAUAAGCCGAAGAUAUAUAAUUAUAAUAAUAAACUAUAAAAGUGCUCCAGUCUGAAGUACAGAACAUGCCAAAUUUUCUUUCUUUUGUCAACCAUAUGCAUAUUUCCAUAUGAUGCCAUGCCUGGUGUUGAAUACUCAAAUAUUGAGAAGUUGAGAGUUCGAUAUUAUCCCUUUGUUACAAUUAAGAAACAAUUAAAGAGAUAGUAAAGAGAACUUCAAUUAGAAGGCCUUUUCCCCCUACAUGCACCAGGCAGGCGCUUAGCCUGAAAAGGUCAAAGGCCCUUUUACUGUCUGGUGAUAAGGCAAAAAACAUUGGACAAAGUUGGUGGGAGGAUAGAAUACUAAAAGAGCCCAAUGUUGUCACUUUUCUAAAGUAAGCUCAUAUGCCUUUUUUGUACCCAAACAAUAUCUUACCCUUUAAUUUGUACCUAAAGAAAUUAUUUCUAAUAGAAAGUUUACUUUUGUUAUGAUCAAUGCUGGAGGCCAAAACUGAUUUGGGCUAAGGAAUUGGUGGUGAGAGUUGGAAGGCAAGAAGAAAGAAAGUUCUUUUGAGUGUUAUAUUUUUCAAAAAAUACAAAUUGUUCAUUUUUUUUACCACAUCAUCAUGCCAGGUCAGCUUCCAUGUGGAUAAAGAAAAUUUUGGCGGCAUUGAAACAGAGGCUUCAUGGGCUUUUAGUAAUUUAGCCCUUGGAAGGAAUAUGACCAUCCAAAAAAAGGCAGUUGAUGCUUUAAGGUCAAUUAGCCGAAACAAUAACAACAAUUCCUAGGCUUCAAUAAAAUAAUUUAGACAACAAAUAAAGCUUGAAGGUUGAGUUUUGCACUGCAGCAGCAUUGGGCUUUACAAGGUGAAAACCCACAUUGCACAAAAAUAUCAAAGUUUCAGAUCUAUCAUAAUUUAAAAUUCUAACUAAACUAAACGCCAAGAAUGCUGAAUGCCUAAUCAAAAAACAUAAGAUUAACCCAAGGACCUAAUUGGGUAUGCUAAAAUUUGUCUUGGAAUGAAAUUAAUAAUAUCCUUACUAUUUCACUUUUUUUUUCUUCAUAUGUUUGGUGUGAGCAUGAUACAGAUUAGACUGAUUUUAAAGUAAAAGUAAAACGAUACCAAACCUAAACAUUUUGGUUUUUUUUUAAUUUUUUAUCAGAGCCCUGUUUGAUGCAUUUUUAGUUUUGUUUUCUAAUAACAAAUGGAAAGUUAAUUAAAAAAAAACCCUAAUCCAAUGAGUUCUUUUAUAGAUAUAAGAUAAGUCCUGCAAAGUUUUUGUUUUUUAGAAAUAAAAUUUUAUUUUUGUUUUUUAAUUCUUCAUACCUAUUUUAAUAUCUAAGUUCCGGAUUCCUAACUGCCCUUUCAAUUAUAUAGUAUUCAAGAUUUGAACUUAUAUUUUUCUAUAAAAAUAUAAUGUAUUUUAUUAUUGUAUCCUACAUUCAUUAAUACUUAGUAGAAAUAACCUAAUAAAAUGAUUUUUUUCAUAUAUUAAUAGAGAUAAGAUUCGUGCAAAAUUGUUGGUUGAAAAUUCAUUAGGAAAGGAUGAUUGUACGAAUGUACCAUCAUUAUAAGUGAGCUCAACGAUAAGCCUCCUAUCAAUCACCAGUGUGCAGAAAACAUUUGAAAUCGAAACACCCGUUCAUACAUCAUACAUCAUCAUAAGUGAGCUCAACGAUAAGCCUCCAAUCAAUCACCAGUCUACAGAAAACAUUUGAAAUCGAAACACCCCGGACAUCUCCAACAAAUCUGCCAUAACGUUAGCAUCUCUUCCAUUUUUUCUAAACAAAACCUCACUAAGCUCAUCAAAUGUGCCAAUAUUUCCAAGGCCUAGAUUUCUCAUUGAUACACCAAGAAAGCUCGACUAUGGAGUCGGAUUCAACCAUAAGCUUUCAGUCUAUAAUCCACUAGGAAUCCAAAAAGAAACACUCUCGAACACCUAAAGAACCUGAAACAUAGCAAUGACAUGACCCUUUGAAUUUCUAAGAACCUCACCUCACCACGUCGAGCUAAGAUUACCUAAUGUCGAACCUUCACGGUUAAACUUUUACCAGCCUUCACCUUACUCUUGAUAUGAUGAUUAUGGAUACUCCCUUCACAAUCCCACAAACACUCCCACCAAAUUGACUCAACAAAAUUUGCACCUAUAGGUUUUCUGUUUAUAUUUGAUUUUGUUCACACAUUGCCUAAAACUACUCAUGAUCCCUCUCCAACCUAUAAAUACGAGGAUAAUGCGCUUCAACGCGCUCAAACCCACGUCCUCCUACAUUAGCAACAAUACUCAUGUCAAUCGAGUUAAAACACAAUCAAUAGAUUUUUUUUAAAAAAAAUCUUUAAAUGUUAUAUUAUUAUAUAAGAAUUUGAAACAUGACUUCCGUAGGUUUUAAAUCUAAUGUUGACACUAAUCUUGAAUAAGUCAUUCCACUCCCAUCUUAACUAAUGGCCAAAGAGAUAUCAAAAGUGGGAGAUGGCCAUAAAAUUGUGUAGUUUGGGUUAUAAAAUUUUUGGGCAAACUACAUAUAUUAUCAUUUAAUUAUAUAUUUUUUUCAAUUUAAACACUUAAAGUAAAAAAUUUAUAAUUUAAGCACCCACAUUAUAUAGUUUAGUUAUUUUGAUCACUCCAGUUAAAAUAAAAAAUGGCAAACUGAAGCGACAAUUAAAAAAAUGUAUAAUAACAAAUUUAACCCUCAAAUUUUAUAUAUUAUAUCAAUUACAUAUUACAACUAAUUUUAUAAUUAUUGAUAUUGAAUAUGUCCCUCACUACGUUAGGGAUUUUUUUUAUAAUUUGUAUUUAAUUAAUAUUUAAAAUUAAUUUCAAAAUAUGUGAAAAUUUUAUAAUUAUUUGGUGUUAGUCCCUUUAUUAUACCCAAAUUUAGGAUUAAGCCCCUAUAUUUUAAUUUUGACAUAAUUUGUUUCUUUCACUUUUAUAAUCUCAUUAAUUAUUUCAAGUAACUAACACUUUUAACAAUAUUGCCAAAUAAAAUAAUGUCAUAUUUUUUUUUCUUAAAGCCAUCACUUCUAACUAAAUCAUGACUUAAUCACUUUCUAAUUAAUCAUACUAACUUAGAUUUUUCUUUUGUUGGAAUCAGUACGUUUAAGGAAAACCCACCUUAACAUUUGUAGAUGUCUUCAACAAUUUCCUAAGCACGAUACAAUAAAGCUUGGUGUGUAUAAUUUUGUUUUAUGGAAGCUCCAAAUUAUGUUGAUUCUUGAAUGAUACGGUCUGCAUGGGUUUGUUUUGGGUGCUAUUAGUGUACUAGCACAGUUUGUAGAGGAUAAAUAUGGGAGAUUAGUAGAAAAUUCUGAUUAUGUUUUACAUGUGCAACAAGAUAAGCUAUUGGCUUCUUGGUUACUUUCAACUGUUAGUGAUGAAAUCCUAGCCUAUCUUACUAGUGCUCGUACUAGUUAUUAUAUGUGGGAAACUAUUGAAAAGAAGGGUUGCGACUAAGUCCACGGUAAAAUUGUCCAGUCAUGUGUUGUAUUCACAGAAAAAGGGUCAUUUGUUUGUUAAAGAAUAUUUGUCUAAGAUCAAGUCCAUGUGUGAUAUGUUGGUUGCAACGGGUUGUUUGAUUUCAAAUCAAGAAAUGGUUAGCAUCAUUCUUGCAAGGUUGCCAGUUGAGUGUGAAUCAGUACGGGUAGUAGCUUCAGCUACUGGUGUGUCACUUGAUCUGUUGAUUGAGAUGCUGCUUGAUUGUGAAGCUCGAAAAUUGAGUUCUUGAAUAGUGUUCUCGUACAACCUAACAUAGCUAGUAAACAAGAUUGUGAUGAGGGUGAUCGGACCAAGGGUUCUGAUUAUAACAGUGGCUAUCAAGGGAACAAACAGACAUAUAUAGGUGGUUUUCAAUGCAAUAGAGGUUCCAUCGAGGUUGAGGCCGUGAGGGUUGUUUUUCUAACAAUCGGCCCCAAUGCCAGUUGUGUGGUAAAAUUGGACACAUUGUCCAAAAGUGUUAUUACCGUUUUGAUGAAAAGUUUUGCAGGUAUUGCUAGGAUGGUAAUAUGGUAUAGUGGGCUGCAUCUUGAUUGUUUGUUUCUCAUGCUGAGGCUAUAAUUUUAAUCAUACCUAUUAUUGUUUCUUGUGUCCUGCAAUUUCAUCAUUUGCAGGCUGUUUCACUAAUUGCAUCCUAUUUACAAGUUCCCUUGUGUUAUCCUCUGCGCUUGGGUGGUUCUCGCUCAUAUAUUAAUGACCAUGCGUCUUCAAUAGACCAUGCAUCUUCUGAUUUGUCAUUGGAUACAACACUUUCAGCAAAUGUAAAGCCGGUAGAAUUUCCGCUGUUUUUAGAAGGUCAAGACACGACAAGAGCAGCAUAUGCUGUGUUCUUGUUAAACAAGGUAAGCUUUUGCAUAUUAGUAAUUUUUUUUUCCAAGAUGAAUUAUUCUCCUUUGGCAUUUUAUAUUAUAUAAUUAGUCACUACAAAACAUAAAUAAAUAAUAAUACUCCAUUUUUACAAUAAAAAUUCACUAAAGAAAAUACAUUUGAAGUCUAUCAUUGCUUUUUCGAAUAAGAGUCGGUCAAGAAAGUUAUGCGCAAAUACUUAUAUCUUUAUUUCAGAUGCUUUCAAUUCUAUUGUCACUUAAAUCCAAGUACUUUAAAUUUGUCAAAUUAUUCAAUUUUGAAAUUCAAUCCCAAAUAUUGAUCAAUUAUAUAUAUUCAUGAUAUGAUAAAAGCAAAGACAUCUUUCAACAUUAACUUUCCCUUAAACAAAAAUUGGUUUUAAAGUAAAAAAGAAACAUAUAAAACCAGUCUAGCUUGAAUAUGAAUCAAUAUAUAAACACUAUACUUAUACCUUGGUUUGAGAUGCUUUCAAUAUUGUUGUCGCUUAAAUACAAGUAUUUCAAGUUUGUCAAAUUAUUCAAUCCCAAAUAUUGGUUAGUUAUAUAUGAUAUGAUAAAAUCAAACUUGAACAUACAUUGAUUUUUAAAGUUGAAAAUUACUUGUUAAUUUUUUUUCUUUCUUACCUAUAUGAAAAUUUUACUAAAGUAAAAGUUGAAUUACAACGGAUAAAAAGAAUGGAAAACUAGGUACCAAGCCUAGAAGACCAUCCUCAAACUCCACUAUACAAAUAAAAACUACUCAAACUCCACUAUACAAAUAAAAACUAACACCGGACCAAACUUAAUUUACCUCUUAGAUGACUUGAUCCUUCAAACUGGUUGUAUGAUAGAUCUAAAUACCGGAGAGAUGAAAGCUCACUCAAAGAUAACAAAAUGCUAUCAUUCAAGUAAUUGUAACUUAAGUCAAGGAUCUCCAAAUUACUCAAUGUGAAUGAUAGCUUUCCAAAGCCUGUAGAAGUGUUCUUUUAAACAUAUACAAGCAGUUAGUGACUUUUCUUCCAUAAAAUAAAAUAUAAGUAAUUGUAAAUUAACAAUGGUGAGAAUAGUGGAAUAGUAAAAGAUAUAAUUAAGGAAAAAAAAUAAAGGCACGACCUUCAUUUUCAAGGUUACCACCUAUGGCAUUUCCCGACAAAUAAAGUCUCUUCAAUUCCUCAAAAGGAAGAAACAUAGAGGCAUUGAGAUACCAGACAAUGAGAUUCCUAUUAUCCAUGCCGUAUUCCCAAUUGUCUUCCCAUUUUGUAGAAAUAAGGGAGAGUUGUAUGAGUCUCCUAGUGGUGGUGUUACACUCAAAUCCUUCCCAUUUACAACAAUCUGAACCCUUCACCUCAACCCAACUUUGCAAUGGAUUACGAUAAACGAAGAAAGGCUUGAGAUGCAAGAGAGCGAUUCUCUCAUGCUCCAAACAAGCAUCAGUAGUACACCAUCUGCAUCCUUCUAACACCAACAACAUUAUUGCCAUCCUAAUAAACUAUAACCAUUUCCACUCCAUCAUCAUCAUCUCUCUGUUUUGUAUACAUAUGGACUACAAUUCAAGUUUCAUGCUUAUAAUUAUACCAAAUCAAAGUUCAUGUAUCAAAUUGCACAUUAAAUCAAAAUUUAUGUAUACAUUUGAUAUUUAUCUCAUUUAUGGGAGAUUAACUUUCUAAUGGUAUUGUUUUGUUUACAUUAAUCCAAAUAAUAGGAAAUGAUGAAUUAGUUUAACGCAAAUUGUAAUUCUAUUAAUGUUUCUUCUCAAACUUUUGGUUGCUCUUAUUUACAUGUUUUAUUAAUUGAUAGAUUUAAAUUCUUGGAAUAUAUUCGGUUAGAAUGAAGUGCCCCGAAUCCUUAUUUAAAUAAAAUACAGUGUUAAAAUAAAAGAAAAGUAAAAUCCCUACAGAAUUAUACUUCUUUUAUUUUAUUUUAGAAUAAGGCUUUUUAAAUCUUAUUAAACUCCAUCUAUUUGAUAUUGAUUAGAAUAAAGAGUUUCACUCCUAUUAGAAUAAAGUUUUACAAGCCUAUAAAUAGACAUAGUCUACUCCUCUUGUAAUUAAUUCAAAUUCGACAUAGUGAAUUUUCUUCUCCUCUGCCCGUGGUUUUUUCCCGAAAGGGUUUCCACGUAAAAUUUGUGUGUUCUUUAUUUUUCUAUUUCUAUUUUCUUUGUGAUAUAUUAUCAUUACCGACAUUUAUUUUCACAAAUUGGUAUCCGAGCUUCUGGGUUGUUCAUCGCAAUCACUGUAAUGACGUCUUUGAAGUAUGAAAUUCUACUGUUGGAUCGCAACACCAGAUUCGCAUUUUGGCAGAUAAAGAUGCAGGCAGUUCUUGCACAGAUGGACUUAGAGAAAGCCCUGCUAAGGUUAGAUAAGAUGCCUUCAACAUUGAUGGAGGAAGAGAAGAAGCACAAGGAUUGAAAGGCGUUAACACAAUUACAUCUGCAUUUGUCUAACGAAAUUUUGCAGGAUGUGAUAAAGGAGAAUACCGCCGCUAGAUUAUGGAAGACGUUGGAACAACUAUGUAUGUCGAAAACUCUAACUAGUAAGCUGCAUAUGAAGCAGCGUCUUUAUGCUCAUUGUUUGGAGGAAGGUGCGUCUAUGCAUGAACACUUGACAGUGUUUAAAGAAAUUCUCUCAAAUUUGGAGGCCAUGGAGGUUCAGUAUGAUAAGGAAGAUUUAGGGUUGAUUCUACUUUGUUCGUUGCCCCCGUCUUAUUUAACCUUUAGAGAUACAAUUUUAUAUAAUCGCGAGUCUUUCACAGUUGAUGAGAUUUAUAAUUCUUUAACCUCGUAUGAUAAGAUGAUGCAUCUUAUGGUUAAAACUGACUCUCAAUGAGAGGGUCUCAUUAUUCGUGAGAGAUAAGAUCAGAAUAUUGAUGAUGAUCAUGGAAGGACACAAGAACGGAAUCCUCGUGGUAAAUCUAAAGGUAGAUCGAAGUUUUCAAACAGAGGUAAAACUUGUAACUUCUGCAAGAAGAAAGGGCACAUUAAAUCUAAGUGCUAUAAGCUACAGAAUAAGAUCAAAAGGGAGACUGUGAAUCAAAAUGGAAAACAACCAGAAAAUUUUGGUAAGGCUAAUGUUGUAGAAUACUACAGUGAUUGUGAACUUCUAGUCGCUUCUGUCAAUAAUUUUAAAGUGAGCGAGGAGUGGAUCCUUGAUUCGGGUUGCACCUUCCACAUGAGUCCCAAUAGUUAUUGGUUUACAACUUACGAAAUAGUGUCUGAAGGUGUUGUUUUAAUGGGAAAUAAUACUUCAUGUAGAAUUGCAGGUGUUGGAACAAUUAAAGUUAAGAUGCUUGAUGGAGUUGUCAGAACACUUAGUGACAUAUGACAUGUUCCAAAAUUGAAGAGAAAUUUAAUUUCAUUGAGUACUCUUGAUUCAAAAGGGUACAAAUACACAGCUAAAAGUGGUGUUUUGAAUAUUUCUAAAGGUUCCCUCAUUGUGAUGAAAGGAUAGAGAAAGACUACCAAGUUUUAUGUUUUGCAAGGUUCUAUUGUUACUGGUGAUGCAGCUGUCGUAUCCUCUUCCUUGUCAGAUGAUGAUAUUACUAAACUUUGGCAUAUGCGCCUAGGGCAUAUGAGUGAGAAUGGCAUGGCAGAAUUGAGCAAAAGUGGACUUCUUGAUAGGCAAUGAAUUUGCAAACUGAAGUUCUGUGAGCACUACAUUUUUGGGAAGCAAAAGAGAGUUUGAUUCACCAGAGGAAUCCAUAACACAAAGGGAACGUUUGAGUAUAUUCAUUCUGAUCUGUGGGGGCCAUCCAGAGUACUUUCGAGAGGUGGAGCUAAUUAUAUGCUAACUUUUAUUUAUGAUUUUUCCAAAAAAGUGUGGGCGUUCUUCCUGAAGCAGAAAAACGAUGUGUUUUUUGUAUUUAAGUCUUGAAAAACCAUGAUUGAAAAACAAACGGGAAAGUAAAUAAAACACCUCCGCACAGACAAUGGCUCAGAGUUCUGUUUUGAUAAGUUUAAUAAAUUGUGCAAGUCAGAAGGGUUCAUGAAACACUUGAUAGUUCAUCAUACUCCACAGGAAAACGGCGUUACAGAAUAAAUGAACAGAACGAUCAUGGAGAAGGUUCGAUGUAUGUUGUCAAAUACCAACUUACCAAAGUCAUUUUGGGCUGAAGCAGCCUCUACUGCAUGAUUUUUAAUCAACCGAUCUCUAUCCAUUGCCAUUGAGAAAAAGACUCCACAAGAGGUAUGGUCUUGUAAUCCUGCUGACUAUUCUGAUUUAAAGAUUUUUGGUUGUCAUGUGUGUGUGCAUGUUGAUAAUGGAAAAUUGGAAUUGAGAUCCAUUAAAUGUGUUUUUCUUGGUUAUAAAGCUGAUGUAAAAGGGUAUAAGUUAUGAUAUCCUAAAAAUAGAAAAGUUGUGAUUAGCAGAUAUGUUAUUUUUUAUGAAACUGCUAUGCUACCUAACUUAUCUCUUAAAGAAUCUCUCAAUAAAGAAAAUCAAAAGUAGGUGGAGCAUCAGAUUAAUACAGAAUCUACAACAGAGUCGACUACUGAAGCCAGUACAAAAAUUCAAAAUAGAGUUGCUCCUUCACCAUAAUACUCUAUCGCCAAAAAUAGAACUAGAAGAGAAAUUAGACCUCCAAAGAAGUAUGUCAAGUCUGAUCUAGUUGCUUAUGCUUUAAAUGUGGCUAAAGAUAUAGAUGUAAAAUAAGAGCCAUCUAAUUAUUCUGAGGCGAUUAGUUGUGAAGACUCAGAAAAGUGGAUGUUUGCUAUGCAAAAGGAGAUGGAAUCACUCCACAAAAAUAAAAUAUGGGAUCUUGUGAAACUUCCUAAAUGUAAAAAGAUUAUUCGUUGUAAAUGGGUGUUUAAAAAGAAAGAAUGGACUCCAAGAGUUGAAGAACCCAGAUAUAAAGCAAAGUUUGUUGCAAAUGGUUACAGUCAAAUUCCAGGAGUGGACUUCACAGAUGUGUUCUCUCCAGUUGUGAAGCAUAGUUUGAUUCAAGCUUUACUUGGUAUUGUGGCCAUACAUGAUUUGGAGCUUGAACAGUUAGAUGUAAAAAAUGCUUUUUUGCAUAGAGAAGUUAAGGAGGAUAUUUACAUGCAACAACCAGAGGGUUUUACAGUCUCAGAAAAAAGGACUAUGUUUGCUUGCUGAAAAAGUCUCUUUACAGUUUGAAACAGUCACCAAGACAGUGGUACAAGAGGUUUGAUUCAUUUAUGACUUCUCAUGAUUUUAAAAGAAGUAGCUUUGACAGUUGUGCUUACUUUAAGAAAAACAAUGAUGGUUCUUUUGUGUAUCCACUCUUUUAUGGUGAUGAAAUGUUGAUAGCAGUGAAAGAUAAAUGAGGGAUAAGAAAGGUCAAAGCCCAACUAAGUGAAGAAUUUGAGAUGAAAGAUUUGGGACCAGCAAAGAAGAUACUUGGUAUGGAGAUUCUCAAAGAUAGAAAAGUAAGUAAAUUGUACCUAAGUCAAAAGGGGUACAUUGAGAAAGUUCUUUGCAGAUUCAAUAUGCAGAAUGCUAAGCCUGUUAGUACUCCUUUAGCAGCCCAUUUUAGACUUUUAUCGGCUUUGUCUCCACAAUCAGAUGAUGAGAUUAAGUACAUGUCACAUGUUCCAUACUCUAGUACAGUGGGAUCUCUCAUGUAUACUAUGGUUUGUUCACGUCCAGAUUUAUCAUAUGUAGUUAGUGAAGUUAGCAGAUACUUGGUGAAUCCCGAUAAAGAACAUUGGAAAGUAGUUCAGUGGAUUUUAAGAUACUUACGAGGUACUACUGAUGUUUCCUUACAGUUUGGAAGAACUAGAGAUGAAGUCAUUGGGUAUGUUGAUGCUAAUUUUGCUGGAGACUUUGAUAGAAGAAGAUCUCUCACAGGUUAUGUCUUUAUAAUCGGAGGUUGUGCAAUCAGUUGGAAAGCCACUUUGCAAACUACAGUUGCUUUGUCCACCACUGAAGAUGAGUACAUGGCGAUUACUGAGGCUUGUAAAGAAGCUAUUUGGUUGAAGGGACUCUUUAGUGAACUCAAUAAAGGCUUUCAAAUCAAUACAGUAUUUUGCGACAGUCAGAGUGCUAUCUUCUUUACAAAAGAUCAAAUGUUUCAUGAGAGAACAAAACACAUUGAUAUUCGGUAUCAUUUUGUUCGUGAUAUUAUUGCUUGUGGUGAUAUUGUUAUGAGCAAAAUUAGUACUCAUGAAAAUCCUGCAGAUAUGAUGACUAAGUCACUUCCUAUAACCAAGUUUGAGCAUUGCUUAGACUUGGUUAGUGUUCAUUGUUGAAGUUAAACCCUUAAGGGGUUUUAUGGAAUAGGUGGAAAACUUGAUCGUUGAGAGUUCGCGAUGAAGAACUUGUUCAUUAAGAAUUCGUGUCAAUGUGGAGAUUGUUAGAAUUAAGUGACCCGAAUCCUUAUUUAAAUAAAAUACAGUGGUAAAAUAAAAUAAAAGUAAAAUCCCUAUAGAAUUAUACUUCUUUUAUUUUAUUUUAGAAUAAUAUUUUUUAAAUCUUAUUAAACUCCAUCUAUUUGAUAUUGAUUAGAAUAAAGAGUUUCACUCCUAUUAGAAUAAGGUUUUACAAGCCUAUAAAUAGACAUAGUCUACUCCUCUUGUAAUUAAUUCGAAUUCGACAUGGUGAAUUAUCUUCUUCUCUGCCCGUGGUUUUUUCCCGAAAGGGUUUCCACGUAAAAUCUGUGUGUUCUUUAUUUUUUCUAUUUUUAUUUUCUUUACGAUAUAUUGCUAUUAUCGACAUUUAUUUUCACAUAUUCUAAUUAAUUAGAUAUUUCCUUCCUUCCAAAAGCCUUUCAAAAUAGGUUUAGUUUGACCAAGAUACUCUUGUAGAAAAUUUUAGUUUUGUGGGAAAACGAAAAACUAGAUUUAUUUUUUAUUCUAAUUGGUUUCAUAUGCAAGGUAUAUAAACUUUUGUGUCGCUGCAAUUUUUUUCCAACAUAUGUAUGUGAUUUGUGGGGUUUCAAUUUUGAAUUUUUUUUAUAAUUUAAUUAAAUUGUGAAAGUAUUUGAAAGUUUUUAAGUUGAUACAAUGUUUAGAACUACCCCAACACCCACCCAACCCUUAAAUAGGAGGAUAAACAUGCUUCAGCACGCUCAAACUCACAUUCUCCUACAUCUAUGAUAAUACUAAUGCCAACCGAGUUAAGACUCAACUAGCCUUGAAUUUUGAAUUUUACUUCUGAUAUAUUUUGAAUUUUGAAAUUUUAAUUUUGACCCAAACAGUAGCAGUUAAUUUAAUUUGAUUAAAUUUAAUUACUAGACCUAUAUUAUGCGUACGAUUAUUGAUUAGUCUAUACUCUCAAAUUGGGCAAUUCUAAGUACCUAUACUUUCUGAAUUUUGAAAUUUCAGUCUUGAUGCAAAUGACAAUUGUUAAUCUAUUAAUUAGAUUUUUAGCGAGUAAUAUGUAAAAAUAACAAACUGGCAUAACAUUACACAUAUGAUAAUAUGUUUAUUGCACCGCAUUUGAAAAUAGCCGAAUUUAACAAAUAUCGUUAGUGAGGAUUGGAAAUUAGAGUCUAGGGAUUAAAUCCACAAGUUCAGUAAAUUACAAGAACUAAUGGUAGAAUUUAACCUUUAUAUAACCUUUAAAUUCUAACCGUGGUUUGCACACUACUCAGCCGACCAUUGGCUGUGGUGGGAACACAAACUGUUUGAAUUUGACAUCAGUGAUUGAAUUUUCAUAGCUAAUAUGUACGUUCCUUCAAUUUCUCCAUAGGAGGGAGUGGAAUACAUUAUAUAAGGUAAUAUUUGAUAUAUUCGGUAAAUGAAUAAUUGCAAGAUAUCUCAUUAUCUAGUAAAAUAAAUAAUGAAAAUUUUAUAAAUAAAUAUUAAUAAAAUAUUAUUACAUAUAUCAACAAUGACAUAGUAAGUUGCAUUAACUUUUAGAUGUUGACUAUUGACUUUUGCAUCAACCUUGAACUUACAUAGGCCCCUACAAUAAUUUAGGUUAUGGAAAUAAUCUUGCAAAUAAUGCUUGAGACAUCAUUAUACAUCAAUUUAUAGUUUUAAUUCUUGUACUUACUCAAUUGGAAUAAAGAUUUAGUUUUUUAUUUUCUUUUGAUACAAUGUCUAGAAUUAUCCAUAGCCCUUUUCCAACCCUUAAAUAAAUGAAUAAUGUGCUUCAGCGUACUCGAACUCACAUCUUCUUACAUUGACAAAUUGCUGAUGCCAAUUAGUUAAUGUUAAUGCUAUACUUUAGUUAAAAAUAACUAACAUUAUUAAAAAAUUCAUUAGUUGGCUCAUGUGGAUUUUUUUUCAAAAAAAUUGAAAUUAAGAACCAUAAAUUCUUUAAGACUUAAAAAUUAAAAUUAUGUGGUUAUUAAAAAAGAUUUAUUUUUUAUUAAAUUAUUAUUUAAAAUAAAUUUAUCUCAUCAUAAUGAUAUGAUUUUUUUCUUUAAAAAAUCCACAUUAACCAACUAAUAGAAUUGUAUAAAGCUGCCACCAAUCUCUUAGCAUGAUGGCAAAAGAUUCAGAGGCAGCCAGAAAAUCUUUUGAGGGGCGUGAAUAAAGUUAUAUAUUUUUAUAAUAGCAAAAGUGAAAUUUUAUUAUUAUAAUAGUUUAUAUCUUUAAUUUUUAAAAUAUUAAAUAAUUUUUUUCUUAUUUUUGAGGGGAUAAAGUAUAAGUUUAUCAUAUACUAAUUUUAAAAUUAUAAAAAGACUAAAUGUGAAAUUUUUCAUUUUAAGGGGUGGGGCCCUGUCAGGUCUCCUUGGCUUCACCUUGAUAAAAGUAUUAUGUAAUACGUAUAAAGUUUGAGUUUAAUCCCAAACAAUCUCAUUUCUUAUCCCUCAUUAUAAAAUAAUAAAAUAAAUAGAGCAAUUGAUAUGAGGAGACAAGUAUAAUAGGGCAAUUUUAACCUGGGCCAGAUUUCAAAACAAAACCCAAACCAAAUAAUAAAAGAGUCCAAAAUAAUUAAAACAAUCCAUCCAUUUUACAAACAAACCCAAAUUAGCAGCCCAAAUACAAAUUAAAACUCAAUAACCCAAAACUAACUAUAGCCCAAUUAGCUAAACACUUAAACGCAACAAAAAAAACCCUAUCCCCCUAAGCCUCCAACGCUGCAUGACCACCUACGCCGCACGUCGUCGCUGCCGCUCGAGGCUCGCCUAUCUUCGACCAUCCACGCAUCUGACACUUGCAAAACCAAGGCAACACGCAACAACAAAGGCCAAAUAGAGGAAACAACAAGGAAACAGACAAAAAAGGAAGAAACAAACAGUUUUGAUUCGGCUAUAAAAGCCCGAAUCUCACCCUUGUAAUUUUUUUGCGAACAUUAGAAAAUAAAAAAACAAAAACAACACUUUCAAGGUGAAUUUCUACUUUUAUUUCUGUUUUAAAUACUUAUUUGAUUCUAUAUUCAUAUUUUUAUUUUAUUUUUUAUAUAUAUACGAAAAUAAUAAAAUAAAAAAAGGAAGAAAGGGCUCACCGGAGACGCCCCGUGAUCGUGCCGUCAGAAGGCUCUUCUCCGUUGUUGCCAUCGGAUCCGAGAGGGGGUCGAGAGUCUUCCUCUUUCGCUUUUUUGGGUCGAGAGGGCUGGGCUUCCAAGGGAGCUGCGAAACGGGGGCUAAAAAUGCCCUUUUGCGCAACACCGACCACCGGCCACGACAGCACUACGACGGCGACCAUGGCCGGCCAAGGGGUGGGCUGAGAGAGAGACCAAGAGAUACUGAGAGAGUUCUCUGUUUUUUUAGAAAAAUGAAAGUUGAACCGUUUUUUUCUUCUUUUUUUUUGCUAUUUAUAUAGGGUAUAAUACGACGCCGUUUUGGACUUAAGCAUCAGUGGCCAAAACAAUGCCGUUUUGCAUCAGACCUGAAAAUCGACUCGAAUGCGGCCAGGAUCUGCGCGUUUUAGCUUUGAGGAGCUAUUUGCAUAUUCAGCCCUUCCGCUUUUGUAGUAUAGUGCAAUCUGGUCCUCGUUGUUUUUAUAUUUUGGCCGCAUAAUUUUUUGAUUGUUUUACUUUGGUCCGAGCUGAAACGCUGCGCAUAGGGGCUAGGAAUAUUGCCCAGUCGGUCCCUCAUUCCUUAAGCGCGCUCUAUUUCAGUCCCUAGCAACCCUUUUUUUUAUUUGUAAUUUAAACCCCAAAUUCUGGGUCGAUUUUAGUAUCAUCCUUAGUCCAUUUAAUUUAUUUGUUCACUAUUUUUUAUUUAAAAAACUCUUUUAUUAUUAUUUGUUUUAAGUUUUUUUAUUUAUCAUUUAUUUUAAAUUGUUUUACAUACUAUUUAUUUAAAUUUUUUAUAUAUUAGUCAUUUUAAACCAUUAUAUGUACAUUAUCUUUUAAAUUUUUAUAUACAUAUAUUUUUUUUAAAAAAAACUGUUGUAUGUUUCUUAUUUAUUUAUUUUAAACUGUUAUUAUUAUUCAUUUUAAGUUUUUAUAUACUGUUUAUUUGAAGCCGGUUAUUAUUUAUUUUUGAAUUGUUCUUAUAAAUUAUUUACUUUAAAUUAUUAUUUACUUUGAAAUUUUUUUGCAUAUUAUUUUGUUUUGUUUUUUUUAUUGUUAAUAUUAGUAUAAAAAUUAUAUACAUUGUGUGAUUAUUACCGCCAUGUGUACUAUAAUUAGUUUCUUCGUGUUUUCAUAUUAUUAUCACUCAUUAACAUAACAUUUUUUUCAUAAAUUGUUAUUUUAUGUUCUAUGUUAUCAUUCCAUUUCACUUCAUCACUUCGAAAGUUGCAUUCAAUUUGUAUUUACCCAUAAUAAACCGUUCUAUUUUGUCACAAAUAAAACAAAUGCACCUCGUUCAAGCAUUGUACUCACAAUUAUUCAAAACGGGGAAAAGUUUUAAAAUAAGACAAUAUUUCGCAUUUUGGAGAUUUGAGAAAUUGUACCCUAACUUACGGGGUUUCAAUUUUCUCGUUGAACCUAAAUAGCAAAAUAUCCUUCUAAUUUUCAAAAUUUACGAAAUUCCAAUAAAGUUAAAGGCUAGCUUAUUCUCAAGGGUUCUAAGUGUCGUGUCCUAACUUACGGGAUGUGACAUUUAUUAUCUCGAGACGAGAGGAUCUUUGACAUUCGUUUCAAUUUAUUCAAGCAAAUUCUUUUAAAUUAAAAUAGCGUUAACAAAAGGGGGAUCGUGUUUUAAAUUCUUUCGAAGUUUUUCAAUUUUUAACAUUUAGACAUUAAUUAAUCAAUUGAAUACCAAUUUUGGGCGUGACGAGGGUGCUAAUCCUUCCUCGCAUGUAACUGACUCCCGAAUCCGUUUUCUCAAAUUUCAUAGACCAAAAUCACUGUUUUGAUAAAUUAAAAUAUUUUAUUAAAACAACUAAAUUAUGAGGUGACCUAAUCACACCUCAUAAAAAAAAGAUUGGUGGCAACUCUCGUUUUAAUUUCCAUUUUCAAACCAACGUCGACCCUUUUAAAAAAAUGGUUUCAAUAUUAAGUUAUAAGUUGAAUGAAUUAAAAAUAUGUGAAAAGUGUAAAUAGAGACUCUUCAAUCUCAUUUCCUCUAAUGCUCUUUUUUUAAAUUUUUUUUUAAAUUUUUUAUGUACCUUUUAAAUAGUUAAUGAAAAUAAAAAUAUUUUGAUAAUUUUCACUUCGAAAUGCAAAAGCCAACAACAGUUUUUGACUACAAAAGCGGUGUGUUCUUCAUCACUUCUCAGUGGAAAAACACUUCUGCAAUGUAACAACACUUUUAACCCAAAACGGCUUUUUCACCACAAUAGAGAAUGCACCCUAAAAUUGUAAAUAGAAAAAAGAAGGAUCAAACAUUGUUUCUACCCUGUUUUUGUCUCCUCUUUGAAAAUACUUUCCAAAAAGUUUUAUCAUUUUUUUUUCUGUUUACAAAUUCCUUAUAGAAGUGCUUUCUUUUGAUCCACUUGCAUCAUUGUAAUAAGUUUGCAUUGCCUUCUAACUUUCUAUGUUGAUUACAGUUUAUUAAGUUUUCUGUUGGAUCUUAUAGUCAAAUUCCUUUACAUCAUGUAUGUUAAUUUGCUUAGCCCUGAUAAAUGUUAGAUAUAGGGUUAUCAGUGUCGAAACCACUUUUUUGGCGAACAAAAAUUAGUUGUUGACUUUAAAAACGAAAGUUGGAGUCGCCAUCGAUCCUUUAUUGGGGUGUGAUCGGCUCACCUUAAAAACGAUUUUGGUCUGCAAAAUUUGAGAAAACAGGUUCGGGAGUCGGUUACGCAUGAGAAAGAGUUAGCACCCUCUUAACGCCCAAAAUUGGUACCGAAUUAAUUAAUUAAGGUCUUAAUGCCGAAUAUCGAAAAUCUGUGAAGAAUUUAAAAAUACGAUCCUCCCUUUUUGUUAAUGUUAAUUUUAUAAAAGAUGCUUGGAUAAAUCGAAGCGAAUGCUAAAGACCUUUUUGUCUUGGAAUAAUAAAAUGUCACACCCAAUACGUUAGGACAUGACAUUUUAGUCCUCGAGAAUAAGCUUGUCUUUUGAUUUUCAAAGCUCGUGCGGUGAAGUUUAAAAAGGAUAUUCAAUUGCUUUAACUCAGAUGAAAAAUCGGAGCCCAAUACGUUAGGGCACAAUUUCUCAAAAUUCCGAGCAUUGAAUAUUGCCCUUAUUAUUAUUAUUUUUAAAAUCUUCAUCUCGAGAAAAUGACAUGUCAUAUCCAAUAUGUUAGGACACGACGUAUCGAAUUUUCGAGAAUGAGCUUUUUAUUUAUGCUUUAAUUAAAAAAGGAUACCCGGUUUCUUAGAUUCAACGAGGAAGAUUGGAAUCCAAUAAGUUAGGACACAAUCUUUUCGAGGAUCCUAAAUUCCGAGUGUCGCGUUAUUUUUGAAAAAAAACUUUUUGAAUAAAAAUGCUCUCGAUACUUGAAUGAUAUUAAACGUAACCUUUUAACAACGAAUAAAAUGCGACGGGACGAUAAUGUAUAACGCGGAAUGACGAUUUGUAAACAAAAUAUACUCUAACGAAUGACAAAUAAUCAAUAAAAACAAAUAAACAUUAUCAUACAUAUAAGAGCAAUAAUCACAUGUAAAUAUUAACAUCAACAUUUGAAAGCUAAUGACCUAAAAGCCUAUCGCAAAUACAACAAAUUUAAAAUAACUAAAAAAAAAGCAUGAGAGAAAAGAAAUUUGAAAUUAUCAACAUAUAUACACAAAAUACACGUAUAUAAAAAUUUAAAAGAAAUAAUUAAUAGGAAGACUUGAAAUAAUUUAAAAAUAGAAUUAAAAAUGAAUAAUAAUAUCUAAAUGAAUUUUAAAAUAAAUAUUAUAAGAAGAAAGUCAAAAUAAAUAAAACCCAAAAUAAUACACAUAUAUUAAUCUAAAUAGGUAAUAGAUAUAAAUUACGUAUUAUAAAAGAAAACUAUUUAAAAAGGGUAAAUUCUAUUGGAUUAACAUAAAAAUAUAAAAUAAUUUAUUAUGAAAUUAAAUAAUAAUAUAUGAUAAUAAUAUAAAAAAACUUAAAAUAAUAGUGCAUAAUAGAAUAAAAUAAUGAAUAUAAAAAGGUUAGAUAAAUUGAUAAAAAAUAAUACUAAUAAUAAUAAUAGUAGCAGUAAUAAUAAUAAUAAUAAUAAUAAUAAUAAUAAUAGUAAUAAUAGUAAUAAUGAUAAAUUAAUAUUAAAGUAAUUAAUUUGAUAGCAAAAAUAACAAAACAGAUUACUAAUUUGGAAUUAAAACAGAAAUUUAGGGGUAAGACGUGCAAUAAAAUGAAAUGAAAAGGACCUAAUUGAAAUUAAUUUAAAAUCAGACUGACUAGCAAAGAAAUUAAACGCACAAGUCUCACCUGGCAAUCAAGUCAGAUCAUCAGAAACGGCGUCGUUUCGAACGUUUGUCUCCUCAACUGACAGAAGGACGAAAUUGAAAGAAAUAUCGAAUUAUGUGGCAAAAUUAAAAAAGACAAAGAAGGAUUAAAAUGAAGUAAAUAAAAAACAGAAGGACCAAACAGGAGAAUAAGCCAUUGAAACAAAACACGCGGAUCCUCCCCGGGUCAAAUCGGAUCAUCGGGUCAACCAACACGGAGACGUUUUGAAGCCAUUAAAUCGGGCUUAAACGGCACCGUUUUAUUAUCGUUAAAAACCUAAAAAAAUAAAACCCUAAUAAUUUGUUUUGCCAUCCUAAAACAGAUCAAGAGCCUAGCCUUCUCCCCACCGGUCUCCACUCACGAACCCAAUCUGACUCCGAUUCAGACGGAGCAAACCAGAUUCCAAUGGCGUCUGCUCUGGUAAGACGCUUCUUCUCUCCCUCUUUUUUUUUCGUUUGGUGCCAAAGAAGAAAACAAAGAAUCAAAGAAAUAAAAGAGAAAAAAAAACGAAGAAAAUCACCUUUCGAAAAAACUUUCUGUUUUGAUUUUUUGUUUGUAUUCAAUAUGCGUAAAAAAGGAUUACAAUGGCCUUCUCCCUCUUUAUAGCCGAAUAUUCGAAAUAAAAUGAAAGAAAAUACAAAAAAUUCUCUCUGCUGCGUUGUUUUCGUCUUCUUUGCAGGUAAGGAGGCUAGCUGGCGUAAGGAGGUGGUGGACGUGGCACAGCACACUCGGGGAAGGCCCUGGUGGCUGCGGCGCUGGAAGGAGGGCUGUUGCAGCUAGGGUUUUCUGAUUUUUUUUUGGGCUAGGGUUGGGUUGAUAGUUGUAUUGGGCUAGGUAUUUGGGCUGGGUGUAGUUGGACUAGAUGUAUCUGACUUUGGGUUUGUACCGGGUCACUGUAAAUGGGUUUGGUUUUUGUUGUUAUUGGGCUGUGAACUAUUUGAGUUUUAAUUAAUUUUUAUUUAUUUGGUUUUUUAUUGUGGGCUGGGCAAAUUGGGUAUUACAAUCAGCUAAUUAGGAAAGACUGUGAUGAUAGUCACACCUUACAUCCAAAAGCAAAGCUUUUUUUACAUGUGUAUGUAAGGUUGCUAAGCAAAUCUGGUGAGCCUUCACUGCUGUUUUAAGGUUAAGUUAAUGUUCCUUUUCGGCAAAGAACAUUAUCGAGAUCACGGUAUUUUGAUCGCCUUUUGCUUCUUGUUAUUCGUUCUGAAACGAUUGCAUAAUCUUUACUGUGAUUGCAGGAUAUAGAGCAACUUUUGAAUUUCAUCGCUGUAAAGUGUUUAGGACCACGACAUGUUCUUGCAAAUUUGAAGAAGCUUCUAAGGUCUGUCCAGUCUUCAGAAUAUAUAGAUACCUGAAUUAAUUUUGAUUUUGUAGGAUCAACUAUAAUUAGCUACUUAUUAGAGUAUGAAUAGACAACCUCACCUUCUUCACACACUGACACGUGCGGAUUUUUUGCCAAUCCCAUUUCAAAGGAUCACACUUUUUUGUUGUUUACAGAAUCAUAAUUAAUGUUAAUUAAAGUGGAAUAUUUCAGAUUUCUGAUGAUGAGCAUAUUCUUGAGUAUUGCAGUAAAAAAAUGGGUGCGGAACUUAUUUGAACUUUGAAUGUAUGUUUUGUUGGUGAGAAUAUAAAGUUGAUAAAGAUUUGGUAAAUAGAAUAAAAUACUAUUUUUUAUUAGAAAAAUUAUUUGGUAGACUGCCAAUCGAUUUAUAAUUAUCAUGACGCAAUAUUAAGGGUAAUUAAAACAUGUCAUAUUACAAAUAAUAAAAUUAUAAUGACUCAAAUAUACGAACAUGUCAAAAUUUAUGUACAACGAAUUAUUAACAUGUCAAUGUAUAGUAUAAUAUGGUACGCAAAAAUAAGAUAAUUGCUUGUCUUUAAUUGAAUUGUUAUAACACAUUAUACAAAAUACAUUGUGAAUUAAAGCAUAAUAUAAUCAUGAUAUCAAUAUAUUAAAUUUUUUAAAAAUUCGAUGAUACGAAUAAUUAUGUAAAAUAUCACAUGAUACAAAAUGACUUGAGAGGAAAAGAGGAACAAAGACUUGCNNNNNNNNNNNNNNNNNNNNNNNNNNNNNNNNNNNNNNNNNNNNNNNNNNNNNNNNNNNNNNNNNNNNNNNNNNNNNNNNNNNNNNNNNNNNNNNNNNNNNNNNNNNNNNNNNNNNNNNNNNNNNNNNNNNNNNNNNNNNNNNNNNNNNNNNNNNNNNNNNNNNNNNNNNNNNNNNNNNNNNNNNNNNNNNNNNNNNNNNNNNNNNNNNNNNNNNNNNNNNNNNNNNNNNNNNNNNNNNNNNNNNNNNNNNNNNNNNNNNNNNNNNNNNNNNNNNNNNNNNNNNNNNNNNNNNNNNNNNNNNNNNNNNNNNNNNNNNNNNNNNNNNNNNNNNNNNNNNNNNNNNNNNNNNNNNNNNNNNNNNNNNNNNNNNNNNNNNNNNNNNNNNNNNNNNNNNNNNNNNNNNNNNNNNNNNNNNNNNNNNNNNNNNNNNNNNNNNNNNNNNNNNNNNNNNNNNNNNNNNNNNNNNNNNNNNNNNNNNNNNNNNNNNNNNNNNNNNNNNAUGGUCUUCUAGGCUUGGUACCUAGUUUUCCAUUCUUUUUAUCCGUUCUAAUUCCACUUUUGCUUUAGUAAAAUUUUCUUAUAGCUAAGAAAGAAAAAAAAAACUAUUAACAAGUAAUUAUAUAUAUAUAUCAGGUUUUCAAUUGCUUUCAAGACUCAAUAACUUGGAAACUCUCGAUUUAAGUCGGAAUUCUUUUAAGAAUAGCAUUUUGUUCCAUAUGAGAAAUCUUUCAUCCUUGAAGACUUUAAGAUUGAGCGGUAAUCAGUUGAAAGGAAGGCUGGAUCAUAUUCAAGGUAGACUAAUUUUACCUGUUUCUUUUUAACUUUAAAAAUCAAUGUAUGCUCAAGUUUGAUUUUAUCAUACGAUGAAUGUAUAUAACUAAUCAAUAUUUGGGAUUGAAUUUCAGGAUUGAAUAAUUUGACAAAUUUGAAGUACUUGGAUUUAAGUUGGAACGACAUUGAAAGCAUCUCAAACAAAGGUAUAAGUAUUUGUGCAAAACUUUCUUGACCGACUCUUAUUCCAAAAGGCAAUGACAGACUUCAAAUGUAUUUUCUUUAGUGAAUUUUUAUUGCAAAAAUGGAGUAUUAUUAUUUAUUUAUGUUUUGUAGUAACUAAUUAUAUAAUAUAUAAAUCAGGUUUUCAACGGCUCAUUAAAUUGGAAAUUAUUGAUAUAAGUUGGAAUUAUUUGAAGAAUAGCAUUCUUUAAAAUAAAUUCAUGUUGAAGGAAAAGUUGUUGCAAUAAGUCAUUUGAUUUUAUCAUAUCAUGAAUAUAUAUAAGUAAUCAAUAUUUGGGAUUGAAUUUCAAAAUUGAGUAAUUUAAGUAGGAAGGUAUCUCAAACAAAGUAUUUAUAUAUUGAAUCAAUUCAUGGGAAAGCUUGUAAAUUGGCUCUUCCUUCUCAAACAAUCAUUUUUCCUAACUUUUUAUAUCUUGAAUGAUAUUAACUAUACUCAUUAUUUUCUUCCAAUGAUAGAUGGAACACAAUGGAGGCUAACAAACUUAGAGGAACUUGAUUUGAGUGGUAAUCUCUUUCGGAACAACACAAUUUCCUUUCCUCAAGGGCUUUCAAGCCUAAAGUCUUUGACUUUGUACAACAACCAUUUGCAAGGCUCAUUAGAUACUAUAGGUACCAAAGCUAUAACUUUGUUUUUCUUGAUAAUUCUUUCUAGAACCUUUUAAAAUUAAUUGUUUCAAAUUUGAACAUUCACAUUUCACUUUUGAGGAUUUUCAUCUUCACUUCCAGUUUUAGAUUUACUUUUUUUUUCAUUUUUAUUUCAUUAAAAUAUUAAGUAGAAAUUAAAAUUAUUAACAUAAUGAUUUUUUAAAUUGUACGUGGAUAUGUAUAGGAUUGAGCAAUUUAACAAAUUUGAAGAAACUCGAUUUAAGUGGGAAUCAAAUUGAAAGCUUUCAAACCUUUAAAGGUAUGCAUUUAUAUUUAACUAAUUACCUAAAUUCUUACAUAUAAUUAAAUUUUAUGCCAAUUCAUUUCAGUGAUGAAAUUAUAUAAAUCUUUUGUAGAUGGUGGUAGAAAAUUGGAGUUGACCCACUUGGAAGAGCUUUAUUUAGAUGGAAAUCACUUCAAUACUAGUGUAUUUGCAUCCCUUAACAAGCUUUCAAAUUUGAAAUCUUUGAGCAUAAGUGAGAAUCAAUUGAAAGGAUCAAUAGAUAUGAAAGGUAAAAAUAUUAGUUUUUUAACAAGAAUAUAAUAAUGUUUGAAGAGAAUAUAAUGAAGUUGAUUUGUUGUUUUUGUUUUCCUAGAUUUGGAAGCAUUUAUCAAAUUAAGGGAACUAGAUAUGAGCUAUAAUGAAUUGAGAGAUUUUGUGAUCCACCAAGGUAUCAUUUAAUUAAUUUUCCUUUUUUUUUAAUUUAGAAAUUUAGUUUUGAUCUAUGAUAUUAUAAUAACAGUUAUUGUCAUAAAUAUUAAUAAAGUUAUAUCAUAUCAUACUUGAAAGUAAAAUAUGGGUUUGGUGAAACAUUUUCUAAACCCUCCAUUAUAAUGUGUUUCGACUUUGGUUUGAAACUAAAAUUCUUUAAAUUUUUCAUAAUUUUUAAAUAUUAAUGUUUAUAAUUAUUUUGUUUGUAUAACUAUGUUUUUAAAAUAAUUUAUUGAAUUUUUAUGAGAUAAAAAAUAAUUAUAACGAUAAAAAAUGAUAUUAUAAGUAAAAAUACAUAUAUUUAUGGGAAAAUAUGUAAUAUAACUAUAUUUUAAUUUCAUAUAUUUUUAAUAGUAUAAAACAUAAAAAUACAUAUUAGAGUUAAAUAAAUGGCAUUUUUUGGCCAAAAAUAAAUAAAUGUCAAUUUUGAAUAAUAUAAAAAAAAACUUCAAUUUUAUGAAAUUUAAACAUACAUUUUGAGGUGUUUAAACUUUUUUUUUUAACUUUUUAUAAAUUUCAAAAUGCACAUGUUGUUAAUUUUUUGGUUUUAAAAAAUGUGAUAGGUCUAUGUACUCUUUACAAAUUUGUAAUUUAAUUCUUGUAUUUUUAUUUUCGGGAAUUUGAUCCCUCUAUUUUUUAAAUUUUAAAAUCCAAGUUCAAUUGUUAACAUUGUUAUUUUUUUAAAAAAUAAUUUAUUGGUGUUGACAUUUUAAAAUAAAAGAACUUGGUAGCGAUGUAACUAAAAGAUGAUGUAAUGAACAUGGAUUUAAUAAAAUAAUUUCAACCGUAUAAAUAGUUAGACUUGAAUUUUGAAAAAAAAAAUUUGUAAAGAGAAAAAUAUGCACAUUAGAUUUAAAUAAAAAUAAUAUUUUUUUUAGUUUAAAAUUUUCUAUUUUAUAAUAGAACCAUUGAUUUAAAUAAAUGAGAUUUUGAAGAAUUUCCAAAAAAAAAAAACUAUGUAGGUGAAAUUUAAAUAGAGAAUUUGAUAAGCUGAAAUUCUCUUUUGGAAUUCAUAAAUUUUAAAAUUCAGAAGCAUGUAUUUUGACAAUUUUGAUUUAAUAUGGUGAAUUUAAUCAAAAAAUUAUUUAUUAGAUUGUAAAAUAUUUCUUAACAUUUAUAAUUGAGUACAAAGUAAAUUAAGUUUAAGGGAAAAUAUUGGGUACUAUUAAUGAAAUUCUUUUCUUUUAUCAAUUUUUUUUUAAAAAAAUCGGGGUGGUACUAUUAAUGAAAUUCUAAACUUCAUAAGUAGGAUUGAGAUAAUAACAAAUUUCUUAUAUGGUAUAGUAAAAUAUUAAAAAAUAAAUAUUUAAAAGAAAUAGGUUAGUGGCCAUUUUUUAACUUCACUUGUAGAGUUAAAAAACUCCAUUACCAGUACCAAAUACUAACAUUAAGGUUAAAUGCUAAUUGAUUUCAAACAUAUUUGAGUUUUUUAAAAGAAUAUUCUCAUAUAUUUAAAAGAAAACAACACAAAGUUAGAAGAUCUCAUCUUGAAGGGUAAUUCAUUUACCGGUCCUCUCACAUUACCGUCAGCUCCUAACUCUAAAGUGUCUUUAAUUGACAUAUCCCAAAACAAAUUGCAAGGUCAGAUUCCAACCAACGUGUGUUCACAUUUUCCACAUUUGAGCCACUUAUUCUUAUCCAAGAAUGCCUUCGAAGGUGAUAUCCCUCCUUGUUUGAGUGGCAUGAAGGAUUUAUCGAUUUUAGAUUUAUCAGACAAUCAAUUGUCUGGAAGAGUACCUGAAGAGUUAAUCACAAAAAACUCGUUGACCAUUUUGAGACUAUCAAACAACAACCUCAGUGGACAUGUGCUUCCUGUGAUUCUCAAUGCAAAUGGGCUGUCAAAAUUAUAUUUGGAUGGAAAUAAUUUUUCUGGGGAGAUGGCAAAUGUUGAUGUCUCUAUUUCUGAGUUUCCAACUUCACUAAGGGAAAUUAAUCUCGGAAAUAACAAGUUUUAUGGAAACCUCCCAAGAUGGAUGGGGAAUGUGUCAUUUUUGGAGAGAUUAGCUUUGUCCCAAAAUGGUUUCGAGGGUUCUAUUCCAAUGGAAUUUUGCAACUUGAAUCGCUUGGAAUUUUUGGAUCUCUCUGAAAACAAUUUAUUUGGCUCUAUACCGUCCUGCUUUAAUACCCUAAACAUAAAGCAUGUCCACCUGCACGGGAGUAGACUAAGUGGCCCACUACCAAUCGCUUUUUAUAAUAUCUCUUCACUGGUUACGUUAGAUCUUAGAGGAAACAAUUUGACUGGUAGUAUUCCAAAAUGGAUUGGCACACUUUCUUCAUUGAGUGUUCUUCUCUUGAAAGAUAAUCAUUUUCAUGGUGAAGUUCCAGUUCAGUUAUGCAAGUUGGAUUCUUUAAACAUCAUAGAUCUUUCUCAAAAUAUGUUUUCUGGUAUUAUACCUUCUUGUUUGGGAAAUUUAACCCUUUCAACGGAAACAAAUAAGAUUCUAACUGAUUCGAAAAUUAGUCCAAGGUUAACAGGGGACGGAUUAGUGAAAACAUUGGGAGCUCUCGGAAAUUAUUACUAUCCUGAAGGCUACUUAGAAGAAGUAAUAGAGUUCACAACAAAGAGUGGGUUCUUAUCGUAUGAGGGAAACAUCCUUACAUAUAUGACCGGGAUUGAUUUAUCUUGCAACAACUUAACUGGUCAUAUCCCACCAGAAUUAGGGAACUUAAGUGAAAUCUAUUCUUUAAACUUGUCGCAUAAUAAGUUGACAGGAGUUAUACCCUCAUCAUUCGCAAAACUUCAUCAAAUUGAGAGUUUGGACCUUUCUUACAACAAUUUGAGUGGUGAAAUCCCCAAUCAGUUGGUAGAGUUGAACUCUUUGGAGGUUUUCAACGUGGCAUACAACAACUUGUCAGGUAGUAUUCCCGAACCAAAAGCUCAAUUUGGGACCUUUAUUGAAAACAGUUAUGAGGGAAAUCUUUUUCUUUGUGGAGCUAUAUUGCAUAAAAGUUGUUCCAAAACCGAUUCACCAUCAACGAUAUCAACUCUAUCAGAAUAUAAAGGAGAAGAUGGUUUGAUAGGUACUUAUGAUUUUUGUGUGAGCUUUUUGGUUUCUUAUGUAGUUGUGUUGUUGACCAUUUUUGUUGUCCUCUACAUAAAUCAAUACUGGCGAAGAGUUUGGUUUUCUCUCAUUGGGAAAUGCAUCACCACCUGUCGCUACUCAAAUGUGGGCAAUUUUCUUACUUAUCACAUUUUCAAGCAAUGAGUUUAGCUACUCAAAUUGUAAUUUGAUUUUCACACCUAAAUGUUUAAUUAUGCUAAGUUGAGCGAUAAUGAAUAUUUUGUUGAUUUUUGCAUUUUAAAUAAAAGCUCUUUGAUCUUAUGAUUUUAUCAUUUUCAACCAUCUAUUUCUUUUUUCUUCUAUGAAAUUUAAUGUAAAAUCAUAAUCCAUUAUUAUGUAUAUGCAAUAUCUCUUUGAAUUAAAUUAAAUUGAAUACCAAGCGUUCACUAGUGCAUACUGAAAAGGAAAUCUAAUGUAAAAUUAAACCAAACAUACUAGAAAAAUGAAUCUGAAACUGAAAUAUUUUAAAACCUCAAAAACAAUGCAAUUCUUUAUUCCUCUUUUCCUUUCAAGUUAUUUUGUAUCAUGUUAUAUUUUACAUAAUCAUUCAUAUCAUCAAAUUUUAAAAAAUAUUUAAUAUUUUGAUAUCAUGUUCAUAUUAUGCUUUAAUUCACAAUGUAUUUUAUACAAUAUGUUAUAACAAUUCAAUUUAAAAAACAAGCAAUGAUCUUAUUUUUGCAUACCGUAUUAUACAUUUACAUGUUAAUAAUUCAUUGUACGUAAAUUUUGACAUGUUUGCAUAUUUGAGUCAUUAUAAUUUUAUUAUUUGUAAUAUGACAUGUUUUAAUUACCCUUAAUAUUGUGUCAUGAUAAUUAUAACUCGAUUGGCACCAAAUAAUUUUUCUAAUAAAAAAUAGUAUUUUAUUCUAUUUACCAAAUCUUUAUCAACUUUAUAUUCUCACCAACAAAACAUACAUUCAAAGUUCAAAUAAGUUCCACACCCAUUUCUUUACUGCAAUACUCAAGAAUAUGCUCAUCAUCAGAAAUCUGAAAUAUUCCACUCUAAUUAACAUUACGAUUCUGUAAAAACCAAAAAUGUGUGAUCCUUUUUUAAAGCUCUUUUUUUUUUCCUUUAAUGAAAUGGGAUUGGUAAAAAAUCCGCACAUGUGUCGUGUGUGAAGAAGGUGAGGUUGUCUAUUCAUUCUCUAAUAAGUAGCUAAUUAUAGUUGAUCCUACAAAAUCAAAAUUAAUUCAGGUAUCUUUAUAUUCUGAAGACUGGACAGACCUUAGAAGCUUCUUCAAAUUUGCAAGAACAUGUCGUGGUCCUAAACUCUUUACACCGAUGAAAUUCAAAAGUUGCUCUAUAUUCUGCAAUCACAGUAAAGAUUAUGCAGUCAUUUCAGAACGAAUAACAUAACAAGCAAAAGGCGAUCAAAAUACCGUGAUCUCGAUAAUGUUCUUUGCCGAAAAGGAACAUUAACUUAACCUUAAAACAUCAGUGAAGGCUCAUCAGAUUUGCUUAGCAACCUCACAUACACAUGUAAAAAGCUUUGCUUUUGGAUGUAAGGUGUGACUAUCAUUACAGUCUUUUCUAAUUAGCUGAUAACCCUGUAUCUAACAUUUAUCAGGGCUAAGCAAAUUAACAUACAUGAUGUAAAGGAAUUUGACUAUAAGAUCCAACAGAAAACUUAAUAAACGAUAAUCAACAUAGAAAGAAGGCAAUGCAAACUUAUUACAAUGAUGCAAGCGGAUCAAAAGAAAGCACUUCUAUAGGGAAUUUGCAUUUAAGGCAUCGUAAACAGAAAAAAAAAUGAUAAAACUUUUUGGAAAGUAUUUUCAAAGAGGAGACAAAAACAGGGUAGAAACAAUGUUUGGUUCUUCCUUUUUCUAUUUACAAUUUUAGGGUGCAUUCUCUACUGUUGUGAAAAAGCCUUUUUGGGUUAAAAGUGUUUUUACACUGCAGAAGUGUUUUUCCACUGCAGAAGUGAUGAACAACACAUAGCUGUUGUAGUCAAAAACUGUUUUUGGCUUUUGCAUUCAAAAGAGAAAAUUAUCAAAAUACUAUUAUUUUCAUUAACUAUUUAAAAGGUAUAUAAAAAUUAGAUUAAUUUAUAUUUUAUAUAUUAUUAUAUUAAAUUGUUUAAAUCUUAUUUAUUAUUAUAUUUAAUUUUUUCAAAAUAUUUUAUAUAUUAUCAAUUUUACAACUAAUUAACAAAAUAUUUUACUAGGGAAUACGUAUAUGUGAAUAUCUAUAAAUGGCAUGCCUGGAUAUGCAUAUCCUUUGAUAUCAAAUAUUUUGAAAAAAAUAUUAUCAAUUCCACUGAUAUAUUAUCAAUUCCACUGAUAUAAAGCUCUUUAUAUUACCAAUAUAAAUAUAAAUAUUUUGAAUAUAAAUAUCCAUUGAUAUAUUAUCAAUUCCACUGAUAUAAAGCUCUUUAUAUUAUAAAUAUUUUAUAUUUUUUUUCAAAAAUAUGGAUAUGCAUAUCCUUUGAUAUCAAAUAUAAAGGUAAUAUUUAUAGGAAUUGUUUUUUAAUUAGAUAUUUUUAUAUAUCAGUGGAAUUGUCAAAAUAUUUUCAUUAACUAUUUAAAAGGUAUAUAAAAAGAGCUUUAUAUUGCCUCAAGCGCAAGGCACAAAAUGAAGCGCUAGCCUGUGUGCAGUAAAGCGCAAUACGUAUAUGUGAGAGUUUUUGCAAGUCUGUGUGUCUAUAACAUAAAAGUUUAAGAUAUAUAGUAAACUCUAAAGUGUGGUCUGGUUUAUCCACAAAACUUGAAAUUUUUUUAUAGGUGAAUGCUCAAAUAUUGAGAAUUAUAGAGUUUGAUAUUAUCCCUUCCUUAUUAGUAAAGGUAUAUCAAAUGAAAACAGUGAAAAAUAAAAUAAAUUAUUGAGAAAUUCAACAAGGCAGGUUUUUCUAAUGCCCAUUGCCUUACAAAAAAAGUGUGCCUAGGUGCACCAGGCAUGCGCUUGAUCAAAUGGACCUCACCUGGAAGGGUCCAAGGCGUUUUGUUGUAUAAAACUAAGGCGUAGGCAUGCCUAGGCGCAUGCCUUGACGACACUGACCAUAUGUUGGCUUUAUUGCAAAGCAUUAGCAAUUCAAAACUACUAGCACAUUACCUAAUCUACUACUGCUAGAAUAGGACUCAAGUUCUUGCUCCUGUGCAGGUCCAACCAAGAUCUUUACAGGAUACAGUAAUGAAACUUGUGAUAUCAUAUAUUGUUGCCUUGCUCGAAGCUUCCUUUGCACAUUUUUAAGUUUAACACAACCCCUUUCUUCAGUGAGUAAUCUAUUUGCUUCCUGUGAUAAAAACAACAUAUAAUCAAUCAUGCCAUGCAUGCAAGACUACCAACCAUCUUAAAAAAGAGACAAAGAAGUAGGACAGCAAGAAGGGGAUAACCCUUGACUAUGCAAAGGAAUUCAUAGAAUGAGAAUCAUCUCAUCUAAGCCCCUCAACCACCUUCACAGGGGGUGGAGCUGCAAAAAGAGAUGUCUUAUUGAUCCAAGAGGAGAAUAAAUAACAUCUAAAGCUGAAUAAGAAGAAACCUUCAAAUGUAUCAUAAAUUCAGCAUUCAUGAUAAUAUCAAAAUGAAAUUCCAAAGCUAAUUUAAGCUAGAAUAAAAAUGCUUCACCUGUAAUCGCUUCCUUGCUACAGAAAGAGAGGUACCAGCAACCAACAAUGAUCUUACUUCAGUACUAAGCAUUUCCUCCUGUUUUUUAGCAUCCUCUGUUGCAACUUUGCAACGAGUUGACAUUUUGCCAUAACUACUUUCCUUGCCUCUAGUCUCUCACGCAUUUCCUCAAGCUCGUUCAGUUUAUUCAAAGACUCAUUUUUUACCUGCACAGCAUGUUCCCGCCCAUUAAUCAGUGGGCCAAUUGAUUAGGUCACAGAAGACAAAACUAAAUUACCACUCACCAGGUCCCCUUGAAGUGUCAUAUGGCUUUAACAAUUCAACGUGCAAUAUCUAGUAAAAGUAAAAUAAACAUAGAAGAAAGCAAAUGCAAUUCUUAAACGCCUUUAAAUGGACAACAUGAAACAGUUUAAGAGCCCUAUAAAACAGUAAAGUGGAAAAAAAAUCUGAAAAGGAAAAAGAAAUGAAUUGAAACAAUAAAUCCAUCAGGUACAAACAGCAACAAAACUUGAAAUAAGCUUUGGCUUUAGCCCAUUAAAGCCCGGGCAUCCAGCCAAAUAAACAGUGACUGCCAUGUCAACUUUUUGAGACGGUAGAAAAGAGAUCGAAAAUCUCAAUUUCCAAAAAUAAGGACAUAAGAAGUAAAAAAAUGCACUUAUUCUUACAGUAGAAGAGCAAAAUGAAACUAAAUGAAGCAUAAGGGAACUGAUGCGAAUUGACAUUGUCAUUUUUGGGACUAAAAAGAAUACGCAGAUUGAAUAUUUAAGAUUUGGAAGGGAAAAGUUCCAUUCACCAACACAAUUAUCGUCGCCCUUCAUCCUAGUAAAGCUUAAUUGACAAUUUUUCUGUCUCGUGUUCUUGCUAAAGCAUUUGAGCAACCCAACAGAAAUCAUUAUAUUUCAAACUGAAAUGAUUGGCUUUAUCAAUUUCACAACCUAUACCGCCCAACCUAGUAAGUAAUUUAGGUGCAGACACCAGAAAUCUAUUUCCUUUGCACUCUACAACUAAAUAGCCUACCACUUAUCAAUCAAACACAGCUGAAAACUUCAGUGAGGAAACAUUAUGAAAACUGAAAAAACUAUAACUUCAACUUGAUUCAUAGCUCGGCAAGUUCAGGGAAUUGGGACUUCUACCACCAUGAUCCAGUUCGAUGUGAAACAGUGAUCUAUAUCACGCAUAUCGGUUCCCGCAACAAGAGGUAAAACAGCAAAUUAGGUAAACGAUGAUCCUACUAUAUUUCAGAAUAGCAACAUUGAGCAUGAAAGCUAAAGUUAUAGCAUAUUAUGGGUCCUUGCUCUCUACAACUACAUAUAAAAUUACUAAACAAUAUUACUACAUUAAGGAUCCAGAAAAACUUUGUUUCAAUUGUUGAUCACUUGAUCCAACUAUUUUAGAAAGUUUAUUCUUCUUUUUCCUUUCCCUUAUUUUCUAAAUCAGGAAAAACAGUAGCACAUAAACUGGAUUACUACUCCAAGUUUCUAAAAUUUCAGCAAUAUCCCUUUAACCUUUUCACUCAAGUCACUACCCCCCCAAUUAACAAAUAUAUUCCCAGUUUCCCUUUCACUUCAAACCCCCUUUUUUUUUUCUCUACCCAAAUUCAGCUUAAGUUCAAAAACCCAAAAUUGGUUUGCUAAAAAUACAUAAUUUUCAAACACAAAGGUAACCUAAUUUUAAUCAGAAAAAAAAAGCAUUACCUGAAUUAGUGAAUGGAGUUUCUCUUGAAGACUUUGUUUUAAAACUAUCUUAUACUAUUUGCUUUAAAUCGAUUUUUAUUAGCUAUUUAAAACUCGUUUUCAUGUAUUAUUUAUUUUUUUAUCACUUAUUUAAAUUGUUUUACAUAUCUAUUUUUUAAACCCUAUUUUAUUAUAUUUUACUUAUUUUAACUUUUUUACAUAUUUCAUUAUAAAUAUUAUUAAUUAUCUAUAUUGAGUUUUUCAUUCCAUAUGUAUUACUUAUUUAGAUAAAUAUAUACUAUUUUGUGUAUUACUUAUUUUGAUUUUCUUCUUAUACAAUAUUACUUUAAAAUUCAUUUAGAUAUUAUUAUUUCACGUAGUAUUUAUUUUUAUCUUCAUUUUUUAUUUAUUUCAAACUCAUAUAUUGUUUAUUUUGAAAUUUUAUGCAUAUGAUUUAUUGUUUAUAUUGAUGAUUUUAAAUUUCCUUUCUUGCAUGUUUUUUUUAUUUAUUUUAAAACUUGUUAUACUUUAUUUGUGUUAAUUUGCUUAGUUUUUCUUUCAAAAUUAACUUAUAAUUCAUUAGCUUUUAAUGUUAGUAUUUGCACAAUAUGUGAUGUAAGAUUAUUGCUUUCCUGUAUUGCUUAUCUGUAUAUAUUGAUUAUUUGUCAUUCAUUAGUAUACAUUUUGGUUUACGAAUUGACUAAUUUACCAAAAAAAGCCAUUUUUUUAUAAAUUACCGAAAUAGGCCGGUUUUUUAAUUAUUUACCGGAAUGGGCCAUUUCCCCCGAAAUCGCGCCACGUCGAAGCGAUGUCAGGGGACGGGGCAGAAGGUCGCGUCCACGUCAGAGCGACCUACUGACGUGGAAGGAAAUCGCUCCCCUGAGGGCGCGAUUUCCUUCCACGUCAGCAGGUCGCGCUGACGUGGACGCGACCUCCUGUCACUUUGCGCGGUACCGGGAAUGCGAUUUUGACCCUGAUUUUUACGCCUAGGUUUUAUGGCUUUUAGGGUUUAGGGUGCAGGCUUUUUAGGAGUUAGGGGUCCGGGAAAAUUAUUUUUCGAGUUGACGUUUCUGGUUAAAUAGUGGGAAAUCGCUUAUACUAGGAUGCUAUUUAAGAAGAAAUUGUGAAAUAGUGGCCUCGUGGACGCGAUUUCGCUACAGUGGUCAUGUGAGAAAUAAUUUUUUUAGACGUUUUCUGAGGAAAUAGUAUAAAAUCGCUGAUACCAGGAUGCUAUAUGAGAAGAAAUUGUGAAAUCGCGCCCUCGUGGACGCGAUUUCGCUACAGUUGGUCAUGUAGGAAAUAAUUUUUUUUGACGUUUCUGAGUAAAUAGUGUCAAAUCGCGCCCUCGUGGACGCGAUUUCGCUACAGUAGCAAGUUUGGGCUGAGGUUAUAAAUUAGGCAGAGAAUUUUCUUAGAAUGCAUAACUCAGAGCAGAAACAUUUUAGGUUAGGGUUAGGGAAUUUAGAGUUUCAAAAUGAGUGAAUGUAUUAGUGCUGUUAUUUACUACGAUGGUGAGGUUUGCCACACCGAGAAUGGUGUUGUUUUUUUGUCGAAGAAUACGAUGCGACUGUCAUUUAGCCAAAACAUAGAUUUGACAGAACUCCGUAAAAGAAUUAGGCGUAAAAUCUUCGGAACCACGCCAAUGAAAGUUCAGUCAAUGACGUAUCGAUUUUGUUCUUCUGUUGAUUCGGUGACAUAUGACUCGUUCGACAUAAAAGGUGCUCGUAGCUUAGAGGCAAUGGUGCAGACUCAUCUUGCUAGCGGAGCAACUUAUAUUGAGUUAUAUGUACAAUUUACGUCACCAAAUGAUGUACUUUCGUCCGGUGUUCGAGAUGUAUACACGACCCCUGGCCGACACUCGGUUAGUGUGUUACAAAAUACGGAACAGCCCAUGUUCGGUAGCGGUGUCGAAUGCACAUCCCCCCAAGACACUCUGUCGGUGGAUGGGACAUGUACGUCGGUGGCUCGACGGUUGACGCUGGAAAUACGAGCUGGUACGUUCAUUCUCUUAUUUUAUUUUAUUUCAUAUUUUGGGAAAUUUAGAACGAUAAGCGAAAAUGAAUAUAUUCAGAUUAGCAGGGGACAUGACCCAUUUGUUUAGUGUUCUUGUUUUGCUUCUUAAGAUCCACACAAUCAAGUCUUGUGCUGGUACGUUCAUUUUCCAAAUAUUUACUUUACUUUUUGUUUCUGGGCUUAUUUCAUUUUAUGUUGUACUUUUUUCCCAGUAAUUUACUGCUUAAUAUAAAAGAAUCGAAUAUUUAGGUUAAAUUGUGGGUGGGUUUUUGCUAGUUUAUUGAAUACUCAAAUUGGAGCCAUGUAAAAUGUGGAAACUUUAGCUUGAUAGAAAAUGUGACCCCCUUUUUUUUUAAUGUAUGGAAUAAAAAUUUUUGUAUUUUGUGAAUUUUUUUUUAGUAAUUUGAAUUUGUAUGUAUGUUCAUUGGAAGUUUAGAAGCAAGGAGUUCUGAUCAUUAGGACUUUAUGUGAUUCAUUCAUUUUGAGUUAUAGUGUAGUUAGUUGUUGGAUUUAGUGUCACUGUUGGCAUCUUAUUUUAGCUGAUUUCCUUUCUAUUUGUACCGAUAAACCUCUAGAGGUUUUGAAAUUAGCAACUGAUUUUUUUUAUGUGUGAGAGUUUUUAUGGAAAUCAAUAAGCUAAUUACAUUUUGCAGGAUCAUACAGUCGGGUUAGUGGUUUUUAUGUCAUGCUGGCCUAUGGUUUUGAGAUGAACAUCAUGAAAUCUGUAUAAGAUGAGGGUAUUAAACUAUAAACAUAGCCGAGGUAGCGAUUUAUUUCGUAUCAUGCUAUUGGAAGUUUUUUUGGGGCGGCAAUGUCAACUAAAUUUAUAUUCUUUUGAUCAAGUCGAUUAUUUCCAGUUGCACAACUAGCUUGUUGGAAAUAUUUUCUUUCUUUGCUCCUGUCCUUUUCACUUUCAUAUUUUAUGGGUGGUGUGAUGAUGGGAAGAUUCAUGGGUGGCUAAAGCCAUCUUACUCACUAGAAGUGAGGCUGUUAUUUUUAGAAGUUAGAGAUGCUAUAUCAAUUGAGGAUGCCGUGAGCAAAAGCUUGCUAAUAAUAAGUGACUGUUCAUAUGCGUGGGUUCUAUCACAUGUUGAUGGAGUAUUUGGUGCUCUUUCUUCACUAAUUUCAUAUGUAUAGAUAUAAUUGUAUAACAUCUCGACGUUGAUUACUGUUACGAGGGGAAAAAAACACAGCAUGUAAUGAAACUCAAAAAGUAGGAAUCCUAGAUCCUUGUAUUCAUUCAUAGGCAUUUUACAACAUUUGAUUUAACUUGAGCAAGAUUCCGUUUUGGGCCUGGUCUUUUCCUGUUCGUUCCCUUGUUUAUAUAUGAUGAAGUUGGUUCAGCAUGCAGGAAACUCGACAGCAUGCAGGCCAUGAAGACCAAGUCGUGCAGGAGCUGCUGGAACGAGCUGAACUUUUCCUAUUUUGUUCAUCUAGUAAUCUUAAGUUAAUGUAAUGUACUUUAGUUCAUUUAGAACUAUGUUAGGUUUAUGAUUGAUGUAAUUUUGAUGACAAUUGAGCUGUUAAGUCAGCUUUGUUUAAGUGUGUAAGCUUAGUUUUUCAAGUUUCAAUGUAUUAGUGGUAGUAGGUGAUGAUUAGGUAUCAUUAUGCAGAUUUUGACAAGCAAAUUGCUUGGUUUAUGUAUUGGCAUUAUGCCAUUGUUCAACAUAUGAAUGAAAUCAACUUUGUUCAUCAAUAUUCUCUCAAAUUUCCUCAGCUUAUUUUCUUUUUUCUUCAACUCGAAAUUGUUUGUUUGCUCAGCAAGAUUCGAGGCUUGCUCGACAAGAAACUUGCUGAGUCUGUUUGAUUCUGCUGUUGCACCAACAAUUGGUAUCAGAGCUUAUUUCUUAAGGGACCUGUUAUACAAAUCCAUGGCUUCAUCAAGUUUUUCACCAGCUGCACCUCAAGUCUUCAAUGGAGAAGGCUAUCACAUAUGGGUGGUCAAAAUGAAGACCUACCUGCAGGCAUUUGAUCUGUGGGAGGUGGUCAACUCUGAUGUUGAACCAGAGCCACUUAGAGCUAAUCCAACAGUGGCUCAGAUCAGGCAGCAUGCUGAUGAAAGGACCAAGAGGCACAAUGCUAUGUCUUGCAUCCAAAACUCAGUGUCUGAUGUGAUUUUCACAAGGAUUAUGGCCUGUGAAUCACCAAAACAGGCCUGGGACAAGUUGCAGGAAGAGUUUCAAGGGACUGAGAGGACAAGGCAACAACAGUUGUUAAACUUGAGGAGAGAUUUCGAGAAUUUGAAGAUGAAGGAAGAAGAAACUGUCAAGCAAUAUUCUGACAGGAUUAUGGCUGUGGUUAACAGCAUCAGGCUCCUUGGAGAGCAGUUCAAUGAAGCUAGGAUAGUGGAGAAGGUUAUAGCAACUCUGCCUGAGAGGUAUGAGGCAAAAAUCUCAUCUCUCGAGGACUCAAGGGACCUGUCCACCAUCUCCCUGACAGAGUUGAUCAAUGCUCUAUAUGCUCAAGAGCAGAGGAGAGCAAGCAGACUGGAGGAGCACCAAGAAGGUGCCUUUCAGGCAAGAACAAAUACUUCCUACAAAGGCAAGAAGGCUUGGAGAGACAAGCCAAAGGAUGAUGCUGCAAGGAGAGAAGGUCAAACUUGCAAGCACUGCAGAAAGGCUGGUCAUUCAGAAGAAAAAUGCUGGUUUAAUCCAGAUGCUGUGUGUCAGCAUUGUAAGAAAAAGGGCCAUGUUGAGAGAGUUUGUAAGAGCAAUGCCAAAACAAGGCGCAAUCAGGCUCAACAGAUGAAAGCUGAGGCUCGAGUAGCUAAGGAGGACAGUGACCAAGAGGAGCAAGUCUUUACUGUGUCAUGCUCAGCUGCUCAGGAAAGGUCCUCAUCUGGUUGGCUCCUAGACAGUGGAUGCACCAACCACAUGACACCUGAUGCUGCAAUCUUCAAGUCUUUAGACAGAAGCUGCAGAACUAAAGUCAAGAUAGGAAAUGGUCAUUUUAUUCAAGCUGAAGGCAAGGGUGAUGUUCUGAUAUGCACUCUUACAGGUACCAAAGUGAUUUCAAAUGUGCUGUUGGUGCCUGAAAUUGACAGAAACCUGCUCAGCAUAGCUCAGUUGCUGGAAAAAGGUUACUUAGUUGUGUUUAAAGACCACCAAUGCCAAAUCAGUGAUCCAAGUGGAUCCAAACUGAUGGCAGUCCCUAUGGCUGAUAAGAGCUUUGUGGUUGACUGGACAAAAAAGUCAGACAUUGCCUACACAGCCACUUCAGAUGAAUCCAAGCUGUGGCAUCAAAGACUGGGACAUGCCAACUUCAGAUCGAUGGCCCGAAUGAUCAGAGAAGACCUGGCUGAAAACUUCAUCAACUCAGUAGACCAUGAUGAUGUAUGUGAAGUAUGUCAGCUAGGAAAGCAGGCCAGACUCCCAUUUCCCUCGAAUCAAGCCUAGAGAGCCUCUGAAAAACUCCAACUGGUGCAUACUGAUGUGUGUGGACCUAUGAAGACUGAGUCAUUAAGUGGAAACAGGUAUUUCAUACUGUUCAUUGAUGAUUUCUCGAGAUAUUGCUGGAUUUACUUCUUAAAACAGAAAUCAGAGGUGGCCACUGUGUUUUGGAAGUUCAAAACUGCUGCUGAGACUGAAACAGGCUGCAAGGUGAAGACCAUAAGGUCUGAUAAUGGGACUGAGUACACCUCAGCUCAGUUCCAAGCCUUCUGUGAUAAGGCAGGCAUCAAACAUCAACUUGCCAACACAUAUACACCUCAGCAGAAUGGGGUAAGUGAAAGGAAGAAUAGGAGUUUGAUGGAUAUGGCCAGGUGCUUGAUGAUUCAGAAGAAUCUGCCUAAAGCACUAUGGGCAGAAGCAGUUAACACUGCAACAUACAUUCAAAAUAGACUUCCAACCAGGGCUUUGGAUCAAAAGACCCCAUUCGAGGCCUGGUUUAGCUUCAAGCCAUCACUGGCUCAUCUGAAGGUCUUUGGAUGCAUCUGUUAUGCACAUGUACCUGCUGUUAAAAGGGACAAAUUGUCUGAAAGGGCUCGACCUGGUGUUUUGGUGGGCUAUAGCACUGUUAAGAAGGGCUAUAGGAUUUUAGAUCCUUCAACAAACAAAGUGUCAGUAAGCAGGGAUGUGGUAUUUGAUGAGAGGUCAUGUUGGAACUAGGAAAGACAUGAACCUGAAGAAGUUUUUGAAGAACUUGCAGCAGACCAAGCUGAGCCAGACCAAGAUGUCCCUGAAAUGGAUAUUGAUGAUGAACCAGUCAGAGGAACAAGGCCAUUGGCUGAAAUUUAUGAAAGGGCUCAUGUAGCCAUAGUUGAACCAAGCAACUUUGAAGAGGCUGAGGCUCAGCAAGGGUGGAAGCAGGCAAUGGCUGAGGAGAUCAGCAUGAUUGAGAAGAACCACACCUGGAAAUUGGUUGAAAGGCCAGUCAAAAGGAAAGUGAUUGGGGUGAAAUGGGUGUACAAAGCCAAGCAGAAUGCUGAUGGUACCUUGAACAAGCUGAAAGCAAGGCUAGUUGUCAAGGGGUUCAGUCAGAGGUAUGGCUUGGACUACCUGGAGACCUUUGCACCAGUGGCCAGGCUCGACACCAUCAGACUGCUGAUUGCCUUAGCAGCACAGCUUGAAUGGAAGAUCCAUCAACUUGAUGUGAAAUCAGCUUUUCUGAAUGGUUUCUUAGAUGAAGACAUCUAUGUUGAACAACCACAAAGGUUUGAAAUAGCUGGCAGAGAGCAUAUGGUCUACAAACUGAAAAAGGCCCUAUAUGGAUUAAAGCAGGCUCCAAGGGCCUGGUAUAGCAGAAUUGAUGGCUACUUGACUGAUCUAGGAUUCGAUCGAAGCAAGAGUGAGCCAACACUGUAUGUCAAGAAACAAGGGACACAAAUACAACUCAUUGUGUCCCUGUAUGUUGAUGAUCUUCUGGUGACAGGAGGAGAUCGAGUAGUGCUGGCUGAUUUUAAGACCAAGAUGCAGGAAGUGUUUGAAAUGUCUGAUCUUGGGGAGAUGUCAUACUUUCUUGGAAUGGAGGUGUCUCAAGUAUAGAAUGAGAUAUUUCUAAGCCAGAGAAGCUUUGCCACAAAGAUUCUGACCAAGUUCUCCAUGCAAAACAGCAAGGCAACUAAAACACCUAUUGCUGUUGGAGAAAAACUAUCGAGCCAAGGUGAUUUUAAGAAAGUUUGUGAAACAACCUACAGGAGUCUAGUUGGUUGCUUGCUAUACUUGACUGCCACUAGACCAGACAUUAUGUAUGCUGUAGGAUUGCUCUCAAGGUUCUUGCAUUGCUGCAAUGAGAAGCAUUUCCAAGCUGCAAAGAGAGUGCUGAGAUAUGUCAAAGGCACUUUAAACUAUGGUUUGAAGUACAGUAAAGAAGGAAAUCUGAAGCUGAUUGGCUACACUGAUAGUGACUGGGCUGGCUCGAUAGAUGACAUGAAAAGCACCUCAGGGUAUGCUUUUAACCUUGGUUCAGCCAUGUUUUGUUGGAGCUCAAAGAAGCAAAGUCUAGUAGCUCAAUCUACUGCUGAAGCAGAGUAUGUGGCAACAGCAAGUGCUAUCAACCAAGCCAUAUGGCUAAGAAAAAUAUUGGCUGACUUGAAUGUGCAUCAAGAGCAAGCUACUGAGAUCUUCUGUGACAACCAAUCUGCAGUAGCAAUUGCUAAAAAUCCAGUGUUCCAUGGAAGAACAAAACAUUUCAGCAUAAAGUUGCAUGUUGUUCGAGAAAUGGAGCAAGCUCAGGAAGUAAAGCUGGUCCACUGUAAUUCAGAAGAUCAACUUGCUGACAUUUUAACCAAAGCUCUUAGUGUCACAAGGUUUGAAUAUCUAAGAAAGAAGCUAGGUGUUUGCUCCAUGCAAACCAAGGAGGAGUGAUGAAGUUGGUUCAGCAUGCAGCAAACUCGACAGCAUGCAGGCCAUGAAGACCAAGUCGUGCAGGAGCUGCUGGAACGAGCUGAACUUUUCCUAUUUUGUUCAUCUAGUAAUCUUAAGUUAAUGUAAUGUACUUUAGUUCAUUUAGAACUAUGUUAGGUUUAUGAUUGAUGUAAUUUUGAUGACAAUUGAGCUGUUAAGUCAGCUUUGUUUAAGUGUGUAAGCUUAGUUUUUCAAGUUUCAAUGUAUUAGUGGUAGUAGGUGAUGAUUAGGUAUCAUUAUGCAGAUUUUGACAAGCAAAUUGCUUGGUUUAUGUAUUGGCAUUAUGCCAUUGUUCAACAUAUGAAUGAAAUCAACUUUGUUCAUCAAUAUUCUCUCAAAUUUCCUCAGCUUAUUUUCUUUUUUCUUCAACUCGAAAUUGUUUGUUUGCUCAGCAAGAUUCGAGGCUUGCUCGACAAGAAACUUGCUGAGUCUGUUUGAUUCUGCUGUUGCACCAACAAUAUACCUCCACUGUGCCAUUGUGUAUUUGUGUUCGAUUUUCAGUUCUGUCUCACAAUCCCUGUCAUGUCUUAUGAGUGAUUUUCUGGCUCUAAAUAUCUAUGAUAUAUUUGUGCAGGCAUUUCACUGAAGACUCAGGAACUCUAUGCUAUUGUCUUUGCUACUCGUUACUUGGACAUAUUCACUAAUCAUAUCUCGCCUUAUAACACAAUCAUGAAGCUAAUAUUCCUGGGCAGCUCUUUCUCAAUUGUAUGGUACAUGCGGUAUCACAAAAUAGUUCGUAGAUCUUAUGAUAAGGACCAGGAUACAUUUCGACAUUACAUCCUUAUACUCCCUUGCCUGAUUCUUGCCCUUCUUAUAAACGAGAAGUUCACCUUCAAAGAGGUAUCGACAUCCUUUUGUUUGUUGGAAUAUGAUAACAGUAUGUUCAUAUUAAUUACUGGUUAACUUAGAAGCUCCCUAAACUGUUUAUCUGUUUUAUAUUAAUUAUUCAUUAUUAUCCUUCUGGUUAUAUUUUUAUAUAUUGAUUAUUGUCUUAAAAAAAAUUGUUGAGCAGGUCAUGUGGACAUUUUCCUUGUAUUUGGAAGCUGUUGCGAUACUUCCUCAGCUUGUAUUGUUGCAAAGGACUAGAAAUAUUGACAACUUGACUGGACAAUAUGUGUUUCUCCUUGGGUAACCACUGUAUUCUUUAAAAAUCCUAAUCAGUUGCAAGUUUUCUAUUUUAUUACCUUGCAAUUUGCAUGAAGGACCCUUAUUUCCUGGCUCAGUUCCCUAAAAUGUUGCCUCCUUCCUGAGGAAACAAAAGAGAGAAAGUCUCUAAAUAGAGUUGCCAUCAUAUUGCCGCUUGGUUGCCACUGAUUUCUUUUUGAUGAAAAGUUGAUAUGAUUAUAUGUUGGACCAAAGUUAUCUAUUUUCAGAUGUGAUUAACUGCAGUUGAAUUUUGCGAGUAUGACUGUUCUUGUGUAACUUUUGUUAUGUGCUUUCAUGUCGUUUUUAGUCUUUUACACUGUGUUCUGUCUAUCUUUGUUUGCUAUUAUCCUAAGUUAGGAGACAAGGUGCCAUUAGGAGCAAUGUGACGUCAAAAUUCAUUUCCCUUUAGCCUUCAGUUCUACCUUUUCUUCCCUUUCUUUAUGUAGUUUUUGGGAGUUGGGGAUCACAGCGAUGAUAGUCGGUACAUGUGACUUGAAAGAUGCCUAAAAACUUCAAGAGCAUAGUGUUGUAUAAAUCUUUUGGAGAAAUUUUUUUGGUACAUUGAUGCCAACUUACAAUAACCCUUGCCACUACAACCGUGGCUUUGUUGGCUUAUGUAUGCACUCUCUUUGUCUUUAUAGGUCACCAAAUUCCUAAUGUCUAAUUCUUGGUUAUGGACUAAUAUAGUUGCUUGUUAUUGCAGUGCAUACAGAGCAUUGUACAUAGUGAACUGGAUUUAUCGGUACUUUACUGAAGACCACUUUGUCCACUGGAUAAGUAUGUACUCUUCUCUGUCUCCCUUCAUCUUUUACUCCAAGUCGGUAGCCAUGGGUGUAUGACGAGUGUGUCAAUAUAUCUACCCCAACACAUUUGUGAUAUACUAUGCUAUAUGUGUUAUUUCUAACACCUUGUUUACAUGAUUGCUGCCUUUCAGCUUGGAUUUGCGGUCUUGUCCAGACAUUGCUUUAUGCUGAUUUCUUCUACUAUUACUUCCAGAGGUAACCCCCUUUCUGACACUCUGGAAAGCACUUCAUACCUAUGUGAAUGAUUGCAACUUAUUUGAUUAUUAUGCCUGCAGCUUGAAGAACAACAUGAAGCUCCAAUUACCAGCUUGAGAUUUUAAUGGUGCAAGUUUUGUAGUAGCAUACAUAAACUUACAUCAUAUGGGUUCAAAUUUAUGAGUAUUUCAAUUAAUUUUAAUUUCACUAUGUUAUAUUGUAAUAUCAUGUAAAAAGUAUCAUAAAAGCAGGCAUAAGUUUUCCACCAAUUAGAACAUUUUGAAAAUUGAUGUCAAGCCCGAAAUGACCGUCACAAGUAAGCAUAUUAAACGUGUGAAGAGAAGACCUUAUUUUUCCACAUAACUAAAACUUUUUACACCAUAGGAACUUUCAUCGUCAUCAAGUUGGACAUGGAUGGAGCUCACGUAAAAAUAAUUUUUCAUAUAAAAACUAAAAACUAGAAAUUGACUUGUAAUAAUUCUCAAGGUUAAGGUUGACGUGGUCAAUAGUAAUGAACUUAUGUUUAAGGUUUGGGUUAUUUUUCUCAAUUAUAGAUUAGUAUUUUGUUCAUUGUAAACUUUGCUAACAAAAUUUAAUAUAUGACACAUAUCUGAUUUAAUUUAUUUUUAUUUUAUAAAACUUUCAUUAUUUGUUUUACUCAUUAAUGAAAUUUGGUGUGAAUACAUUAAAUAUUACCUUUUAUAUAUUUCACUCCCUCUUACUAUAUCUCAAUGGAGAAAUUGAAGGUCAUUCAAGGAAAUGGUAAUGUCCAUUUUCCACAAAACUAAAAUUUUCCACACGACAGAAACUUUCUUGGUCAAACAAGUUGGAUUUGGCUUCACCAAUAACUUAAUAAUCUGUACUAAAAUUUUCCACGCAAUAGAAUACGAACUCGUUCUCGUAAAUAUUUUAAAAAAUAAAAAAUUUAAUAUUAUGAGUUAACGAAUUAUCAAUUUAAUUAAAAAAAGUUGAAAGAUACAUUUUUUAAAAUUUUAUGAAAUUAUAUAUUAAUAUAAUUAUAAAAUUAUAGUUUUAACUUUAUAAAAUUUAUUAUUUAUCUUUGAUCUUGAAGAGAGACAAAGUAAAAUACCUAUUCUUGGAGCCAUAACGACAACUAGGAUUAUGAUUGCACAUUUUCUAAGUCUUCAUUUUUGUUAAUUAGGAAAGCUGAUGGGCAUCUCCACUAAGUUUCCACCCACAAGAAUAUACGUAUUAAUUUGUUUUUCUCAAUUUCCAUGAGGGGGGAUAUAAGCUUAAAGUUGACGUAGAAGUCAAUACUCAACAUUUGAAAGUUAAUGCAGUGAACUAUGUGCUUGUUGAUAUAUGAAAUGAUAUUUUCUUAACAAUUUCCUCCAACUAGUUCGUAGAUGGUGCUAUAUUACAUCACAAUGGGUAACCAAAUGUAUAUAAUUGAGAUUUUUAAGCAAAUAUUAUAUUUUAUCUUUAUCCAUGAAUAGUCUAAUAAUAAGGAUUAAUAUUUGGUACAUUGUCAGUGGAGUUUUUAAAUUCCAUAAGUAGGGUUAGAGGAUUGACACAUGCCAAUUUUUUAAUGUUGCUUGUGGGAUGCACUUGAAUUGUGGUUCAUAGAAGGAAAUUAUUAUAUAAAGGUUUAAUUCUACCAUAGUUCUUGUACUUUACUGAAGUUGUAGAUUUAAUUCCCAGACUUUAAUUUGAUAUUUUAGAUAUUUGUUAAAUUCAUAAAGUCCUACUAUUUCCAAAUUUGGUGUGGCAAACAUAUUAUCAUAGGUGUAAUAUCACUAAAAUUCAAAAGAAUGAGAAAUUUGUACAUAUUAUCAGAUGUCAAUAUCAAGUUGAGCAUUUCAAAAUCUAAAGUAAUAGUUCAAGUAUUUAUUUUUCCAUAAAACCAAAAUUUUCUACAUGAUGGCUUUUUUUUUGGCUAUUAGUUAAGAGGAAUUUUUUUAAUAACCCAAUUUAAUUAACUAAUUUAAAAAAUGGUUCAAGUAAAACUCAAGUCAUAUUAAAAAUAAUUAUUUAUAAAUUUUAUGUUUCAAAAACUAAUGAAUGUUCAAAGAAUAGUGAAUUAUUAAAGAGAAGUUAUAUGAUAAUGGAUUGUUUUAAAGUAGUGGUCUAGUAGAAAUAAAUAGUUUUUUAUAAAAAAAUAUUAUAUAAAUAAUUAAAUUUUAUAGUUACUCCUAUUUUUUUUAAAAAUAGUGAAUGUAAUAUUUUUUAAAAUGUUAAAUUAACUCAUGAUAUUAAUUAAAUCAAGAAAUUUUAUAAUAAUAGAGAUGAAAAAAACUAAAUUUUCAAAAUCAAAACCUAAAACGUGCAAGAAUAAAAGCAAUCUGAAGACUUAAAAUUUCCAUUAAUAAAACCAAAAUCAAAGAAGUAAAAUUUCCAUGAAUAAAACCAAAAAUGAAGACCUAAAUUUUCCAUUAAUAAAGCCAAAUCAAGACUAAGUUUGUAUAAGUGUAAGAAGGGUAUAAAGGAAACUCACAAGAAAGCCACAUGAAGAAUUUUAUAACUCCAACUACACGAUUUUAUGUCCACCUCUCACUUUUCAUAUUUUUUUUUGGCCAUUCAUUUUUCAAGAUUAACAUUAGCAUUCUUGUGGUCCGUUCAUCCUUUCCUAACCAAUUUCCACCAAGAGUUUUUGCAAUAAGGAAUUUACCUAAAUAAGAAACCUAGAUUGAUCCAAUUUUUGAGGAAUUAAUUAAUUAUAUAUUAUUUUUAUAUUAUAAUGAAUUAGUGGGAUGCAGUAUGUUCUGCUUGUAUAUAAAUAAGAAGCUUAGGCUUCUUUAGAUUAUAUACAUAUAGAAGUUAACAAAAAGUAACAUAUAGCUGAGAGAGAAGUGAAAAUAGAGAGAUGAUGAUGAUGGAGUGGAAAUGGUUAAGGUUUAUUAGGAUGGCAGUAAUGUUGUUGGUGUUAGAAGGAUGCAGAUGGUGUACUACUGAUGCUUGUUUGGAGCAUGAGAGAAUCGCUCUCUUGCAUCUCAAGCCUUUCUUCAAUUAUCAAAAUCAAUUGCAAAGUUGGGUUGAGGUGAAGGGUUCAGAUUGUUGUAAAUGGGAAAGAGUUGAGUGUAACACCACCACUAGGAGACUCAUACAACUCUCCCUUAAUUCUACAAGAUGGUUUGACAGUAUGGGAUACAAAACGGAUAAUAGGAAUCUCAAUGCCUGGUAUCUCAAUACCUCUAUGUUUCUUCCCUUUGAGGAAUUGAAGAGUCUUUAUUUGCGGGGGAAUGCCAUAAGUGGUAACCUUGAAAAUGAAGGUCGUGCCUCUAGUUUUUCCUUAAUUACAUCUUUUAUUAUCCCACUACUCUUACCAUCGUUAUUUUGCAAUUACUUAUAUUUUAUUUUAUUUUAUGGAAGAAAAGUCACUAACUUGUAUAUAUUUAAAAGAAUAUUUCUAUAGGCUUUGGAAAACUAUCAUCCACAUUGAGUAAUUUGGAGAUCCUUGACUUAAGUGAAAACUACUUGAAUGACAGCAUUUUGUUAUCUUUGAGUGAGCUUUCAUCUCUCUGGUAUUUAGAUCUAUCAGGCAACAAAUUUGAAGGAUCAAGCCAUCUAAGAGGUAAAUUAAGUUUGGUCUGGUAUUAGUUUUUAUUUGUAAAGUGGAGUUUGAGGAUGGUCUUCUAGUAAUUCCACUUUUGCUUUAGUAAAAUUUUCAUACAGCUAAGAAAGAAAAAACAAUUAACAAGUAAUUUUUAACUUUAAAAAUCAAUGUAUGUUCAUAUUCAAGGUAGACUGGUUUUAUAUGUUUCUUUUUUACUUUAAAACCAUUUUUUUUGUUUAAGGGACAGUUAAUGUUGCAAUAUGUCUUUGCUUUUAUCAUAUCAUGAAUAUAUAUAAUUGAUCAAUAUUUGGGAUUGAAUUUCAGGAUUGAAUAAUUUGACAAACUUGAAGUACUUGGAUUUAAGUUCGAACAGAAUUGAAAGCAUCUCAAACAAAGGUAUAAGUACAGUAUUUAUAUGUCAAUUCAUAUUAAAGGUAGACUGGUUUUAUAUGUUUCUUUUUUACUUUAAAACCAAUUUUUGUUUAAGGGACAGUUAAUGUUGCAAUAUGUCUUUGCUUUUAUCAUAUCAUGAAUAUAUAUAUAUAUAUAACUGAUCAAUAUUUGGGAUUGAAUUUCACGAUUGAAUAAUUUGUCAAACUUGAAAUACUUGGAUUUAAGUCGCAACAACGUUGAAAGCAUCUCAAACCAAGGUAUAAGUAUUUGUGCGUAGUAACUUUCUUGACUGACUAUUAUUCCAAAAGGCAAUGACAGACUUCAAAUGUAUUUUCUUUAGUGAAUUUUUAUUGCAAAAAUGGAGUAUUAUUAUUUAUUUAAGUUUUGUAGUAACUAAUUAUAUAAUAUAUAAAUGAGGUUUUCAAUGGCUCAUUAAAUUGGAAAUUAUUGAUAUAAGUUGGAAUUAUUUGAAGAAUAGCAUUCUUUAAAAUAAAUUCAUGUUGAAGGAAAAGUUGUUGCAAUAUGUUAUAUCAUGAAUAUAUAUAAGUAAUCAAUAUUUGGGAUUGAAUUUCAAAAUUGAGUAAUUUAAGUAGGAAGGUAUCUCAAACAAAGUAUUUAUAUAUUGAAUCAAUUCAUGGGAAAGCUUGUAAAUUGGCUCUUCCUUCUCAAACAAACAUUUUUCCUAACUAUUUAUAUAUUGAAUGAUGUUAACUAUACUAAUUACUUUCUUCCAAUGAUAGAUGGAACACAAUUGAGGCUAACAAAUUUAGAGGAACUUGAUUUGAGUGGUAAUCUCUUUCGGAACAACACAAUUUCCUUUCCUCAAGGGCUUUCAAGCCUAAAGUCUUUGACUUUGUUCAACAACCGUUUGCAAGGCUCAUUAGAUACUAAAGGUACUAAAGCUAUAACUUUGUUUUUCUUGAUAAUUCUUUCUAGAGCCUUUUAAAAUUAAUUGUUUCAAAUUUGAACAUUCACAUUUCACGUUUGAGGAUUUUUAUCUUCAAUUCAAGUUUUAGAUUUACUUUUUUUUUUCAUUUUUAUUUCAUUAAAAUAUUAAGUAGAAAUUAAAAUUAUUAACAUAAUGAUUUUUUGAAUUGGACGUGGAUAUGUAUAGGAUUGAGCAAUUUAACAAAUUUGAAGAAACUCGAUUUAAGAUGGAAUCAAAUUGAAAGCUUUCAAUCCUUUAAAGGUAUGCAUUUAUAUUUAACCAAUUACCUAAAUUCUUACAUAUAAUUAAAUUUUAUGCCAAUUCAUUUCAGUGAUGAAAUUAUAUAAAUCUUUUGUAGAUGGUGGUAGAAAAUUGGAGUUGACCCACUUGGAAGAGCUUAAUUUAGAUGGAAAUCACUUCAAUACUAGUGUAUUUGCAUCCCUUAACAAGCUUUCAAAUUUGAAAUCUUUGAGCAUAAGUGGGAACCAAUUGAAAGGAUCAAUAGAUAUGAAAGGUAAAUAUAUUAGUCUUUUUAACAAGAAUAUAAUAAUGUUUGAAGAGAAUAUAAUGAAGUUGAUUUGUUGUUUUUGUUUUCCUAGAUUUGGAAGCAUUUAUCAACUUAAGGGAACUAGAUAUGAGCGGCAAUGAAUUGAAAGAUUUGGUGAUCCACCAAGGUAUCAUUUAAUUAAACUUCCUUUUUUUUUUAAAUUUAGAAAUUUAGUUUUGAUGUCAAAUAUUAUAAUAACGGUUAUUGUCAUAAAUAUUAAUAAAGUAAUAUCAUAUCAUACUUGAAAGUAAAAUAUGGGUUUGGUGAAACAUUUUCUAAAUCAUCCAUUAUAAUGUGUUUGGACUUUGGUUUGAAACUAAAAUUCUUUAAAAUUUUCAUCAUUUUAAAAUAUUAAUGUUUAUAAUUAUUUUGUUUGUAUAAAUAUAUUUUUUAAAAUAAUUUAUUGAAUUUUUAUGAGAUAAAAAAUAAUUAUAACAAUAAAAAAUGAUAUUAUAAAUAAAUAAAAACAUAUAUUUAUGAGAAAAUAUGUAAUAUAACUAUAUUUUAAUUUCAUAUAUUUUUAAUAGUAUAAAACAUAAAAAUACAUAUUAGCGUUAAAUAAAUGGCAUUUUUUGGCAAAAAUAAAUAAAUGUCAAUUUUGAAUAAUUUAAAAAAAAUCUUUAAUUUUGUGAAAUUUAAGCAUACAUCGAGAGGUGCUUAAACUUCCAUUGCAAUCUUUUUAUAAAUUUCAAAGUGCAUAUGUUUUUAACUUUUUGGUUUAAAAAAAUAUGAUAGGUCUACGUACUCUUUACUAAUUUGUAAUUUAAUUCUUAUACUUUUAUUUUCAAGAAUUUAAUCCCUGUUUUUUUAUAAAAAAAAUCAAAAUCCUAGUUCAAUUGUUAAAAUUGUUAAAAUUUUAAAAUAGUUUGUUGGUGUGACAUUUUGAAAUAAAAAAAAAAACUUAGUAGUAAUGUAACUAAAAAAAUGACGUAAUGAACAUGGAUUUAAUAAAAUAAUUUUAACAAUAUUAAUAAAAUAAUUUUGAAUUUUGAAUUUUAACUUAACUCUAUUUUUGGGCCAAGAUUUAAUGCUUUAAAAUUUUCAUUUAAUCCGCUGAGUUUACUUAUAAUUCUUUUGAGUUUUAUUUAUUGGUGAGUAAAAUACCUAUUUGAUUUUUUUAUAUACUAUUGGCAUCUUUAAAGGUAAUAUAAUAAUUUUAGUGUAGACGUGUUUUAUUUUAUAAAUAUUAUUUAUAGUGUAGACAUGUGAAUUUUGAAUAAUUUAAAAAUAUCUUCAAUUUUAUGAAAUUUAAACAUACAUUUAGUGUAGACAUGUUUUAUUUUAUAAAUAUUAUUUAUAGUGUUGUUGAUUGGAGUUUGAAAAUUAUACAACUUAGCUAUAUCAGUUAAUUACUUAUAUUAAAAAAUAAUAUAAGAAAAUACUAAAAAGAAAAAAAAUAGUAUAAUUAAUAAAAUGGAUGAAGAGUUAUAUUAAAGUUUCAACAUCUUCUCUCUAUCAAAAUUUAUCUCAGAUAAAUCAUGAAUAAUCUAACUCAUAAAAAAUAUAUAUAUAUUUAUAUACUUCAUUUCAUUCACAGAAAAUAAAGCAUUCUACUUAGUAGAGGCUUUCUAUAAUACCGUUAUCUAAUACCUCUUGACAUUGCUUAGAUUCAAAUGUGUCGAGCAGUUUGGAGGAAAUAUAUCUUGACUAUUCUACUCUCAACACCAACAUUUUGCAAAGCAUUGGAGUAUUCGCUUCUCUUAAAACAUUGUCUUUAUAUCAUUGUGGACUUAUUGGUCCCUUACCUAAUCAAGGUAAAUAAUUUUAUGGCUCAAUUUGAUUUCUUUAUGAACUUUCUGUAAUAUAUUAUCUCCUAUUCUGUUUUAUAAAGCAAAAUUUAAUUGAAACUUCUUCCAUGAAUUUAUUUAUAAAAUUUUCAGGAUGGUGUGAUCUAAGGAACCUUGAAGUGUUGGAUGUGAGUGGGAAUGCACUUGAGGGGAUGCUUCCUCAUUGUUUUAGUAACUUGACAUCUCUUCGUGAGUUAUAUAUUUCAAGAAACCAUUUUCAAAUUCCGCUGUCAUUUGCACCAUUUGCAAACCUUUCAAACCUCAAAUCCCUUUGGAUUAAUGAAAACAAGAUGGUAAUGGAACCUUCCUUUUAUACCUCAAUCCCAAAGUUCCAAUUGGAAGUCAUCAGUUUGCUAAAGUGCAUAACAUCUCAACAACUCAGUCGUAAAGUUCCUACCUUCCUUUACUACCAAUAUGACUUGAGAUAUGUGGAUCUUUCGCAUAACAAUUUCAGCGGAACAGUCCCAACUUGGUUGUUAGAAAACAACACAAAAUUAAAAGUUCUUAUCUUGAAGGGUAAUUCUUUUACUGGUCCUCUCUCACUUUCGUCGGCUCUUAUUUCUAAUGUAUCUUCAAUUGACUUAUCUGAAAACAAAUUACAAGGUCAAAUUCCGAUUGGUAUAUGUUCAACUUUUCCACAUUUGAGUCAAUUAUUCUUAUCCAAGAAUGCUUUUGAAGGUAAUAUCCCACUUUGUUUAAGUGGCAUGAAGGACUUAUCAACUUUAGAUCUAUCAAACAAUCUAUUGUAUGGAAAAGUUCCAGAAGAGUUGAUCGCGAAAGGCUCACUGACCAUUUUGAGACUAUCAACUAACAACCUCAGUGGAAAUGUAGUUCCUGUGAUUCUCAGCGCAAAUGGGCUGGAGAAUUUAUAUUUGGAUGGAAAUAAUUUUUCAGGAGAGAUGACAAAUGUUGAUGUGUCUACUUUUGAGUUUCCAAAUUCACUACGGGAAAUUGAUCUCAGUAACAACAAGUUGCAUGGAAAGCUCCCAAGAUGGAUAGGGAAUGCAUCGUUUUUGGGGAGAUUAGCUAUGUCCAACAAUAGUUUUGAGGGUUCUAUUCCAAUGGAAUUUUGCAAGUUGAAUAGCUUGGAAUUUUUGGAUCUUUCUCAAAAUAAUUUAUCUGGCUCUAUACCGUCAUGUUUUAAUCCACCAUACAUAGAGUAUGUCCACCUCCACGGGAAUAGACUGAGAGGCCCACUAUCACUUGCUUUUUAUAAUAGCUCUUCAAUAGUGACUUUAGAUCUUAGAGGAAACAAUUUGACAGGUAGUAUUCCAAAAUGGAUUUACACGCUUUCUUCUUUGAGUGUUCUUCUCUUGAAAGAUAAUCAUUUUCAUGGUAAAGUUCCUAUUGAGUUAUGCAAGUUGCAUUCUUUAAGCAUCAUAGAUCUUUCUCAAAAUAUGUUUUCUGGUCCUAUACCUUCUUGUUUGGGAAAUUUAUCUCUUCCAAUGCAAACGAACAAGACUCUAGAAAUUGAGUUCUAUGGGCCAUCUAUAGAAGAGGAUGAAACAACACGCAGUAUGAUACUAAAUUUGGGAAUGGAUUCUUACUAUCCUGGUAGCUACUUAGAAGAAGUAAUAGAGUUCACAACAAAGAGUGGGUUCUAUUCAUACAAGGGCGACAUCCUUUCAUAUAUGACUGGGAUUGAUUUAUCUUGCAACAACUUAACUGGUCAUAUCCCACCAGAAUUAGGGAACUUGAGUGAAAUCCAUUCUUUAAACCUUUCACACAAUAAGUUGACCGGAGUUAUACCCUCGUCACUCUCGAAACUACAUCAAAUUGAGAGUUUGGACCUUUCUUACAACAACUUAAGUGGUGAAAUCCCCAAUCAAUUGGUAGAGUUAAACUCUUUGGAGGUUUUCAGCGUGGCAUUUAACAACUUGUCAGGUAGUAUUCCCGAACCAAAAGCUCAAUUUGGGACCUUUAUUGAAAAUAGUUAUCAGGGAAAUCCGUUUCUUUGUGGAGUUAUAUUGCAUAAAAGUUGUUCCAAAACCGAUUCACCAUCAACGAUAUCAACUGUAUCAGAAGAUAAAGGAGAAGAUGGUUUGAUAGAUACUUAUGAUUUUUGUGUGAGCUUUUUGGUUUCUUAUGUAGUUGUGUUGUUGACAAUUUUUGUUGUCCUCUACAUAAAUCCACACUGGCGAAGAACUUGGUUUUCUCUUGUUGGGAAAUGCAUUACCACCUGUCGCUACUCAAAUGUGGGCAAUUUUCUUACUUAUCACAUUUUCAAGCAAUGUGUUUAGCUACUCAAAUUGUGAUUUGAUUUCCACACCUAAAUGUUUAAUUAUGCUAAGUUGAGCGAUAAUGAAUAUUUUGUUGAUUUUUGCAUUUUGAAUAAAGGCUCUUUUAUCUUAUGGUUUUAUCAUUUCCAACCAUCUAUUUCUUUUUUCUUCUACGAAAUUUAUUAUGUAUAUGCAAUAUCUCUUUGAAUUAAAUUAAAUUGACUGCCAAGAGUUCACUAAUGCAUACCGAAAAGGAAAUCUAAUGUAAAAUUAAACCAAACAUACUAAAAAAUUGAAUCUAAAAUUGGAAUAUUUUAAAACCUCACAAACAAUGCAAGUCUUUGUUCCUCUUUUCCUCUCAAGUCAUUUUGUAUCAUGUGAUAUUUUACAUAAUUAUUCGUAUCAUCGAAUUUUUAAAAAAUUUAAUAUAUUGAUAUCAUGUUCAUAUUAUGCUUUAAUUCACAAUGUAUUUUGUAUAAUGUGUUAUAACAAUUCAAUUAAAAAACAAGCAAUUAUCUUAUUUUUGCGUACCAUAUUAUACAUUGACAUGUUAAUAAUUCGUUGUACAUAAAUUUUGACAUGUUCGUAUAUUUGAGUCAUUAUAAUUUUAUUAUUUGUAAUAUGACAUGUUUUAAUUACCCUUAAUAUUGCGUCAUGAUAAUUAUAAAUCGAUUGGCAGUCUACCAAAUAAUUUUUCUAAUAAAAAAUAGUAUUUUAUUCUAUUUACCAAAUCUUUAUCAACUUUAUAUUCUCACCAACAAAACAUACAUUCAAAGUUCAAAUAAGUUCCGCACCCAUUUUUUUACUGCAAUACUCAAGAAUAUGCUCAUCAUCAGAAAUCUGAAAUAUUCCACUUUAAUUAACAUUAAUUAUGAUUCUGUAAACAACAAAAAAGUGUGAUCCUUUGAAAUGGGAUUGGCAAAAAAUCCGCACGUGUCGUGUGUGAAGAAGGUGAGGUUGUCUAUUCAUACUCUAAUAAGUAGCUAAUUAUAGUUGAUCCUACAAAAUCAAAAUUAAUUCAGGUAUCUAUAUAUUCUGAAGACUGGACAGACCUUAGAAGCUUCUUCAAAUUUGCAAGAACAUGUCGUGGUCCUAAACACUUUACAGCGAUGAAAUUCAAAAGUUGCUCUAUAUCCUGCAAUCACAGUAAAGAUUAUGCAAUCGUUUCAGAACGAAUAACAAGAAGCAAAAGGCGAUCAAAAUACCGUGAUCUCGAUAAUGUUCUUUGCCGAAAAGGAACAUUAACUUAACCUUAAAACAGCAGUGAAGGCUCACCAGAUUUGCUUAGCAACCUUACAUACACAUGUAAAAAAAGCUUUGCUUUUGGAUGUAAGGUGUGACUAUCAUCACAGUCUUUCCUAAUUAGCUGAUUGUAAUACCCAAUUUGCCCAGCCCACAAUAAAAAACCAAAUAAAUAAAAAUUAAUUAAAACUCAAAUAGUUCACAGCCCAAUAACAACAAAAACCAAACCCAUUUACAGUGACCCGGUACAAACCCAAAGUCAGAUACAUCUAGUCCAACUACACCCAGCCCAAAUACCAAGCCCAAUACAACUAUCAACCCAACCCUAGCCCAAAAAAAAAUCAGAAAACCCUAGCUGCAACAGCCCUCCUUCCAGCGCCGCAGCCACCAGGGCCUUCCCCGAGUGUGCUGUGCCACGUCCACCACCUCCUUACGCCAGCUAGCCUCCUUACCUGCAAAGAAGACGAAAACAACGCAGCAGAGAGAAUUUUUUGUAUUUUCUUUCAUUUUAUUUCGAAUAUUCGGCUAUAAAGAGGGAGAAGGCCAUUGUAAUCCUUUUUUACGCAUAUUGAAUACAAACAAAAAAUCAAAACAGAAAGUUUUUUCGAAAGGUGAUUUUCUUCGUUUUUUUUUCUCUUUUAUUUCUUUGAUUCUUUGUUUUCUUCUUUGGCACCAAACGAAAAUAAAAAGAGGGAGAGAAGAAGCGUCUUACCAGAGCAGACGCCAUUGGAACCUGGUUUGCUCCGUCUGAAUCGGAGUCAGAUUGGGUUCGUGACUGGAGACCGGUGGGGAGAAAGGCUAGGCUCUUGAUCUGUUUUAGGAUGGCAAUACAACUUAUUAGGGUUUUAUUUUUUUAAAUGGCUUCAAAACGUCUCCGUGUUGGUUGACCCGAUGAUCCGACUUGACCCGGGGAGGAUCCGCGUGUUUUGUUUCAAUGGCUUAUUUUAGUGUUUGAUGCUUCUUUUUUUGAUUUACUUCAUUUUAAUCCUUCUUUGUCUUUUUUAAUUUUGCCACAUAAUUCGUUCUUUAUUUCAAUUUCAUCCUUCUGUCAGUUGAGGAGACAAACGUUCGAAACGACGCCGUUUCCGAUGAUCUGACUUGAUUGCCAGGUGAGACUUGUGCGUUUAAUUUCUGUUCUAGUCACUCUAUUUUAAAUUAAUUUCAAUUAGGUCCUUUUCAUUUCAUUUUAUUGCAUGUCUUACCCCUAACUUUCUGUUUUAAUUCCAAAUUAGUAAUCUGUUUUGUUAUUUUUGCUAUCAAAUUAAUUACUUUAAUAUUAAUUUAUCAUUAUUACUAUUAUUACUAUUAUUAUUAUUACUAUUAUUAUUACUACUACUAUUAUUAUUAGUAUUAUUUUUUUAAUCAAUUUAUCUAACCUUUUUAUAUUCAUUAUUUUAUUCUAUUAUGCACUAUUAUUUUAAGUUUUUUUUAUAUUAUUAUCAUAUAUUAUUUAAUUUCAUAAUGAAUUAUUUUAUAUUUUUAUGUUAAUCCAAUAGAAUUUACCUUUUUUAAAUAGUUUUCUUAUAAUACGUAAUUUAUAUCUAUUACCUAUUUAGAUUAAUAUAUGUGUAUUAUUUUGGGUUUUAUUUAUUUUGACUUUCUUCUUAUAAUAUUUAUUUUAAAAUUCAUUUAGAUAUUAUUAUUCAUUUUUAAUUCUAUUUUUAAAUUAUUUCAAGUCUUCCUAUUAAUUACUUCUUUUAAACUUUUAUAUAUGUGUAUUUUGUGUAUAUAUGUUGAUAAUUUCAAAUUUCUUUUCUCUCAUGCUUUUUUUUUAGUUAUUUUAAAUUUGUUAUAUUUGUGAUAGGCUUUUAGGUCAUUAGCUUUCAAAUGUUGAUGUUAAUAUUUACAUGUGAUUAUUGCUCUUAUAUGUAUGAUAAUGUUUAUUUGUUUUUAUUGAUUAUUUGUCAUUCGUUAGAGUAUAUUUUGUUUACAAAUCGUCAUUCCGCGUUAUACAUUAUCGUCCCGUCGCAUUUUAUUCGUUGUUAAAAGGUUACGUUUAAUAUCAUUCAAGUAUCGAGAGCAUUUUUAUUCAAAAAGUUUUUUUCAAAAAUAACGCGACACUCGGAAUUUAGGAUCCUCGAAAAGAUUGUGUCCUAACUUAUUGGAUUCCAAUCUUCCUCGUUGAAUCUAAGAAACCGGGUAUCCUUUUUUAAUUAAAGCAUAAAUAAAAAGCUCAUUCUCGAAAAUUCGAUACGUCGNNNNNNNNNNNNNNNNNNNNNNNNNNNNNNNNNNNNNNNNNNNNNNNNNNNNNNNNNNNNNNNNNNNNNNNNNNNNNNNNNNNNNNNNNNNNNNNNNNNNNNNNNNNNNNNNNNNNNNNNNNNNNNNNNNNNNNNNNNNNNNNNNNNNNNNNNNNNNNNNNNNNNNNNNNNNNNNNNNNNNNNNNNNNNNNNNNNNNNNNNNNNNNNNNNNNNNNNNNNNNNNNNNNNNNNNNNNNNNNNNNNNNNNNNNNNNNNNNNNNNNNNNNNNNNNNNNNNNNNNNNNNNNNNNNNNNNNNNNNNNNNNNNNNNNNNNNNNNNNNNNNNNNNNNNNNNNNNNNNNNNNNNNNNNNNNNNNNNNNNNNNNNNNNNNNNNNNNNNNNNNNNNNNNNNNNNNNNNNNNNNNNNNNNNNNNNNNNNNNNNNNNNNNNNNNNNNNNNNNNNNNNNNNNNNNNNNNNNNNNNNNNNNNNNNNNNNNNNNNNNNNNNNNNNNNNNNNNNNNNAAACUAAAUUUACUUUGUACUCAAUUACAAAUGUUAAGAAAUAUUUUACAAUCUAAUAAAUAAAUUUUUUAAUUAAAUUCACCAUAUUAAAUAAAAAUUUUAAAGCACCUAAAAUUGUCAAAUACAUUCUUUUGAAUUUUAGAAUUUAUGAAUUCCGAAACAGACUUUCAGCAUCUCAAAUUCUCUAUUUAAAUUUCACCUACAUAGUUUUUCUAGAAAUUCUUCAAAACUUCAUUUAUUUAAAUCAAUGGUUCUAUUAUAAAAUAGAGAAUUUAAAACUAAAAAGAUAUUAUUUUUAUUUAAAUCUAAUAUGCAUAUUUUUCUCUUUACAAAAAAUAAAUUUUCAAAAUCCAGGUCUACUAUUAAUACUGUUGAAAUUAUUUUAUUAAAUCCAUAUUCAUUUCGUCAUCUUUUAAUUACAUUGUUAUCAAGUUCUUUUAUUUUAAAAAAAGAUCACACUUUUUAGUUGUUUACAGAAUCAUAAUGUUAAUUAGAGUGGAAUAUUUCAGAUUUCUGAUGAUGAGCAUAUUCUUGAGUAUUGCAGUAAAAAAAUGGGUGUGGAACUUAUUUGAACUUUGAAUAUAAACGAACGUGUCAAAAAUUUAAGUACAACGAAUUAUUAACAUGUAAAUGUAUAAUACGGUAUGCAAAAAUAAGAUAAUUGCUUGUUUUUUUAAUUGAAUUGUUAUAACACUACACAAUACAUUGUGAAUUAAAGCAUAACAUAAAGAAUUGCAUUGUUUGUGAGGUUUUAAAAUAUUCCAGUUUUAGAUUCAAUUUUCUAGUAUGUUUGGUUUAAUUUUACAUUAGAUUUCAUUUUCAGUAUGCACUAGUGAAUACUUGGCAGUCAAUUUAAUUUAAUUUAAAGAGAUAUUGCAUAUACAUAGAAAGAAAUAGAUGGUUGAAAAUGAUUAAACCAUAAGAUAAAAGAGCUUUUAUUCAAAAUGCAAAAAUCAACAAAAUAUUAAUUAUCGCUCAACUUAGCAUAAUUAAACAUUUAGGUGUGAAAAUCAAAUCACAAUUUGAGUAGCUAAACAUAUCGCUUGAAAAUGUGAUAAGUAAGAAACUUGCCCACAUUUGAGUAGCGACAGGUGGUGAUGCAUUUCCCAACGAGAGAAAACCAAGCUCUUUGCCAGUAUGGAUUUAUGUAGAGGACAACAAAAAUUGUCAACAACACAACUACAUAAGAAACCAAAAAGCUCACACAAAAAUCACCUAUCAAACCAUCUUCUCCUUUAUCUUCUGAUACAGUUAAUAUCGUUGAUGGCGAAUCGAUUUUGGAACAACUUUUAUGCAAUAUAGCUCCACAAAGAAAAGGAUUUCCCUCAUAACUGUUUUCAAUAAAGGUCCCAAAUUGAGCUUUUUCGGGAAUACUACCUGACAAGUUGUUGUAUGCCACGCUGAAAACCUCCAAAGAGUUCAACUCUACCAACUGAUUGGGGAUUUCACCACUCAAAUUGUUGUAAGAAAGGUCCAAACUCUCAAUUUGAUGUAGUUUUGCGAAUGACGAGGGUAUAACUCCUGUCAACUUAUUGUGCGACAAGUUUAAAGAAUGGAUUUCACUUAAGUUCCCUAAUUCUGGUGGGAUAUGACCAGUUAAGUUGUUGCAAGAUAAAUCAAUCCCGGUCAUAUAUGAAAGGAUGUUGUCCUCGUACAAAAAGAACCCACUCUUUGUUGUGAACUCUAUUACUUCUUCUAAGUAGCUGUCAGGAUAGUAAGAAUCCAUUCCCAAAUUUAGUAUCAUACUGCGUGUUGUUUCAUCCUCUUCUAUAGGCCCAUAGAACUCAGUGUCUAGAAUCUUCUUCGUUUGCAUUAGAAGAGAUAAAUUUCCCAAGCAAGAAGGUAUAGGACCAGAAAACAUAUUUUGAGAAAGAUCUAUGAUGCUUAAAGAAUGCAACUUGCAUAACUCAACAGGAACUUUACCAUGAAAAUGAUUAUCUUUCAAGAGAAGAACACUCAAAGAAGAAAGCGUGUAAAUCCAUUUUGGAAUACUACCUGUCAAAUUGUUUCCUCUAAGAUCUAAAGUCACUAUUGAAGAGCUAUUAUAAAAAGCAAGCGACAGUGGGCCUCUCAGUCUAUUCCCGUGGAUGUGGACAUGCUCUAUGUAUGGUGGAUUAAAACAUGACGGUAUAGAGCCAGAUAAAUUAUUCUGAGAAAGAUCCAAAAAUUCCAACCUAUUCAACUUGCAAAAUUCCAUUGGAAUAGAACCUUCAAAACCAUUAUUAGACAAAUCUAAUCUCCACAAAAAUGAUGCAUUCCCUAUCCAUCUUGGGAGCUUUCCAUGCAACUUGUUGUUACUGAGAUCAAUUUCCCAUAGUGAAUUUGGAAACUCAAAAGUAGACGCAUUAACAUUUGUCAUCUCUCCUGAAAAAUUGUUUCCAUCCAAAUAUAAAUUCUCCACCCCAUUCACGCUGAGAAUCACAGGAACUACAUUUCCACUGAAAUUGUUAUUUGAUAGUCUCAAAAUGAUCAGUGAGCCUUUCGUGAUCAACUCUUCUGGUACUUUUCCAUACAAUUGAUUGUUUGAUAGAUCUAAAAAUGAUAAGUACUUCAUGCCACUUAAACAAAGUGGGAUAUUACCUUCAAAAGCAUUCUUGGAUAAGAAUAACCGCCUCAAAUGUGGAAAAGUUGAACAUAUACCAGUCGGAAUUUGACCUUGUAAUUUGUUUUCAGAUAUGUCAAUUGAAGAUACAUUAGAAAUAAGAGCUGACGAACGUGAGAGAGGACCUGUAAAUGAAUUACCCUUCAAGAUGAGUUCUUCUAACUUUGUGUUGUUUUCUAGCAACCAAGUUGGUAAAGUUCCACUGAGAUUGUUAUGAGAAAGAUCCACAUAUCUCAAGUCAUAUUGGUAGUAAAGGAAGGUAGGAACUUUUCGACUGAGUUGUUGAGAUGUUAUGCACUUUGACAAACUGAUGACUUCCAAUUGGAACUUUGGGAUUGAGGUAUAAAAGAAAGGUUCCAAUACCAUUUUGUUUUCAUUACUGGAGAGGGCUUUGAGGUUUGAAAGGUUUGCAAAUGGUGCAAAUGACAGUGGAAUUUGAAAAUGGUUUCUUGAAAUAUCUAACACACGAAGAGAUGUCAAGUUACUAAAACAAUGAGGAAGCAUCCCCUCAAGUGCAUUCUCACUCACUUCCAACACUUCAAGGUUCCUUAGAUCACACCAUCCUGAAAAUUUUAUAAAUUCAUGGAAGAAGUUUCAAUUAAAUCUUGUUUUAUAAAACAGAAUAGGAUAUAAUAUAUUACAGAAAGCACAUACAGCAAUCAAUUUGAGCCAUAAAAUUAUUUACCUUGAUUAGGUAAGGGACCAAUAAGUCCACAAUCAGAUAAAGACAAUGUUUUAAGAGAAGCAAAUACUCCAAUGCUUUGCAAAAUGUUGGUGUUGAGAGUAGAAUUGUCAAGAUAUAUUUCCUCCAAAUUGCUCAACACAUUUGAAUCUAAGCAAUGUCAAGAGGUAUUAGAUAACGGUAUUAUAGAAAGCCUCUACUAAGUGAAAUGCUUUAUUUUCUGUGAAUGAAAUGAAAUAUAUAAAUAUAUUUUUUUUAUGAGUUAGACUAUUCAUGAUUAUCUGAGAUAAAUUUUGAUGGAGAGAAGAUGUUGAAACUUUAAUAUAACUCUUCAUCCAUUUUAUUAAUUAUACUAUUUUUUUUCUUUUUAGUAUUUUCUUAUAUUAUUUUUUAAUAUAAGUAAUUAACUGAUAUGGCUAAUUUGUAUAAUUUUCAAACUCCAAUCAACAACACUAUAAAUAAUAUUUAUAAAAUAAAACAUUUCUACACUAAAAUUAUUAUAUUACCUUUAAAGUUACCAAUACUUUUAAAAAAAAAUAAAAAUAGGUAUUUUACUCACCAAUAAAUAAAAUUCAAAAAUAUAUUUAUAUAUGAAAUUAAAAAAUUUAUAUGUAUUUUUACUUUUAAAAAAAUAAAAACAGGUAUUUUACCAAUACUCUAAUAUGUAUUUUUAUGUUUUAUACUAUUAAAAAUAUAUGAAAUUAAAAUAUAGUUAUAUUACAUAUUUUCUCAUAAAUAUAUGUUUUUAUUUAUUUAUAAUAUCAUUUUUUUAUUGUUAUAAUCAUUUUUUAUCUCAUAAAAAUUCAAUAAAUUAUUUUAAAAAAUAUAUUUAUACAAACAAAAUAAUUAUAAACAUUAAUAUUUUAAAAUAAUGAAAAUUUUAAAGAAUUUUAGUUUCAAACCAAAGUCAAAGCACAUUAUAAUGGAGGAUUUAGAAAAUGUUUCACCAAAUCCAUAUUUUACUUUCAAGUAUGAUAUGAUAUAACUUUAUUCAUAUUUAUGACAAUAACCGUUAUUAUAAUAUAUGAGAUAAAAACUAAAUUUCUAAAUUAAAAAAAAAGGGAAGUUUAAUUAAAUGAUACCAAAUCUUUCAAUUCAUUAUAGCUCAUAUAUAGUUCCCUUAAGUUGAUAAAUGCAUCCAAAUCUAGGAAAACAAAAACAACAAAUCAACUUCAUUAUAUUCUCUUAAAACAUUAUUAUAUUCUUGUUAAAAAUCUAAUAUUUUUACCUUUCAUAUCUAUUGAUCCUUUCAAUUGAUUGUCCCCUAUGCUCAAAUAUUUCAAAUUUGAAAGCUUGUUAAGGGACGCAAAUACACUAGUAUUGAAGAGAUUUCCAUCUAAAUUAAGCUCUUCCAAGUGGGUCAACUCCAAUUUUCUACCACCAUCUACAAAAGAUUUAUAUAAUUUCAUCACUGAAAUGAAUUGGCAUAAAAUUAAAUUAUCUGGAAGAAUUUAGGUAAUUGGUUAAAUAUAAAUGCAUACCUUUAAAGGAUUGCAAGCUUUCAAUUUGAUUCCAACUUAAAUCGAGUUUCUUCAAAUUUGUUAAAUUACUCAAUCCUAUACAUAUCCACGUACAAUUCAAAAAAAAUCAUUAUGUUAAUAAUUUUAAUUUCUACUUAAUAUUUUAAUGAAAUAAAAAUGAAAAAAAAAAGUAAAUCUAAAACUUGAAGUGAAGAUGAAAAUCCUCAAACGUGAAAUGUGAAUGUUCAAAAUUGAAACAAUUGAUUUUAAAAGGUUCUAGAAAGAAUUAUCAAGAAAAACAAAGUUAUAGCUUUAGUACCUUUAGUAUCUAAUGAGCCUUGCAAACUGUUCGACCUCAUAUCCAAGGACUUUAGGCUUGAAAGCCAUACAAGAAAGGAAAUUGUGUUGUUCCGAAAGAGAUUAUGACUCAAGUCAAGUUCCUCCAAGUUUGUUAACCUCAGUAGUGUUCCAUCUAUCAUUGGAAGAAAAUAAUGAGUAUAGUUAAUAUCAUCCAAGAUAUAAAUAGUUAGGAAAAAUGAUUGUUUGAGAAGGAAGAGGCAAUUUACAAGCUUUCCCAUGAAUUGAUAACUACAUUUUACAAGUAAAACUUAAUUGAUUCAAUAUAUAAAUACUUUGUUUGAGAUUCCUUCCUACUUUAAUUACUCAAUCCCAAAUAUUGAUUACUUAUAUAUAUUCAUGAUAUGAUAAAAGCAAAUGACUUAUUAAUUGCAACAGCUUUUCCUUCAACAUGAAUUUAAUGCUAUUCUUCAAAUAAUUCCAACUUAUAUCAAUAAUCUCCAAUCUAAUGAGCCAUUGAAAACCUGAUUUAUAUAUUAUAUAAUUAGUUACUACAAAACAUAAAUAAAUAAUAAUACUCCAUUUUUGCAAUAAAAAUUCACUAAAGAAAAUACAUUUGAAGUUUGUCAUUGCCUUUUGGAAUAAGAGUCGGUCAAGAAAGUUAUGCACAAAUACUUAUACCUUUGUUUGAGAUGCUUUCAAUUCUGUUCCAACUUAAAUCCAAGUAUUUCAAGUUUGUCAAAUUAUUCAAUCCUGAAAUUCAAUCCCAAAUAUUGAUUAGUUAUAUAUAUUCAUCGUAUGAUAAAAUUAAACUUGAACAUACAUUGAUUUUUAAACUUGAACUUAUAUCAAUAAUUUCCAAUCUAAUGAGCCAUUGAAAACCUCAUUUAUGAGCCACUGAAAAUAAUUUUUUCUUGAUUCAUAUCAUAUUUUAAUAUAUUAGCAUAUUGUUUUAAAAACUCAAAUAUGUUUAAAAUCAAUUUAGCAUUUAACCUUAAUAUUAGUAUUUAACACCGGUAAUGGAGUUUUUUUAACUCUACAAGUGAAGUUAAAAAAUGACCAAUAACCUACUUUUAAAUAUUUCUUUUUUAAUAUUUUACUAUACCAUAUAAGAUAUUUGUUGUUAUCUCAAUCCUACUUAUGAAGUUUAGAAUUUCUUUAAUAGUACCACCCCGAUUUUUUAAAAAAACCAGAUUUUUUUAAUUUGAUAAAAGAAAAGAAUUUCAUUCAUAGUACCAAAUAUUUAUAUUAUUUUUUUAGUAUUUUCUUAUAUUAUUUUUGAAUAUAAGUAAUUAGCUAAUAUAGCUAAUUUGUAUAAUUUUUAAACUCCAAUCAACAACACUAUAAAUAAUAUUUAUAAAAUAAAACAUGUCAACACUAAAAUUAUUAUAUUACCUUUAAAGUUACCAAUACUUUAUAAAAAAAAUCAAAUAGAUAUUUUACUCAGCAAUAAAUAAAAUUCAAAAGAAUUAUAAGUAAACUUAGCGGAUUAAAUGAAAAUUUUAAAGCACUAAAUAUUGGCCCAAAAACAAAGUUAAGUUAAAAUAUGUCAUAUCUCCCUUUUACUCUUUACAAACGUGAAGUUUUAAAAUUCAAGUCUAAUUAUUAAUACUGUUAAAAUUAUUUUAUUAAAUCCAUGUUCAUUAUGUCAUUUUUUAGUUACAUUGCUACCAAGUUUUUUUUUUAUUUCAAAAUGUUACACCAACAAAUUAUUUUAAAAAAUUAACAAUUUAAAUAAUUAAACUUGGAUUUUGAAAUUUAAAAAAAAUAGAGGGACUAAAUUCCUGAAUAUAAAAGUAUAAGAAUUAAAUUACAAAUUUGUAAAGAGUAUGUAGACCUAUGUUAAUAACAUGUGCAUUUUGAAAUUUAUAAAAAGUUUGCAAUGGAAGUUUAAGCACCUCUAAAUGUAGGUUUAAAUUUCAUAAAAUUGAAGUUUUUUUUUAAAUUAUUCAAAAUUGACAUUUAUUUAUUUUUGGCCAAAAAAUACCAUUUAUUUAACUCUAAUAUGUAUUUUUAUGUUUUAUACUAUUAAAAAUAUAUGAAAUUAAAAUAUAGUUAUAUUACAUAUUUUCCCAUAAAUAUAUGUAUUUUUUAUUUAUAAUAUCAUUUUUUAUUGUUAUAAUUAUUUUUUAUCUCAUAAAAAUUCAAUAAAUUAUUUUAAAAAUAUAGUUAUCAAACAAAAUAAUUAUAAACAUUAAUAUUUAAAAAUUAUGAAAAUUUUAAAGAAUUUUAGUUUCAAACCAAAGUUCAAAAACAUUAUAAUGGAGGGUUUAGAAAAUGUUUCACCAAACCCAUAUUUUACUUUCAAGUAUGAUAUGAUAUAACUUUAUUAAUAUUUAUGACAAUAACCGUCAUUAUAAUAUCUGAGAUCAAAACUAAAUUUCUAAAUUUUUUUUAAAAAAAGGAAGUUUAAUUAAAUGGUACCUUGGUGGAUCACCCAAUCUUUCAAUUCAUUGCCGCUCAUAUAUAGUUCCCUUAAGUUGAUAAAUGCUUCCAAAUCUAGGAAAACAAAAACAACAAAUCAACUUCAUUAUUAUAUUCUUGUUAAAAAUCUAAUAUUUUUACCUUUCAUAUCUAUUGAUCCUUUCAAUUGAUUGAACCUUAUGCUCAACGAUUUCAAAUUUGAAAGCUUGUUAAGGGAUGCAAAUACACUAGUAUUGAAGAGAUUUCCAUCUAAAUUAAGCUCUUCCAAGUGGGUCAACUCCAAUUUUCUACCACCAUCUACAAAAGAUUUAUAUAAUUUCAUCACUGAAAUGAAUUGCCAUAAAAUUUAAUUAUAUGUAAGAAUUUAGGUAAUUGGUUAAAUAUAAAUGCAUACCUUUAAAGGAUUGAAAGCUUUCAAUUUGAUUCCCACUUAAAUCGAGUUUCUUCAAAUUUGUUAAAUUGCUCAAUCCUAUACAUAUCCACGUCCAAUUAAAAAAAUCAUUAUGUUAAUAAUUUUAAUUCCUACUUAAAAUUUUAAAGAAAUAAAAAUGAAAAAAAAGUAAAUCUAAGACUUGAAGUGAAGAUGAAAAUCCUAAAACGUGAAAUGUGAAUGUUCAAAAUUGAAACAAUUAAUUUUAAAAGGCUCUAGAAAGAAUUAUCAAGAAAAACAAAGUUAUAGCUUUUUGUACCUUUAGUAUCUAAUGAGCCUUGUAAACCGUUCCAACUCAUAUCCAAGGACUUUAGGCUUGAAAGCCCUUGAAGAAAGGAAAUUGUGUUGUUCCGAAAGAGAUUAUCACUUAAAUAAAGUUCCUCUAAGUUUGUUAGCCUCAAUUGUGUUCCAUCUAUCAUUGGAAGAAAAUAAUAUCAUUCAAGAUAUAAAUAGUUAGAAAAAUGAUUGUUUGAGAAGGAAGAGCCAAUUUAGAAGCUUUCCCAUGAAUUGAUAACUACAUUUUACAAGUAAAACUUAAUUGAUUCAAUAUAUAAAUACUUUGUUUGAGAUACCUUCCUAUUUUGAAAUACUGCAACAUUAACUGUCCCUUAAACAAAAAUUGGUUUUAAAGUAAAAAAGAAACAUAUAAAACCAGUCUACCUUUAAUAUGAAUUGACAUAUAAAUACUGUACUUAUACCUUGGUUUGAGAUGCUUUCAAAUUUCAAUUCUGUUCCAACUUAAAUCCAAGUAUUUCAAGUUUGUCAAAUUAUUCAAUCAUAAAAUUCAAUCCCAAAUAUUGAUUAGUUAUAUAUUCAUCGUAUGAUGAAAUCAAACUUGAAUAUACAUUGAUUUUUAAAGUUGAAAAGAAACAGGUAAAAUCAGUCUACCUUGAAUAUGAUCCAUCCUUCCUUUCAACUCAUUACCACUCAAUCUUAAAGUCUUCAAGGAUGAAAGAUUUCUCAUAUGGAACAAAAUGCUAUUCUUCAAAGAAUUCCAACUUAAAUCAAGAGUUUCCAAGUUAUUGAGUCUUGAAAGCAAUUGAAAACCUGAUAUAUAUACAUAAUUACUUGUUAAUUGUUUUUUUCUUUCUUUGCUAUAUGAAAAUUUUACUAAAGCAAUAGUGGAAUUACAACGGAUAAAAAGAAUGGAAAACUAGGUACCAAACCCAGAAGACCAUCCUCAAACUCCACUAUACAAAUAAAAACUAACACCAGACCAAACUUAAUUUACCUCUUAGAUGACUUGAUCCUUCUAAUUUGUUGUGUGAUAGAUCUAAAUACCGGAGAGAUGAAAGCUCACUCAAAGAUAACAAAAUGCUGUCAUUCAAGUAGUUUUCACUUAAGUCAAGGAUCUCCAAAUUACUCAACGUGGAUGAUAGUUUUCCAAAGCCUAUAGAAAUAUUCUUUUAAAUAUAUACAAGUUAGUGACUUUUCUUCCAUAAAAUAAAAUAAAAUAUAAGUAAUUGCAAAUUAACGAUGGUGAGAGUAGUGGAAUAAUAAAAGAUGUAAUUAAGGAAAAACUAGAGGCACGACCUUCAUUUUCAAGAUUACCACUUAUGGCAUUCCCCGACAAAUAAAGACUCUUCAAUUCCUCAAAGGGAAGAAACAUAGAGGCAUUGAGAUACCAGGCAUUGAGAUUCCUAUUAUCCAUGUCGUAUUCCCAUUUUGUAGAAUUAAGGGAGAGUUGUAUGAGUCUCCUAGUGGUGGUGUUACACUCAACUCUUUCCCAUUUACAACAAUCUGAACCCUUCACCUCAACCCAACUAUUCAAUUGAUUACCAUCAUUGAAGAAAGGUUUGAGAUGCAAGAGAGCGAUUCUCUCAUGCUCCAAACAAGCAUCAGUAGUACACCAUCUGCAUCCUUCUAACACCAACAACAUUACUGCCAUCCUAAUAAACCUUAACCAUUUCCACUUCAUCAUCAUCAUCAUCUCUCUGUUUUCACUUCUCUCUCAGCUAUAUGUUACUUUUUUUUAACUUCUAUAUGUAUAUAAUCUAAAGAAGCCUAAGCUUCUUAUUUAUAUACAAGCAGAUGCAUCCCACUAACUCACUAUAAUGUAAAAAUAAUAUAUAAUUAAUUAAUUCCUCAAAAAUUGGAUCAAAAUCUAGGCUUCUUAUUUACGUAAAUUAUUUAUUGCAAAAACUCUUAGUGGAAAUUCGUUAGGAAGGGAUGAAGGGGCCACAAGAAUAUUGAUGUUAAUCUUGAAAAACGAAUUGCCAAAAAAAUAUGAAAAGUGAGAGGUGGACAUAAAAUCGUAUAGUUGGGAUUGCAAAAGUCUUCAUGUGGCUUUCUUGUGAGUUUCAUUUAUACCCUUCUUACACUUAUACAAACUUAGUCUUGACUUGGCUUUAUUAAUGGAAAAUUUAGAUCUUCAUUUUUGGUUUUAUUCAUAGAAAUUUUACUUCUUUGAUUUUGGUUUUAUUAAUGGAAAUUUUAAGUCUUCAGUUUGCUUUUAUUCUUGCACAUUUUAGGUUUUGAUUUUGAAAAUUUAGUUUUUUCAUCUCUAUUAUUAUAAAAUUUCUUAAUUUAAUUAAUAUCAUGAGUUAAUUUAAUACUUUAAAAAAUAAAAUAUUACAUUCACUAUUUUUUUAAAAAUAAAAGUAACUAUAAAAUUUUAUUAUUUAUAUAAUAUUUUAAAAAAAACUAUUUAUUUCUACUAGACCACUACUUUAAAACUAUCCAUUAUCAUAUUGUAAUAGGCCCAAUUUGCCCGGGCCCGGUAAAUAAAUAAAACCAAUAAAAUCAAAUAAAAAAUAGUCCCAAAACAGUCCAUUUACAAUGACCCAAUACCAACCCAAUGGCCUAAAUCUCUACCCAAGCCCGAAUCUAAACCUAAACAGGCCCAAACCCCACUAAACCUAAUGGCCCAAUACCCAGCUUGGCUGAGACAAACCCUAGCCUUCAGCAGCUUUCUGCUCUUGCGCUGCAGCCAAGCCGCUCCUCACGUACGAGCCUCAUUCAUGCGCCGCACCGAGCAACGCCAUCGCCAGGGACCACGCCUGUACUGUGCCACGUGAGCCUCCGUACAUGCGCGCCCGUUCACCUCUGUACCAGUACCUGCAAAUACACACAAGAAGCAGCGAAGCAACAAAAAAAAAAAGAAAAUAGCAGUAGAAAAAUAGGGGAUUUUCAGUUUUUAUUUGAUUUUUCUGGCUAUAAAAGCCAAACACGCAGAUUGUAUCAUAGGGGGAACUCACACAUAUUGCAAAAAAAAAGGGGCAGAAAAUCAAUACAAAAAAAAAAAGAAAAGGUUUUCUCUUCCUUCAGGUCUCUUUUCUUCUCCAAUUGUUUCUUUUCUUUUUCGUUUGUUAUUAGCCUCAUAUAAGUAUAGAUAUAUAUAGAGUAAAUAAUAACAAAAAGGGGGGGUUAAAACGUACCUGGUGAUGCCUUUGAAUCCACGCGAAGAAGCCAAAAAGCCUUGAAUGGUGAGGCUCCGACCACCAUUCGCAGUGGAAUCAAGGCGGAGGGGCGGACUGACGGCACUGAAGGGUGAAACCCUAGCAGAGGAAACAAUAAGCAAUUUUUUUUAAAAACGAGUCUGCUAAUGUUUUUUUAGGGUAAAUUUUGUUUAAAUAAUGAUACAAUACGGAGCCGUUUUGGGCUAGGGUUCCUAGCGCCCAAACGACAUCGUUUAGAGGCCUUACCCAAUGACCCGAUCCAGAUGGCGGCUAGAUCCGCGUGUUUGGUAGGAGGAGGGGAAAUUUCGCGAAGAGUCCCUCUUGUUUUGUGCCGUUUCGGUUUGAUUUUCUUCAUUGUUUUUAAUUUGAAUCGCGUAUUUUAUUUUGUUUUCAAUUUGAUCCAUAGUUAAACGGCACCGUUUUCACUAAUCGGAUUUGAGCAUCCGAACAUUUGUGUUUAUUUUCUGUUUUAGUCCUCUCUGUUAUUUUUUAUUAUGAUUUUUACCCUCCUAUUUUAUUUUCACCCUAAUUUAGUCCCGAAACUGUUAGAUUUCACUUUAUUUAUGCAAUGUAUAUAUUUAUUUAUUUUAAACUUUAUAUUAUUUAUUUUAAAUCGUUCUAUUACUAUUUAUUUUAAGCCUUUUUUACAUAUUAUAUGUUUUAAAUUAUGUUAAUCAAUUAUUCAUUUUAAAUAUAUAUUAUUUAUGUUAAACUACAAAUGUAUAUUAUUUAUUUGGAAUUGUUCUUAUGCACAUCAUGCAUUAUCAUUUUAAAAAAAAUAAUAAUAAUAGAAUUUGUUUGCAUAUUGUUCAUUUAGGAUUCCUUCUCACACAUUACUUAUUUUAAACGUUUUACAUAUUAUUUUAAAUUGUUUUAUAUGUUUUUUUUAAAUGCUUUGAAGAUUAUUCAUUUUAACUUGUUUUACACAUUAUUUUAUUAUGUAUGGAAUUGCUUUAAUAUAUAUAUACGUGAAUAAAACGUAUUGUAACUGGUAAUUUCUAAAAUUUUAUUCUACGUUUUAAAAUUUUUAUCAUUUCGAUUAUGUUGAUUGGUUUACUUGGGAUUAAAUUAUUAUUGCAUUGAUUAUUCUUUUUUUUUUUGAUUUUUUUGUUAGAUUGAUUAUUAGUUUAUUUGAUUAUCAAUGUUGAUGUAUUAUAUGUUUGGUUGCUCCAAAUUGUAAAUUUAGCUUGCUAUUCACCAUUUGAUUAGUAUAUUGAUAUUUUAUUAUAUUGUUUGUAAAAAUUGCAUUUCAUUAAAGCAUUACAAUUGUUUUAUUUCAAAAUUCUCAAAAAGCUUGGUAUUUAAAAAUUCUCGAGAGGAUUGUGCCCUAACUUACUGGGCUUCAAUCCUCCCUUUUUGAUUCUAAAUAACCGAAUACCUUUUUUAAUUUGAACAUAGAAGUUUCAAAAUAAAAGCUCAUUCUCGGGAAUUUGACACGUUGUGUCCUAACGCAUUGAAUAUGACUAUUAUUUUCUCGAGAUGAGGAUUUUAAGGCAAUGUUCGAUAUUUAGGAAUUUUGUGAAAUCGAACCCUAACUUACUAGGUCUUGAUUUUCUCAUUUGACCCAGAUAAUCGGAUAUCCUCCUCAAAAUGCAUAGGUUUUAAAAGACGAGAGAUAAACUUAACUUGGAGGACUUAAAAUGUUGCACUCUAACUUACUAAGUGUGACGAUUUAUUUCUUUGAAAUAAGUGAGUCUCGUCGUCCAAUUCAUUUUAUUCAAAAUAAAAGGAUCAAAUUUUAAAAUCUUUUCAAAAUUUUGACAUUAAGACAUUAAACAUUCCAAUCGGUACCAAUUUUGGGCGUCACGAGGGUGCUAACCCUUCCUCGUGCGUAACCGACUCCCGAACCCGUUUUCUCAAAAAUUCGCAGACCUAAAAUUAUUUUCAAGGUGAUCCGCACACCACAAUAAAAGAUCGGUGGCGACUCCAUUUCCAUUUUCAAAAUUGAUCCCCAUUUUUCAAAUUACAAAAAAAUGGCUUCGACAGCUUGGCGACUCCACUGGGAACGAUUUAGAGAGUCAAGCCAUAAAAUUGAUUGUUUUUGUCUUAUUGUCGAAAAUUAAAAUUUGAUUUGAAAAAUUACGCUCUUUUCUUUGCACUUGUUUGCAUGAUUAUUGUAAAUUAAGUUGCAUAUUUUGGCAUCAUUUUGCAUAAGACUGUUUAGUCUUGUCCUUUUAAGUGGGAGUGAGAAACUAGUCCUUCGUGAGGUUUUCACCUUCGUGCAGGAUAGUGGAUCACUUCCGGGAUACAUCCGUACCUAUGUCUUCGUGAGAUUUUCAUCUCCGUGCAGCCAUAGGGAAAUGUAUUCCCCUGAACCGAACUCGGUCUGUAUGAGCCUAUAAUGGGUGAAGAUCGAGGAAUCUACUGGUUCGGGUACCUUGACUUUAGAAACAACCCUCAUAUAGUGGACUUAGGAACCCAUCCUAGGUAGAGCCACUCCGAACCCCUAGUGGUCACCCGACUAGGCACUUUUGUUUUCCUUGUUUGCUUCUGUUUCGCACUAACCUAUCUUGUUUUGUUUUGAUUAUGAUUGCAUUUCAUUUGCAUCUUAGGAAGGAGACAUUGAUUCAAGUUCGAUUACUAAAUUAAAAAGCUUGUCAUGGAAUACGAAUUCCUUGAUAAAGUGGAAAACAAUACGACUUUCCGAAUAUAUUCUGAGAAACAUAAGAAGGGCGAUCGAAGAGUUCGCAACCUCGCUUCGUGGCCUAAGGAUUCAAGGCGAUUGUCUGAGAGCCUUCGACGUUCCACCCCCUUUAAAAGCUGACGAGCCUUAAGAAGAUGGAUAGAUGAUGGAUCGUGACCAAGAUCAAGAAAAGGAGCUAGUAAUGGCAUCUAUUGGUAAGAUUACCUCAAACGUGCGGAUGAAGAAAAAGAUCGAUGUUGGUUCUUGGAAUAUGAGGGCGAGGUCGUACAUGUAUCCGUUUUAUGUAAGGGAAUUUGCUUUCUAGAAAAGUUUUCUAAAUGUAAUUGAAUCAGAAUCAACGUCUCUUUAGGCAUUCAUUUCAUGUAUUUGCAUUACAUUGCAUUACAUGCAUUAAAAUCCAUUGAAAAAGUCUAAACGAGUAAAUUUAUUUCAGCUAACCUGGAAAACCAACCGACCAAACACCCUUACGAUAUCCAAGAAAAGACUAGAGAAAUGGAAUGAAGGUUGGAAAAAUUAGAGCGGAUGCAGAUUCAGAUGCGGGAGAGAUUGACUGAAUUUCAACAGGAGAUGAGAGAUCAGAUGCUAGAAUUACAGAGAACCUUGAUGAACCAGUUCAACUGACUACUAGCUGGAGAGUUAGAAAAAAAGAAGGACCCGGUGGUCCACUUUGGGGUUGAUAAUAAGGAUCUUGCCCAUUCCCUAGAUUAUACUCCGACAAGUGUCCAAGUCCAGCCGGAUGGGCGUCCACAUGGGGCACUCUUUACUAUCAGAUCACAACAGUAUCAAACUGGUACAGCAACACCGGUGGGUUGCUUGACAAACCCAAGGUCCAAUGCGAGGAACAAUUUUCCUGUUGCUCUCGAUGGCCCGGCUGAAACAAAGCAGGCAAGGGUGGAGUACCUAGGUACUACAAAGGCCCUAAGGAAGAAGGGGAAUAAAUGGGAUAAUGUAGGUAGGUAUAACAAGGGCCACUCAAAACCAAUCACUGCGGGCCAACAAAAGAUGGCAACCACCAGCCAUCAGAGCCCUUUAAAGCAAGACCCUUAUGUGAAACAAGGCACUGAGAACCUCCAGUUCACGCCAAUUUCGGUGUCGUAUAAGGAGCUGUAUCAAAGCUUAUUCAAUAUGCACAUUGUUGCCCCUCUCUACACGAAACCUCCACAGCCUCCGUACCCUAGAUGGCAUGACGCAAAUGCACGAUGUGAAUAUCAUGCAGGAAAUAUGGGGCAUUCCAUAGAAAACUGCAUUGCCUUUAAAAAAACUGAUUGAAAGGCUUAUCAGUAUGGGCGUCAUUAAAUUUGAUGAUUCCUCUAGUGUAUAAAAUACGCCGCCUAAUCAUAUUAAUGACGAGGCGAAUGAGGUGUACGAAGUAGUGUUGGGAAAUGUUCACAUCAACGACGUGUCUGAAGACACAAAUGGAAAGGGAUCUUGUUAGAUGUCCGCCCUUAUAAAUUCUGGAGUGUUCUAAAUAAUUAGACUGCGGAAGAAAUCCAUAUAGUCUCUAGAGCUUUUUAAGGUAAUGUUCAGAACAUUUUUGUUGGUUUUAGCCUAGAAAUGAUAGAAAUUCCUUUGUGAAAUAGGCUUAUGUCUGAACGUUGUUAUUUUAAUGAAAUACAUCUUUGCAAUUACUUCUGAGCCAAUAUUUUCAUUCUUUGCGAAUAAGUCCAUAUUCUUUCACUCUUUUGGAUUUUCUUCCAAACCAUCAUUCAUUCAUUCAUAAUUAUGUGAUAUAAAUAAUUAUUCAUAAAUUUAUACAUUCUUUUGUAUAUUCUUCGGUGCUUAUUAUGGGUCCCCAGAUAUCAAUUACUUGAAUGACACUGCUAAAGACUCAGAUUUUCCUUUUGAGCAAGGCAUGUGUUCAGAGGGAUCUCAGGACUUUGGGAAUGACAUAGAUCUAGCUUAUCUCAGACUUGUUGAGGAUGAUAGAACAAGAGAACCGACAGAUCCUACCUCACAAGGAAUCAUUAGGAAUUGUGGGCUUAGUGAAGAUUAGAAUUGACCUGACCUCAAAGAUGAAACAAGACCUUGUUCAGAGAUGUCUUUGUAGGAUCAUGCCAGGAUAUGCCGGGUUAAGCGCAACAACACAAUGACAAAAUUUGCAGUGUGAAUGACGUAAUGGAAAUUCUUUGCCGGGGCAAUGCACUUCUUGUUAACUCAGUAUAGCUUUGCCCAUUUGAAUUCGAGUUUCUAUUUCUUCAAGUUUUGUUGGAUUUUAUCUUGAUUGAAGAGGAGGAUCCAAAAUUUUCUAUCGUAGUUUCGCCCCAGAAGGCUCUAUGAAAGAAACCUAAUACCAAAGAGGGUUUUUCGCAUAUAGGAUGAAAGUGGAAGAUCUUAUCGAAAGGGAUAUCAUAGGCUUGCCCAAUCCUAAGGGUUUAGAUUCAAAAAAAAAAUCAAAAUAAAAAAAAGAAAAAUCAAAGUCAAAAGUAAAAAAAAAAAGAAAUCAAUCAAAGUCAAAACAAAUAUGAAAAGAGAAAAAGAAAGAAAAGGAGAGGCCAAGGCGAAAACCCGCAAAGGGAACUUUGUGACCAAAGGUGGUUUUGAGUUGAAAACCCGAAAAAGGUGACUCAAAUUUUGAGUAAAUUGAGGCAUGGACAUCACAAUUAUCGAAGAUUUCUAAUGGGCAUUGCUUCACUAUUGAGAUCAUUAAUUACUUCAUCAAAUGGAUAGAGGCUACUGCAUACGUUAAUGUCAUCAUAUGCCGAUAUAGAAUUCCAGAUUGGAUGGUAUUGGAAAUUGCAUUGAACUUGAAUGACAGCACGACAGCUGAAGGCUGCAAUCAGUUCAAAAUCAGGCACCACGGUUUGCCACUGUAUUGCAAGAUGAUGAAGUUAAAAAAAAGAAUGAAAAAUGAAAAUGAAAAAUGAAAAAUGGAGAGGCUAAGGGAAAACCCGCAAAGGGCACCUUAGGCCAAGGGGAUUUGAGUUGAAAACCCGAAAAGGGCGGCUCAAAUAUUUGUUCAGAAUGGGGCAUGAGGCGAUCAGAGCGAUUUGAAUUUUGAUAAUAUUGGGGCAUGUGGUGAUCUUGCUAUGCCUGAAUCAACAGGAGAGGAUAGGCGACAUCUUGGGGCAUCGACAAAGCACUGUAGAUCCCCUAAACACAUGUCCAACUCAAAAUAGUCUUCAGAGAGUCUGUACAGAGAAGUUCAAGCUGCGAUAUCUAGGGCACCCAAUUCUCAUAUUAUUUGUUGUUCUUGGAAUACUUUUUUCUUUUCCAAGAUAUACAUUCCCAAUUGUCAUCCUUCUUUACUAUUUUCGAUAAUUUGUUCUUUCGAGCUAUGCUCAGAACCAACUUUAUUCUUAUCCAUUGUUAUAACCCUUUUUGUAAACAUGUUGCAUUGGAAUAAUAAUUAAUGGACUAAUAAAACUUUCACAAGGGAAGUUUUGCAUAUUACUUUGAAAAGUUUCUAAGAAAUAUAGGAACCUGAAACAGGACUAUUGUUUAGAACGCACCAGGUAAAGGUUGGAAAUUUGAGAGGGAAGAGUCUAAAUUUGGGCUUUCUCUUUGGAUUUCAUUGUUAAAUGCAUUGAUUGACAGGAUGCCAUGAUUGGUGACAAAGCUUAAGUAUACAAGCAAGCAAUUAUCACCAGGUAAGAGGAGGAGGUUACCUCGGAGAAGAGAGCCUUCAUCUGCGCAUAAGUCUUUGGUACGACACCUUGGGAAUGGUGUAAGGAACUAGAACGACUCGGAUCCUGUAUCCUUGAAUUAUGAUAAGGAAGGAUUGAGGAAAGGCCAUAUAUUUCUACGCUUGGAUUACAGUGGGAGAAUGAAGGUACAAAAUUUGUGUCCCAGUGGUUUACAGUGGGGGCAAUCUGACUAAGUGAUUCUUCAGAAAAGCCAAUCGAGCAAGAAGGUGUUGUAACAACGUCAGCCUAAAAAAAACUCAGAGUAAUGACAACCUAAGCGGGAUCGUUCUCGAAAAAAAUAAAAUUCCGCAUUCAUGCAAACGCCAUUCACACAUGUCUAGUUAGGAGCAUUUGAUUCAUUCUGAUCAUACCAUCCUAAUCAUUAGGCAUAAUUAGGUUCAUUAUACAGGUCAUGUUCCCCAGAGAACAGAUCAGUGAAUAUUGCGGAUCUUAUCUUCCCCAGGAGUAAGGAAAUAGAUCUAAGCACGAAUCUUAUCUUCCCCAGGAGUAGGGAAGCAGAUCUAAGCGGCGAAUCUUAUCGUCCCCAGGAGUAGGGAAACAAAUUUAAGCCACAAGUCUUAUGUCCCUGACCAACAGCGGAGUAGUUUGGAAAUUACAAGUCUUAUCUCCCUAAGCAGUAGUGGAGCAGACCGAAGAAGCAAAUUUUAUCUCCCUGAGGUUACAGUGGAGCAGAUCGAAAUCGAUAAUCCUAUCUCCCUGAAGUUGUAGUGGAGCGGAUUAAACAACAGAUCUUAUCUCCCUAAGCAGUAGUGGAGCAGAUCGCAUCAAGUUUUAUCUCCCUAAGUAGUAGUGGAGCAGAUGAAAAAAAAACCAAUCCUAUCUCCCUAAAAUUACAGUGGAGCGGAUUAAAACAAUAGAUCUUAUCCCCUUAAGCAGUAGUGGAGCAGAUCGCAUCGGGUCUUAUCUCCCUGAAGUUGCAGCGGAGCAGACUGAGCGAACAAGUCUUAUCUCCCUAAGCAGUAGUGAGCAGACGAAAAAACCAAUCAUAUCUUCCUGAAAUUGCAGUGGAGCGGAUUAAAACAAUAGAUCUUAUCUCCCUAAGCAAUAGUGGAGUAGAUCGCAUCAGGUCUUAUCUCCCUGAAGUUGCAGCGGAGCAGACUGAGAAAACAAGUCUUAUCUCCCUAAGCAGUAGUGGAGCAGACGGAAAAAAAACCAAUCCUAUCUCCCUGAGAUUGCAAUGGAACGGAUUAAAACCACAGAUCUUAUCUCCCUAAGCAAUAGUGGAGCAGAUCGCAACAAGUCUUUUCCCCCUGAAAUCACAGUGGGGCAGACUGAAGAAGCAAAUCUUAUCUCCCUGAGGUUGUAGUGGAGUAGAUUGAAUUCGAUAAUCCUACCUCCCUGAAGUUGUAGUGGAGCGGAUUAAAGUAAUGGAUCUUAUCUUUCUGAAGUUACAGUAGAGUAGAUCGCAUCAGAUUGAAGUCAGAAAUCUUAUCUCCCUGAGAUUACAGCGGAGUAGAUUGAAACUAGUAAUCCUAUCUCCCUUAGUUUACAGUGGAACGGAUUAAAAUAAAGGAUCUUAUCUCUCUGAAGUUACAGUAGAGUAGAUCGCAUCAGGAAUUAUCUCCAUGAGAUCACGGUGGAAUAGACCGAAGAAUUUUAGAUCUUACUUCCUAGAUAAUACAGUGGAACAGAUUAAAGCCACAGCAGCGAAUCUUGCUUCCCUGACAUCACAGUUAUGAGUUACAAAUCUGAUCUCCCCGACGUUGGGGUGGAGUGGAUCAAGGCACCGAUUCCUAUACCUCUAAAGAUGCAGUAGGAUGGAAUGAGGUAACUCGAAGAAGAAGAACACUAGGGUUCAGCACGACCGGGCAAAAUUGGUCCUCUUUAGUCUUUGCUCUAUUCUCGUUACACGACAAUGAGCAAAGAGGGGCAGCUGUAAUAGGCCCAAUUUGCCCGGGCCCGAUAAAUAAAUAAAACCAAUAAAAUCAAAUAAAAAAUAGUCCCAAAACAGUCCAUUUACAAUGACCCAAUACCAACCCAAUAGCCUAAACCUCUACCCAAGCCCGAAUCUAAACCUAAACAGGCCCAAAACCCACUAAACCUAAUGGCCCAAUACCCAGCCUGGCUGAGACAAACCUUAGCCUUCAGCAGCUUUCAGCUCUUGCGCUGCAGCCAAGCCGCUCCUCACGUACGAGCCUCCAUUCAUGCGCCGCGCCGAGCAACGCCAUCGCCAGGGACCACGCCUGUACUGUGCCAUGCGAGCCUCCGUACAUGCGCGCCCGUUCACCUCUGUACCAGUACCUGCAAAUACACACAAGAAGCAGCGAAGCAACAAAAAAAAAGAAAAUAGCAGUAGAAAAUAGGGGAUUUUCAGUUUUUAUUUGAUUUUUCUGGCUAUAAAAGCCAAACACGCAGAUUGUAUCAAAGGGGGGAACUUACGCAUAUUGCAAAAAAUCAAUAUAAAAAAAAAGGUUUUCUCUUCCUUCUGGUCUCUUUUCUUCUCCAAUUGUUUCUUUUCUUUUUCGUUUGUUAUUAGCCUUAUAUAAGCAUAGAUAUAUAUAGAGUAAAUAAUAACAAAAAGGGGGGGUUAAAACGUACCUGGUGAUGCCUUUGAAUCCACGCGAAGAAGCCAAAAAGCCUUGAAUGGUGAGGCUCCGACCACUAUUCGCAGUGGAAUCAAGGCGGAGGGGCGGACUGACGGCACUGAAGACUAGGGUGAAACCCUAGCAGAGGAAACAAUAAGCAAUUUUUUUUAAAAACGAGUCUGCUAAUGUUUUUUUAGGGUAAAUUUUGUUUAAAUAAUGAUACAAUACGGAGCCGUUUUGGGCUAGGGUUCCUAGCGCCCAAACGACAUCGUUUAGAGGCCUUACCCAAUGACCCGAUCCAGAUGGCGGCUAGAUCCGCGUGUUUGGUAGGAGGAGGGGAAAUUUCGCGAAGAGUCCCUCUUGUUUUGUGCCGUUUCGGUUUGAUUUUCUUCAUUGUUUUUAAUUUGAAUCGCGUAUUUUAUUUUGUUUUCAAUUUGAUCCAUAGUUAAACGGCACCGUUUUCACUAAUCGGAUUUGAGCAUCCGAACAUUUGUGUUUAUUUUCUGUUUUAGUCCUCUCUGUUAUUUUUUAUUAUGAUUUUUACCCUCCUAUUUUAUUUUCACCCUAAUUUAGUCCCGAAACUGUUAGAUUUCACUUUAUUUAUGCAAUGUAUAUAUUUAUUUAUUUUAAACUUUAUAUUAUUUAUUUUAAAUCGUUCUAUUACUAUUUAUUUUAAGCCUUUUUUACAUAUUAUAUGUUUUAAAUUAUGUUAAUCAAUUAUUCAUUUUAAAUAUAUAUUAUUUAUGUUAAACUACAAAUGUAUAUUAUUUAUUUGGAAUUGUUCUUAUGCACAUCAUGCAUUAUCAUUUUUAAAAAAAUAAUAAUAAUAGAAUUUGUUUGCAUAUUGUUCAUUUAGGAUUCCUUCUCACACAUUACUUAUUUUAAACGUUUUACAUAUUAUUUUAAAUUGUUUUAUAUGUUUUUUUUUAAAUGCUUUGAAGAUUAUUCAUUUUAACUUGUUUUACACAUUAUUUUAAUAUGUAUGGAAUUGCUUUAAUAUAUAUAUACGUGAAUAAAACGUAUUGUAACUGGUAAUUUCUAAAAUUUUAUUCUACGUUUUAAAAUUUUUAUCAUUUCGAUUAUGUUGAUUGGUUUACUUGGGAUUAAAUUAUUAUUGCAUUGAUUAUUCUUUUUUUUUGAUUUUUUUGUUAGAUUGAUUAUUAGUUUAUUUGAUUAUCAAUGUUGAUGUAUUAUAUGUUUGGUUGCUCCAAAUUGUAAAUUUAGCUUGCUAUUCACCAUUUGAUUAGUAUAUUGAUAUUUUAUUAUAUUGUUUGUAAAAAUUGCAUUUCAUUAAAGCAUUACAAUUGUUUUAUUUCAAAAUUCUCAAAAAGCUUGGUAUUUAAAAAUUCUCGAGAGGAUUGUGCCCUAACUUACUGGGCUUCAAUCCUCCCUUUUUGAUUCUAAAUAACCGAAUACCUUUUUUUAAUUUGAACAUAGAAGUUUCAAAAUAAAAGCUCAUUCUCGGGAAUUUGACACGUUGUGUCCUAACGCAUUGAAUAUGACUAUUAUUUUCUCGAGAUGAGGAUUUUAAGGCAAUGUUCGAUAUUUAGGAAUUUUGUGAAAUCGAACCCUAACUUACUGGGUUUUGAUUUUCUCAUUUGACCCAGAUAAUCGGACAUCCUCCUCAAAAUGCAUAGGUUUUAAAAGACGAGAGAUAAACUUAACUUGGAGGACUUAAAAUGUUGCACUCUAACUUACUAAGUGUGACGAUUUAUUUCUUUGAAAUAAGUGAGUCUCGUCGUCCAAUUCAUUUUAUUCAAAAUAAAAGGAUCAAAUUUUAAAAUCUUUUCAAAAUUUUGACAUUAAGACAUUAAACAUUCCAAUCGGUACCAAUUUUGGGCGUCACGAGGGUGCUAACCCUUCCUCGUGCGUAACCAACUCCCGAACCCGUUUUCUCAAAAAUUCGCAGACCUAAAAUUAUUUUCAAGGUGAUCCGCACACCACAAUAAAAGAUCGGUGGCGACUCCAUUUCCAUUUUCAAAAUUGAUCCCCAUUUUUCAAAUUACAAAAAAAUGGCUUCGACACAUAUAACUUCUCUUUAAUAAUUCACUAUUCUUUGAACAUUCAUUAGUUUUUGAAACAUAAAAUUUAUAAAUAAUUAUUUUUAGGGUAAACUACACCCAUGGUCACUUUUGUUUACCUUAGGUUACAUUUCAGUCACUUAUGUUUGAAAUGUUACGUUUUAGUCACUUAAGUUAUUGUGUUGUAACAUUUUAGUCACUGAGCCGUUAGUUGUCGUUAAUGGCUGACGUGGCACGUUAAAUUAUCAUUUCAAACAAAAACUUUAGGUUAAAUUAUACAAUUGGUUUCCAUAAUUUUUCGUUUUGAGCAAUUUAAUUCUUUUAUGCUCUUUAACUUUCUUUCUUUUUUUUUUUCUUUAUUUUCCAUUCUCUUCUGCUUCUCCCUGUUUUCCUACAUUCUUUAUUUCUUUUAACAUAUCAGGAAGUCGAAUUGGUAGUGAAGAAAGAAGCAUGGUAUGGGUUUAUGGGUUUUGGUUAUGGGCAAAUGAUGACAGUCGACUUCCUACUUCUUUUUUCACUGUCAAUUCGACUUCCUAAUAUGUUAAAAGAAAUGGGAAAAGUAUGAAAACAGAGAGAGAAACAAAAGAGAAUGGAAAAAAAGAGGAAAGUUUAAAGAACAUAAAAGAAAAAAAUUAAAUUACUUAAAACGAAAAAAAUAUGGGGAUCAAUUGUAUAAUUUAACCUAAAAUUUUGUUUGAAAUGAUGAUUUAACGUGCCACGUCAGCUUACCGUUACACCAUUAACGACGAUUAAUCGCUCAGUGACUAAAAUUUUACAACAUGAUAACAUAAAUGACUAAAACGUAACAUUUUAAACAUAAGUGACUAAAACGUAACCUAAGGUAAAUAAAAGUGACCAUGGGUGUAGUUUACCCUUAUUUUUAAUAUGACUUGAUUUUUACUUGAAUCAUUUUUGUAAUUAGUUAAUUAAAUUGGGUUAUUUUAAAAAAAAUCCUCUUAACUAAUAGCCAAAAAAAAGCCAUCAUGUAGAAAAUUCUGGUUUGUUGGAAAAAUAAAGACUUGACCUAUUACUCUAGAUUUUGAAAUGUUCAACUUGAUAUUGACAUAUGAUAAUAUGUACAAAUUUCUCAUUCUUUUAAAUUUUAGUGAUAUUACAUGUAUGAUAAUAUGUUUGCCACACCAAAUUUGAAAAUAGUAGAACUUAAUGAAUUUAACAGAUAUCUAAAAUAUCAAAUUAAAGUCUAGGAAUUAAAUCUACAACAUCAGUAAAGUACAAUAACUAUGGUAGAAUUAAACCUUUAUAUAAUAAUUUCCUUCUAUGAACCACAAUUCAAGUGCACCCGACAAGCUAAUUAAUAAAAAUUUAGUGGUAGAAUAUGUAUAUUCUUGUGGGUGGAAAUUUAGUGGAGAUGCCCAUCAUCUUUCCUAAUUAAUAAAAAUGAAGACUUAGAAAAUGUGCAAUCAUAAUCCUAGUUGUCGUUAUGGCCCCAAGAAUAGGUAUAUUAAUUUGUCUCUCUUCAGGAUCAAAGAUAAAUAAUAAAUUUUAUAAAGUUAAAACCAUAAUUCUAUAAUUAUAUUAAUAUAUAAUUUCAUAAAAUUUUAAAAAAUGUAUCUUUCAACUUUUUUAAGUAAAUUGAUAAUUCGUUAACUCAUAAUAUAUAUUUUUUUCAAAAUAUUUAUGAGAACGAGUUCGUAUUCUAUUGUGUGGAAAAUUUUAGUACAGAUAUUGGUGAAGCCAAAUCCAACUUGUUUGACCAAGAAAGUCUCUGUCGUGUGGAAAAUUUUAGUUUUGUGGAAAAUGGACAUUACCAUUUCCUUGAAUGACCAUCAAUUUCUCCAUUGAGAUAUAGUAAGAGGGAGUGAAAUAUAUAUAAGGUAAUAUUUAAUGUAUUCACACCAAAUUUCAUUAAUGAGUAAAACAAAUAAUGAAUAAUAAUGAAAAUUGGAGGAAAUUGUUAAGAAAAUAUCAUUACAUAUAUCAACACUCACAUAAUUCAUUGUAUUAACUUUCAAAUGUUGACUAUUGACUUCUACAUCAACCUUGAGCUUAUAUAGGCCCCCCUCACGGAAAUAAUCUCACAAUUAAUGCCUAGAGGUGCUUAUGGGCCGGGCCGGGCCCAGAAAAAAUUUUGGCCCGGGCCCGGCUCGGCCCGAAAUAUGGGCCUGAACUUUUGCCCAAGCCCGGCCCGGUAAAAAAUUCAUAAGCCCGAGCCCAGCCCUUUUUUUAAAAAAAUACCAAAAAUUUAUUUUAAAAUUAAAAAAAUUUAAAAAAAAGUAUUUUAAAAAUAUUUUAAAUAAAUACCAAAAAUUCACCCUGCAUCUAAAAGGAGGUCCAGCACUCGAAUCCCAUUCCCCAUAACUAAAAACUAUGUCACUGUGACUUGGUCAUAUCUCCGCUCAAAGUCGGACAUGGGUAGUUAAAGAAAAAUGAAGAGUCGAUGCAUGAUAGACUAAGGACUAGCUCAAAAGUGCUUUUAGAAAAAAUUGCUCUUGAAAAGAGGUGUGGAAAAGUGUGCUUGUUAGUUUUUAGUGUUGUUCAUUGCUGCCAAAAAUCGCAAUUGAAAGUUAAAAUGUUCUUUUUAGACAUGAUAGUAGAAAGUAAAAAAUUAGUCAAGUCAUAUGAUUUUUAAAUAAUUUAAUAUAAUGAUACAUGAAAUAUAACUUUUAAAUACCUUUUAAGUAAUUAAUAUAAAUUAGUUGUAAAAUUGAUAAUAUAUAAAAUAUUUUGAAAAAAAUAAAUAUAAUAAUAAAUAAGAUUUAAACAAUUUAAUAUAAUAAUAUAUAAAAUAUAAAUUAAUCUAAUUUUUAUAUACCUUUUAAAUAGUUAAUGAAAAUAAUAGUAUUUUGAUAAUUUUCCCUUUGAAAUGCAAAAGCCAAAAACAGUUUUUGACUACAAAAGCUAUGUGUUGUUCAUCACUUCUGCAGUGGAAAAACACUUCUCCAUGGUGUAAAAACACUUUUACCCAAAAAGGCUUUUUCACCACAGUAGAGAAUGCACCCUAAAAUUGUAAAUAGAAAAAGGAAGAACCAAACAUUGUUUCUACCCUGUUUUUGUCUCCUCUUUGAAAAUACUUUCCAAAAGUUUUAUCAUUUUUUUUUCUGUUUACGAUGCCUUAAAUGCAAAUUCCUUAUAGAAGUGCUUUCUUUUGAUCCACUUGCAUCAUUGUAAUAAGUUUGCAUUGCCUUCUUUCUAUGUUGAUUAUCGUUUAUUAAGUUUUCUGUUGGAUCUUAUAGUCAAAUUCCUUUACAUCAUGUAUGUUAAUUUGCUUAGCCCUGAUAAAUGUUAGAUAUAGGGUUAUCAGCUAAUUAGGAAAGACUGUAAUGAUAGUCACACCUUACAUCCAAAUUUUUACAUUGAGGUUCCUUAUUAUUUUUUCUUGUUUCACCAAUUGCAUCCUAUUUACAGUUCCUUAGCGUUAUCCACUGUGCUAGGGUGGUUCUUGUUCAUAUAUUAAUCACCAUGCGCCUUCAGCAAAUGCAAAGCCAGCCAGCAUCUUCUGAUUUGUCAUUGGAUACUACACUUUCAGCAAAUGUAAAGCCGCCAGAAUUUCAGCUGUUUUUAGAAGGUCAAGACACAACAAGAGCAACAUAUGUUGUAUUCUUGUCAAACAAGAUAAGUUUUCGCAUAUUAACGAUUCUUUUUCCAAGAUGAAUUAUUCUCCUGUUGCAUUUUUAUUUGGGUUCAAAUGUUCUGUGAAGUUAGCUUGCCAGUGCUUGUUUGUUCAUCAGCAUUUACAGCUCAUUUGUCAUUGGUCAGCAGAAUUUCCGCUGUUUUUAGAAGGUCAAGACACAACAAGAUCAGCAUAUGUUGUAUCUAACAUUUAUAUUCAACAACUGGAAACCAUGUCAUAAAUACAUAUGAGAAAUAUUUAAAAAUCCUUGGUUGAAUACUCGUGCACUAACAUUUUUUAAAAGUUAAUUUUGUGUUUCUUUUUUCAUCUCUUUUAUUAUAAAAUUUCCUGAUUUACUUGAUAUCACCACUUAAUUUAGCAUUAAAAAAAUGAAAUAUUUUUAUAAAAACUAUUUAUUUCUACUAAACCACUACUUUAAAACUAUCCAUUAUCAUACAACUUCUCUUUAAUAAUUCACUAUUCUUUCAACAUUCAUUAGUUUUUCAAACAUAAAAUUUAUAAAUAAUUAUUUUUACCUACAUUUUGAAUGAUGCAAUUUCUAGCUAUACACUAAAAUACUCCAUUUAUCAAUUUAAUUUAAUUCAAAGAAUUAUGAUAAUAAUUGAAAUUUCAAAAAAGAAAAACAACUAAAUAAUUGAAUAUUUAUAUACAAAAAUAAAACAAACAAGACAGACUUAAGCUUUCUUACCCCAAAGACAAGAUCUUUAUUCAAAAUGCAAAACUAGCAAAAUACUCCCUAAAAUUCAUCUAAACACAUCUUCUAAAGAUGUAAUACCCAAGAAGAUUGCCCACAGUUGAGUAACGGCAACUGCUGAUGCACUUCCCGACGAAAGAAAACCAAACUCCUCGCCAAUGUGGAUUUAUGUAAAGGAUAACAACAAUUGUUAACAACAUAACUACAUAAGAAGCCAAAAAGCUCACACAAAAAACAUAUGUGUCUAGAAAACUAUCUUCUCUUUCAUCAUCUGAUAUUGUUGAUGUUGAACCGGUUUUGGAGCAACUUAUAUGAAGCAUAGGUCCACAGAGAAAAGGGUUCCCCUCGUAACUGCUUUCAAUGAAAGUCCCAAAUUGGUUUUGUUCUGGAAUACUACCUGACAAGUUGUUGUGUGCAACACUGAAAACCCCCAGAGAGUUCAACUCUACCAGCUGGUUUGGGAUUUCACCACUCAAGUUGUUGUAAGAAAGAUCCAAACUCUCAAUCUGCUUAAGUUUUGAGAAUGAUGAGGGUAUAACUCCGACCAACUUAUUGUGUGACAAGUUCAAAGAAUGGAUUUCAUGCAAGUUCCCUAAUUCAAGUGGGAUUUGACCGGUUAACUCAUUGCAAGAUAAAUCAAUCCCAGACAUGUACUCAAGGAUGUCGCCUCCAUAUGAGUAGGAUCCACUCUUUGUGGUAAACUCUACCGAUUCUUUCAUGUAGCUAUAGGAAUGCAUCAUGUGCUCGAAAAGUAUACCCGUCUUUAAUAGUUUCAAUUCAUCCAGUUCUGAAAAUGUUGGCGACAUUAAAUCUGGUGUCAUGGUCUUAUCCUUAUUCAUUGGAAGAGUUAAAUUUCCCAAACAAGAAGGUAUAGGACCGGAAAACCUAUUUUGAGAAAGAUCUAUAAUGCUCAAGGAAUACAAGGUGCAUAACUGGACUGGAAUUCUUCCCUGUAAAUGAUUAGCUUUCAAGAGAAGGACACUCAAAGAAGAAAGUGUGUCGAUCCAUUUUGGAAUACCACCAGUAAAAUUGUUUCCUCUAAGAUCUAAUGUCACUAGUGAAGUGCUUUUAUUAAAAGCAAGUGACAAUGGACCACCCAGUCUAUUAUUGUGCAGGUGGACAUACUCUAGGUUUGGAGGAUUAAAACAAGAUGGUAUAGAGCCAGAUAAAUUAUUUUCAGAAAGAUCCAAAAAUUUGAAGUUAUUCAAGUUGCAAAAUUCCACUGGAAUAGAACCCUCGACACCAUUGUUAGACAAGUCUAAUCUCUCCAAAAGUGACAUAUUCCCUAUCCAUCUUGGAAGCUUUCCAUGCAAUCUGUUGUUACUGAGAUCAAUAUCUGUUAGUGAUGUUGGAAACUGAAAAGUAGAGACAUCAAAAUUUGUCAUCUCUCCAGAAAAAUUAUUUCCAUCCAAAUAUAAUUUUUGUAACCCAUUUGCAUUGAGAAUCACAGGAACUACAUUUCCAUUGAGGUUGUUGUUUGACAGUCUCAAAAGAAAUAGUGAGCUUUUCCUGACCAACUCUUGAGGUACUUUUCCAGCCAAUUGAUUGUUUGAUAGAUCUAACAUUGACAAAUUCUUCAUGGCGCUUAAACAAGGAGGGAUAUUGCCUUGAAAGGCAUUCUUGGAUAAGAAUAACUGCUCCAAAUGUGGAAAAGUUGAACAUAUAUUGGUUGGAAGCGGACCUUGUAUUUUGUUGUCAGACAUGUCGAUUGAAGAUACAUUUGAAUUAGGAGUCGACAGUAAUGUGAGAGGACCUGUAAAAGAAUUACCCUUCAAGAUGAGAUCUUCUAACUUUGUGUUGUUUUCUAACAACCAAAAUGGGACAGUUCCACUGAAUUUGUUCUGAGAAAGAUCCACAAAUCUCAAGUCAUUUUGGUAGUAAAGGAAGGUAGGAAGUUCAAGACUGAGUUGUUGAGAUGUUCUGCACUUGGACAAACUAAUGAAUUUCAAUUGGAAUUUCGGGACUAAGGUGUGGAAGGAAGGUUCCAUUUCCAACUUGUUUUCAUCAGCCAAGAGGACCUCAAGGUUUGGAAAGUUUGCAAGUGGUACGAAUGAAAUUGGAAUUUGAAAAUGAUUACUUGAAAGAGAAAUGGCUCUGAGUGAUGUAAGACUUGCUAAAGGAGUUAGAUUUCCGGAAAAUCGAUUGUUGGAGAUAUCUAACUCACGAAGAGAUGUCAAGUUACUGAAACAAUGAGGAAGCAUCCCCUCAAGUGCAUUCCAACUCACAUCCAACACUUCAAGGUUCCUUAGAUCACACCAUCCUGAAAAAUUUAUGAAAUCAUGGAAGAAUUUCUAAUUAAAUUUGGUUUUCUAAAACAGAAUAGGAGAAAUCAGAUAAAGAAAAGGUCGUAUAGAAAAUUUUACCGUGAUCAGGUAAGGAACCAAUAAGUGCACACCUAUAUAGAGACAAAGUUUGAAGAGAAGUGAAUACUCCAAUGCUUUGCAAAAUGUUGAUGUUGAGACGAGAAUAAUCGAGAUUUAUUUCCUCCAAGUUGCUUAAUUCUAAUCAAUGAAAAGAGGUAGUAGGUGUUAAUGAAACGUAAGUUGUUUUGGAAUAGAAGAAGUAUUAGAUGUUAAUCAAGAAAAGGUGUUUACCUGAUGAGAAAGCCUCUACUAAGUUUUCUAGCGGAAUGCUAUCGUCGGUGACAAUACUUUGGAGACGAAGAACUUUUAACUUUUUCAAUCCCUUGUUUUCUGUGAGCCAAAAUAUUUUGAUAAAAAUUGUGAAAACUUCAACAUGAUUGCACUAAUUGUUUUUCUUUUCUUUCUAGCAUUUUAAGAUAAAUAAUGUGUAAAAUAGAAUUUUCCUUUAUUGAGAUCAUUAUAUUACUUUAAAUUUAUCACCACUAAAUAGAAAAUUAUUAUUAAAUCAAAGUUUUAAAUUUAUUAUUACUUAAAUGUUGUUUAUGCUGGGUGAUUUUGAUGAGAAUAAUUUAUUAUAUAAAAAUAAAAGUAUAUUUCUUAAAGUAAAAUAAGAGAAAUAUUUUAAAUUUUUUUGAAAGUGUUUAUAUACAUAUUACACUUAAUCACUCUUUUGAAAAUUCUAAUUACUCUUUUAAAUUUUAUGUUAAUUUUAAAAAGUAUAUAUAAUUUCAACAGAAAUAUUACUUUAAUAUUAAAAUGAAGAGCUUUUGUGGGUAAAAAAAAUUAUAUGAGUUUAUUUAAUUACAAAAAUAAUUUAAGAAUUUAUUUAAAAAAUAUGUAGUAGUUUUAGGCUCGAUCCUAGGGGUUAUUUGAGAGUGCGGUCGCCCAGGGCUGGAAGGGGCCCAAUUUUUUUUUCAGAUUUUAAUAUGGGAAAAUAUUCAGACUAAAAUAAAUAAAUAAAUUGCCUAGAGCUUUCAAAUUUUCACCAUAAAUACUUCAUCUCUUAUGGCUAAAAAAUUUUCAGCUUUUAUUGUAUUACAUUUUAUAAUAUUUUUAAAAAGACUCGUUUAAAGACUUUUUUAAGUAUAUUAACCUAUUUUAAAAUUCCACAUUUUUAAAAUGUCUUAAUUUUCAAAUUAAAGUACAAACACACUAUAAUCCACAAGCCUUAAUUGCCAUGUCAACAUAAACCACCAUUUAGAAGAUUGUUUUCAUUUUUUAAAAAAUAAAAAAAAAUUAUUUAAAUGAUACCUUUGUGGACCACAAAGCCUCUCAAUUGAUUCCCACUCAUAUCUAGUUUCUGUAAGUUAGUAAAUGCAUCCAAAUCUGGGAAAGAAACAGAUAAGCUUCAUUAAAUCAUUCCAAAACAUGAUUAAUAUUUUUGUCUAUAGAGGCAUAAUUUGUCAAAAAAUAAUAAUUUUACCUUUCAUAUCUAUUAAUCCAUUCAAUUGAUUGAAACCUAUGCUCAAAGAUUUCAGAUUUGAAAGCUUGUUUAGAGUUGCAAAUACACUGUUAUUGAAGAGAUUUGCUUCUAAAUUAAGCUCUUCUAAAUGGGUUAACUCCAAUUUCUUACCUUCAUCUACAAAAGAUUUAACGUAAUUUCAUCAAUGAAAAAAAUGAUAUAAAUUUAAUUAUGUGUAAUAAAUUAUUUAACUGAACCCUAAAUUGUGGGUUAAUGGUUCAAGUGUUCGAAUUAUCAUUGUGUAAAAAAAACAAACUUAAUUAACGGACCAAAAUAUAAAUACAUACCUUUGAAGGAUUGAAAGUUUACCAUUUGAUUCCACCUUAAAUCCAACGUCUUCAAAAUUUUCAAAUUAUUCAAUCCUAUAUAUACUCAAGUUGAACAAAUAUUUUAAUAAAUUGGCUGAAGUGAAAAGGGUAAAAGUAAGGAAGUUGAAAAAUCCCCAAAAGUGAAAGUACUAAUUUGAAACAAAUAAUUAUAAAGGGUCCUACAUAAGUAAGGACUUUAUGCUUGAAAGCCUUCAAGGAAGGAAAAUGUGUGGUUUCCAUGGGAUCUAAUUAUAAUCCUUGUUUGCUGGAUUCCAACUUUUUUAUUUGGCCAACAAAAAAUAAAUAAAUAAUAUAAAAAAAUUGUGAUUACUAAGGCUUCAACCUUGAAGUUUAAAUAGAAUUAUUCAAUCCCAAAAAUUGACCAAAAAUUUCCCUCAAACAAAACUUAACUUUAAAGUAGAAACAAAACCAGAGAAAGGCAAUCUACCUUGAAUAUGAGGCCACUUUCCUUCUAAUAGGUUGUAAGCUAGAUUUAAAUAUUGGAGAGAUGAAAAUUGGCUCAAAGAUAAUAUAAAGCUAUCAUUCAGAUGAUUUUGACUUAAGUCAAGGAACUGCAGAUUUCUGAAUGUGGAUGAUAGCUUUUCAAAACCUGCAGAGUUAAUAAUAACAAGUAAUCGCAAAAUUAACAGUAAGUUGUGUUGAAAAUAUGUGUACAUAAUAGAGUAACUAAAGAUGAAAUGAAGGGCAAAUCAAAUAUAGAACCUUCAUUUUCAACACAACCGGCUAUGCCACUCCCUGUCAAAUAAAGCCUCUUUAAUUCCUUGAAGGGAAGAAACAAAGAGGCAUUCAGAUACCAAUAAUCCAAGUAUCCGGACCUCAUAGAAUCAAGAGAGAGUCCAAUGAGUCUCCCAGUGGUGGUGUUGCACUCAAUCCCUUUCCAUUUACAACAAUCUGAACCUUUAACCUCGUCCCAGCUGUCGAACUCAUUAUAGUGAUUGAAGAAAGGUUUGAGUUGCAAGAGAGCAACUCUCUCAUGCUCCACACAAGCAUCAAUAGUGCACCACCUGCAUCCUUCUAACAGUAGCAGCACACUCAUCACUGCCAUCCUCAUAAACCACAACCAUUUGGAGUCCAUCAUCUCUCUGUUUUUGCUUCUCUCUCAAUUGUAUGCUACUUCAAACUUCUAUUGCAUAAGCCUUCAUGAAACUUGUUAUUUAAAGACAAGGACCUAAGGCUGAAGGCAACCCACUAGUCCACGCUGAAAUAGUCCACUGAAUGUGACGAUAUAUAGGCCCUACAAAGUGUGGUUGUGGAAAUAAUCUAAACACCUAUCCUCCAAAUUAAUACUAUUCCUUGAGAAAUUAUUAAAGGUCAAUUUCUGGUUUUAGUCCCUACGCUAAAUUCAUUUUGAAGGUUUAGUUUUUAUAUAAUUUAAGAUCAAAUUUUUAUAAUUAAAUUAUCAUUUACGUCUGCUUUAAAAUUAUGAAAAAAAUAUUUUAAAAAUAUAACGAACUCCAGCUACAGCUUCAAAAUAUGAUGAAGAUGUUUUAGUAGAAUAAAUCGCAGAAUCCGCCAUCUUUGACUUUUGUUUUCUUAUUGUGAGAAUAUCUUAACAUUAUAACUUUUGAAUAUAUUUUGUUAUUUCAGUUAUUAAUUUAGAUCAUAUACAAAUUUCUUUCGUGAUAGUCUCAUUUAGAUUUGAAGUUUGUUGUUGGAUUUGAAGUUACAGGAAAAUAUGUUGAAAAUUUGGGUUUAAUAUUAAAUAAAAUGGGUUGGUAAAAUCUAUUAAUGUUAGUGGCGUUUUCCCACAAAUGCCACUAUAGAACAUGAUCUUUAGCUGCGCUUUUACUACAAACAUUGCUAAAAAACAUGAUUUUUUGUGGUACUUCUAGCUAUAAAUGCCACAACAUGCUUGACUCUUUUAUAGUGUUUUUCCAAAUGAACGCCGCAAAUUUUAGCGGCGCUAUCUAAAGCGACUUUUUACUGGCACUUAUCAAAGCGCCGCAAUCUGUUUUAGCGGCACUUAUAAGCACCGCCAUAGGGCCAAAAAAACACCGCUAAAAACCUAUUUUGCUGUAGUGAUUUACGCAUUUAUAAGCCUACAAAAUAAUCACGGAUUCAAUUUUAGAGUCCGUUAUCAGCCCCUAAUCGGGACAUCAAAUUGACCAAAAAGGGCCCACAUGACCUACCUGUUCAACUUGCGUAAUUGCACACGCCUAAGUGCUCCACACGGCCUGGCACACGGCCAACUACACAUCAAUGUGGUGCACAUGAACUUGUGACGCAGAGUAGCUUUGAAAAUUGUAACCUCCCAAACCCGGCCUAGAUGUUAUGACUAGAUUGAGAAGGCUACAAUAGCCACCGAAAUGGCUAAGCUAACUUACGUUACUUUUGAAGACCUUAAAUAAACUCAUUUUAGAGAAAACCGUAGUUGUACUUUGAGUUAGCUUAAAAGCAUUCAUUCAUUAGGUCGUGUAUACUUAGGAUUCAUUUUAUUGUUGAUAGUGUUGUUUUACAAAAAUAGUUUGCUUAUCGCUCUUCUUUUAAAAAAAACUCGAUGGUAAACUAAUGUGCGGAAAAACCAUUUUUCAAGUCAUUUUGGAAACUUAGUUGCCUUAACGAUUUGUUUUUCAGAAACAAUUCCUUUUUAAUGCAGCGGAAACUAGGGAACAAUAUCAAAUUUUACUUAAGCUCGAUAUCAUGCAUUAUUCAGUUAUUAUGCUUGAGUAAUCCAUGCAUGCAAAAAUCCCAAAAGAAAAGUUACUAAGCCACAAACCACAAGUCAUUAAAAAUUACAAACCAAAACUAAUAGAAUCUGAUUAAUACUUUUUAAAAAUAGUCCGAGGUCCAAGGUGAUUCUUCGAAUGCCAAGUCCGAUCCUAAUUUUGAGGUUUACACAUUCAUUUGACAUACUCAGCACGUCCUCAAUAAUCACAUACUUUUAGUAAAUGAAAACAAUGUUCCAAACUUUCAAAUUACCAUUGUGUUGGUAUUAAUCAAUAUCGUUCAAUUUCGCAUACUUUAUGAAUUUUGAUUAUGCAUAAAUAGCACCCUAUACAACAUAUAUGUAUAUAAUAUAUGCCAAGAAAAUUUAGAAAUACAAUAAAUCAACCUAAAUGAAAUCAUUCAUCAUCAUUUUUCAAGAUUUUAAAUUAUAUUUUCUCAUUCCCAUUGUCAGUGUAUUUCAACUUGUAAACAAAGAUGAUGGCUACUAUAAAUGGAAUCAUUGAUAUAUCAUGAUAUUUGAAUUUGACAACUAUUUUUAUACAUUUUAUUACCAAAAGUAAGGGUAUUAAUUUUUUAAUGUUUAAUUGUGGUUUAGAGUUAAUUUAUUUAAAGUUAAUUGUUAAUAUUAUUAAAUUCAAAUUUUCGUAAUUGUAUUAAUAAAAUAAAUUUAGUGUUAAAAGUGAGUUUAUUCAAUUUUAUAUUUAAUUUGUUAAAUGUAAUCUAAUGAUUUUUUUGUGCUCUAGUGUUGAUUUAAUUAAAGUUAAUUAUUAAUAUUAUUAGGUAACUAUGAGUUCUCAUCAAAUUAAUCCUAAAAUUCAAAUUAAAUGCUAAAAAAUUAACAUUAUUACUUUUAAAUAUCAAAAUGUAUAAAUUUUAUUAAAUAUAGAUACUAAAUCAAACAAAAAUUAUAAAUUUUGAGUCGUUGCAAAUUUUUCCAACAUUUUUGGGGUCUUGAAUUUGAUAUGCAAAAAGUUGGUGGGAAUUUUAAGUCAGCAAAUCCUUUAAAAGGGCAAUGACAUAAUUAAUUGCAUUACUUUAAUGGUUGAAUUUUCAUAGCUAAUAUGUAUGCAAAAAGUUGGUGUGAAUUUUAAGUCAGCAAAUCCUUUAAAAGGACAAUGACAUAAUUAAUUGCAUUACUUUUCAAAGAUCGACUACUGACUUUGGUGAACUUAUUUAUAGAAGGUUAAAUUCUGCUGUUGGUCACUGUACUUUACGAAAGUUGUGAAUUUAGUCUCUAAACUUAAAUUUGAUCAAUUUUAGUCUCUAUACCUUUUGAAUUUUGAAAUUUUAGUUCUAACCCAAACAGUAGCAGUUAUCAAUUUGAUUAAAUUCUAUUACUAUCGAUUUAGUCCAAACUUUCUGAAUUUUGAAAUUUUAGUCUUGAUGCAAAUGACAAUCACUGGUCUAUUAAUUGGAUUUUUAGUAAAUAAUAUGUGAAAAUAACAAGUUUGUUGACACCAUUUUUUUGAUAAAAAUGGGGUCGACUUAGAUUUUGAAAAUAAAAACGAAAAUGGGAGUCGCCACCGAUCCUUUUUGAUAAGGUGUGAUCGGGUCACCUCAAAAAGUGAUUGUUUUUAAUAAGCGAUUUGAUUUUAUUAAAACAACGAUUUUAGUCCACGAAAUUUAAAAAAAUGGGUUCGGGAGUCGGUUACGUUCAAGGAAGGAUUAGCACCCUCGUAACGCCCAAAAUUGGUACCUAGUUGAUUAAUUAAUAUCUUAAUGUCGAGAAUUGAAAACUCGAAAAGAAUUUAAAAUACGAUCAUUCCUUUUUAUUAAUGUUAAAUUUAUAAAUGAUGCUUGGAUAAAUCGAGGUGGAUGCUAAAGACCUUCUUGUCUCAGAGUAAAUAAAAUGUCAAUCCAGUACGUUAGGACACAACAUUUUAAAUCCUCGAGAACAAGCUUAUCUUUUUAUUUUCAAAACUCGUGCAUUUAAAUUUCAAAAGGAUAUUCGAUUAUUUGGAUCAAAGGAGAAAAAUCGAAACCCAGUGAGUUAGGGCACGAUCAUUCAAAUUUCCCAAAUACAGAAUAUCACUUUUAUUAUUUUUUUAGGAAAAUCCUCAUCUCGGGAAAACAACAUGUCAUAUCCAAUGCGUUAGGACACAACGUAUUGAAUUUCCGACAAUAAGCUUUUUAUUUAUGCAUUUUUGGUUAAAGAGAAUUCUCGAUUAUUUAGAUUCAACGAAGAAAAUUAGAACCCAAUACGUUAGGGCUCAAUCUUCUCGAAGAUCCAAAAUACCGAGUAUUACCCUUAUUUUCAAAAUUUUCUCUUUAUUACGAAUUUGAGUAAAAAUUGUAAAUGACAGAAUAACAAUUAUGAUAAUGUAAAUAAAUAAAUAAAUGAAUAGAAUGAAAAAAAGUAAAAAAGACAUAUAUGUAUGUGCAUAUAUAUAUAUAAAUUAUAAAAAAUAUAUAUGAUAUUAUAAAAAUGUAUGCAUGUAUAUAUAUUAAAAGUAUAUGUAUAUGUGUAUUUCGAAAGUAUAAAGUAUAUAAGAUAUAUAUAUGUAUAUGUUUAUAAAUUAUAAAAUAUAAAACAUAUAAGUACGUAUAUAUAUAUAAAUGAAUCAUGAAAUGCACGUGUAUAUAUGUAUAUAUUAGAAAAUGUAUGAAUAUAUAACAAAAUUUGGAAUUAAGGAUGUAAAUGAGUGAAUAAUAAUAACAAUGAAUUAAAAUACAAAAUCAAUGAUGCCAUACAAUAGUAUUAAUAAUAUCAAAAUAAUUAAUUUAAUGAUAAAAUAACUAAAACAACAAAUAGAGGAUUAAAUUAGAAACUAAACUAAAAUUUGGGGUCAAAUAAAAAUAACUUAAAGAGGGUGACUCGGGACUAAAACAAAAUGCGCUGAAGGAGCAAGGGACUUCCAGGGAAAUAUUCCCUAGUCCUGAAACGCAGCACUUCAGCAAGGAUUAAAAUGAAAUCAGAAAAAAAUUUAUGGGCCAAAAUGAAAGAAACAAAAGGGACAAAUUGCACUGAACUAUAAAAGAGGAGGGGCUGAACGCGCAAAUAGCCCCUCCAGGCAUAACACGCGGAUCCUGACCGCAUUCGGGUCGGGUCUCGGAUCGGCUCCUGGUUUUAUGCCAAACGGUGCUGUUUUGGCCAUGGAUGCUAAGGUCCAAAACGACGCCGUUUUUAAACUAUAUAAACACUCAAAAAAUCAACAAAAAAAAAAUUCAUCCCUUAUUUUUUUCAAAAAAACUGAGAGUCUCCCUAACUCUCUCUCAACCCCCAUCCCUCAUAUUCGGCCGACGACCUUCUUAGGCCUCCGUCGCGCCACCUCGUAGCCGGAGGUCGGCGCCGGAAAUGAAAGGCCAUUAAACCCCUUUUGUGGAGUCCUUGAGAGCCAGGCUCUCUCAACCCGCGAGGAGUGAAACAAAAGGGGAACCCUCGACCUUGGCAGACCCGACUCAACGAUGGAGGAGAGAGCCUCUGGCGGCACAGUCACGGCCAACUCCAGUGAGUCACCCUUCCCUUUUUGUCCUUUCUUUUAGUACUAGUUUUAAAAUCAGAUUUUUUAAAAAAAUGAUAAAUAAAAUAAGUAAAUAAUUCAAAAAAAAGAAUCGGAGAAGACAGCAACCUUUGUUUCUAUUUCUGAAAUUCGUAAAAAAAUGACAGACGAAGAAUACAAUGUUAAGAUUUUGGCCUUUAUAGCCGAUUUAAAAACCCCUAAAUUUCUAUUUUUUGUCGUUUUGUUGUUUGGCCUGUUCUGCUGUUGUGUGUGGUUUACUGCCUUGCAGGUGUCAGAGGCUGACGGUCGGUGAUAGGCGAGUAACGGCCUGCGUGAGGAGUGGCAGAGGAGGCAGAACAUGCGGCGCUGGGCAUUGGGCAGAGGCGUGCGGCGCUUUGGGGUUUGCUCUUGGCUGAAAUUGUUUAAAUUGUUUAAGUUUGCUGUAAAUGGACUGGAAUAGUUUUUAUUUUUUAGGCCCGGGCCAAAAUUGGGCCUUACAAAGUCGAUAUGACAUUACACAAAUGAUAAUAUGUUUGUCACACCAAAUUUUGGAGAUAGCAGAACUUAAUGAAUUUAACAAAUAUCGUUUACGGUGAUUGAAAUCUUAAAAUUUGAAAAGUACAAUAACUAAAAUAUCAAAUUAACUUAUAGGGAUUAAAUCCACAACUUCAAUAAAAUACAGGAAUUAAUGGUAGAAUUUAACCUUUAUAUAAUAAUUUCCUUGGUGAAAAAAACGCACAUUAUCAUUUCCUUGAAUGAACUUCAAUUUGUCCAUUGAGAUAUAAUCGGAGGGAGUGGAAUAUAUAUAAGAUAAUAUUUGAUGUAUUCGGUAAAUGGAGAAUAUUAAAUAGAGAGAGCAAGCCAUUCGCCUCACGGAACACAUUAACGAAAGACACAAGCUUAAUACAGUCACUAAAUCCAUCAAUUUCAUUAACAACCUGCUAAUAAUUCAAGACAAUUGUUGGGUCCGGAUGGAUUAUAUUUUAAAAUUUUCUUUCAAAAUACAGAAGUUCCUUUGACAAAAAUGAAAAUAUUAUUUAAUUAUAGGGUUAGUAAUUAGUACACUAAUAAUCUACUUAAUGCUAUUGAUUUUUUUUUAAUAUUAUACAACACCUUUAUAAAACACGUGUCAACCCUCUGACUCUGCUUAUGAAAUUUAAAAACUUCAAUGACAAUGUACCAACUAUUAUUCUUAAUUAUUAUACUAUUCAUGAUUUAAGGACAAAGAUCAAAUACAAUAUUUGCUUAAAAAUCUGUAAUAUAUAUGUAUAUAUAUAUAUACAUUUGCUCACUUAUUGUGAUGUAAUAUAGCACCAUCCAGCUAACCCUAGCUUUCUAGCAAGUAGUCGGAGGAAAUUAUUGAGAAAAUAUCAUUAAAUAUAUCAACAAUAAUUGCACUAACUUUCCGAUGUUAACUACUGACCUUUGCGUCAACCUUGAGCUUAUAUAGGCCCCCUACAAUAAUUUAGGCUAUGGAAAUAAUCUUACAAUUAAUGCCUGAGAAAUAAUUAUAGAUCAAUUUAUAGUUUUAAUCCCUAUAAUUACUCAAUUGAAUUAAAAAUUUUGUUAUUCUUAUUUAAUUUAAUUUGAUAUAUUCUGUUCCUCUUAUUAAUGUUAAUGUUUAGAGUCCCCGCUUGUACAUUGGUGAUUAGGUCUCUCACCAUUAAAUUACUCUCUUAAGAACCUAACCUGCAAAUUCACAACAUAAAAAAUUUACAGUCAAAUGUAAUCACACAAAUGACAUUCCUCACUUAAACAGAUUAAGUCGUUGCAAAUAUCUAAACAUAAUCAAAGUCGUCGUUAUGGCCCCAAGAGAAGGCACGUUAACUUGUCUCUCUCACACAUAGGAUGAAAUUAGUCUAAACCUAACCUUGGUAGAGCCGACCAUGUCGGGCAGACCACCCUACAUAAAUCUGAUUAUUUUAUCAUAGUUUAUUCAUCACUGAAGGAAGUAUGCAAAAUUAGGCAUACCAUUUAUCCUCACCUCUCUCGCUGACAAAAGAUUCAUGUUAAGUAUAUUCACCCUACAUAAAUUAUCAAGAGGAAUCACAGAUUUAAGGACCGUGGAAAAGAAUUCCAGAACCAGUUAUAUACAAGCAGGGCCUAUGACAUCCCCACUAAUUCUCAAUCAUAUAAAAUAAUAUAUAAUUAAUUCGUCUGGAAUGUUUAAGGCAUGGUGGUGAAUAUAUCAUGAGCGAUGUUGCUGAGUUUCUUCUGAAGAAUUGGCUAGCUAUUAGUGUCUAAAGGAUCUUUAGUUAUAUGGGGCUUAUGUUUCGGUUGCUUGAACAAUUGCUUUUCAGAGGGCAGAAUAGUAGAGGGGGGUUUUGGGGGUCUGGUGGUAUGGAGUUAUGAUGUUAUCAAUAUGAGAUUUUGGUGAUUUGUACUUGAUAAAGGGACACUUUUCGUGAGGGAUUGCUACAUUUUGCAGAUUAUAACAUUGUUUACAAGUGCUUAAAAUGUGUAAUAAUUUGAUCGAGAGAAAAAAUGACCAAAACAAAUGUUCUCAGCAUUUUUGCUUCAUUUAGAACUUGUAAUUAAUUUUUUUUAUCAGAGAAGUUGUAAUUAAUUGGAUUUGGAAUGAAUUGAUAAUAUCCUUACUAUUUCACCUUUUUUAUAUGUUUGGCGUGUGAGUAUGAUACAGAUUGAACUGAUUUUUAAAGUAGAAAUAAAACGAUAACAAACCAAAACAUUCUGGUUUUCAAAAUUUUGAAUCCAAAUCAAUCGAAUUAGUUUAAUUAUAAUUGAAUGUUUUAUGUGUUAUGAUGAUGAAGGAAGUUGAUGAGGUGACUUGCUUCAUCUUUCAAAAUAUGAGGUUCGUUAGACACAUCUUUACUAUUGUUUUUUAAUAACAAAUGAAAAGUCAAUUUAAAAAACAAAAAUCCAAACCAAUGAAUUUCUUUUAUACAUAUAAGAUAAGCUUACUGCAAAGCUCUUGUUUUUUCAAAAUAAAAUUUUGUUUUUGUUUUAUUAAUUUUGUAUGAAUCAAAUUAAUAAGUUUAAUUUUUUUAAGGGUAAAUUAAACCAACAGUUACUCAACUUUGAUGCAGCUGACAAAAUAGUUGAUUUGGUUUCAAUUCAGUCACUCAACUUUCAAAAAAUAACAAAUCAGUCACUAACGUUACCAAAAAGUGACAAAUCAAUCACCCAUUAACAUUUUCCGUUACAGACCUAACGGGACAGGUGACAUGGCUAGUUAACUUGCCACGUUGACAUGGCAAUGCAUUUAAAAUUGGUCUAAUUAAGAAUUUGGUCAUUGUACAUUAUGAAAACAUAAAAAUUAUUUCAAUUGAGUAUCAAUAUUAAAUCUUGUCCAUUGACCCAAAAAUCAUCAUUUCAACAAAUUGUAUGUAAGAAAUUAGUGAAAAUCAACAAUUCAGUAAUUUAUAUCAAAAUUGAGGACUAGCUUUUCAUUUUUUUGUAAAUUACAUGGAUGACAUUCACAAUUAGACCUAAAUAGUGACAAAUUACAAAUUUAAACCCUAAAUACCUUUGUUCAGAGGAUCCGUAGCCAACAGAAUCAAUAAAACCGAUGGAGAUGAAACUCAUGCAUUUGGCGUGAAGAUGAAACUGGACAGAGUAGAACUCGCAUUGUUCGUCACCGUUGUAGGUGUCACAGUCACACGAGAAUCGCAUCGACAUGGCGCGUCGGCUAGUGAGAGGGAUUAGAUCAAGUCGAUGGGCAAUGAACUUGUCGUUGACGACGGAAGAGUUAACUUCAAUUUUGACGAGGUCGAUGGCUAUGUUGGGAACCUCGGCUAUCAUGACACGAUGGAGGGCAUUGGCCAUGGAGGCGUUGGUGUCAUGGCAGCAUAGUUGUCUUUGAGUUCUCGGAUUUUGACCCUUGGGAAUCGCUAGUAUGAAGCUCCUUCCAUUUUCUCUUCUUCUCCAUUUCUUCUCUUCUUCUUCUUCUUCUUCUUCUUCUACUGCCCAAGGCUCUUAAAUGGGGUUGUUUAAAUGACAGCUAGCCUACCGUUAAAUGUCAUGUCACUUUUCUGUUACAAACGUAACGGAAAAUGGUUAAAAAGAUUGAUUUGUUAUUUUUCAAAAAUUAAGUGAUUGAAUUGGAACUAGAGUGACUGUUUUGUCAAUUGCAUCAAAGUUGAGUGAUUGUUGUUGCAAUUUACCCCUUUUUUUUUAAUAGAGAUAAGCUUUGUGGUGGAAAUUUGUUAGGAAAGGAUGAUUGUAGGAAUGGUCCACAAAAUUAAUUGCAUUCCCUUUUCUUGAUGAAUUCUUAUCUUUGGGUCAACUCUUAGCUUAAAUACACUGCUAAAUUUAUUUUAGGCUGUACAAUAUAAAUGGAGCAAUUGAUGUCAGGAGAUAAGUUGGAAGUACAAUUAAAUUUUUUCAUAAGAGGAGAUGGGAUGAGAAGAUUUGAACCCAACAAUUAUUGGAAUUUAGAUUAUAAAAUUGGCGUGAAAUCAUGAAUUUAGAUUAUAAAAUUCUUUCCAUUUUAAUAAUCAUUUUAGAACUAGUUUGGUUUCCAAUCUAUAUUUUGUGUUGUGUUUUGUUUAUGUCAAAUUUUAAGGUAAAACUUUGAAAGUUAAAAUACAUUCUAAGUCCCUAUACACUUUGUACUUUUAGAAUUUAGUUCUCCUAGUUUUUAUUUUUAUGAAUUUAGUCUUUCUAUUUUUUGGUUUUCAAAAUUCAAGUCCCCAAUUAUUUUCACUGUUAAAAUUCUUCUAUUAAACUCACUAGUGUCACCUUUUGAAAUUACCAAAAAAAAAAAAAUCAUUUUGUAGUCAUGUAAUAAUAAAGAAUAACGUUAAAAAUAAUGAUGUGGAUUUUUAUUUAAAAUACUCAUCCAAACUGAUCAUGAUAAAAUGACUUUUUUUUUGUUGGAAUAGUGUUUUUAAGAAAAAUUGACGUCAAUAUUUUGAUUGGAAUAGUUUACAAUGUUAAUUAUUUAGACUAACUAAUGACAUUACAAAAAUAAAAUAAUGAAAUUAUGCCAAAAAUUAAGGAAUAUAAAUUAAAUCUCAAGUUUUAACAUAAUAUAGGGGCUAAUACUAAAAUUUGACCAUUAAUUUCCAUGUAAUAUAAAAUAAAAAUAAAAAAGUUGUGUGAAGCAGCCCAAGCUUAUGACAGAAAAAAAAAACACGGCCCAAAGCUAAGGUUACGUGUUAGAAAGGGAAUGUCAUGAUAGGGGUGAGUAUUCGAUCAAGUCGAGUUAAAUUGAGUCAAAAAAGUUUAAGUUAGUCGAGUUUACGAAUCCUAUUUUAGUAACCGAACUCAAUUUGAAUUUUUUUUCUGAAUCAUAUUGAGUCAAAAAGUUUCGAGUCAAGUUGAGUCGAGCUAAAGAAUCCUAUUAUUUAUACUCAAAACUUAUAUUUACAUGGACCGAUUAUUUAACUAGUAGAUGAAGUACAAGAUUAUUUAACUACAUAAACAAUAUAAUGGUUUUGCCUUUUAACUUAAUGAGUAAAUAUUUAUCAAAACGAUAUAGUUUUGUCUUUUAAUUUAAUAGUUUUGACUUUUAACUUUGGAAAAGAUAAAUUCAGAUUUUCAGAUAACUCGAAUUGUGUAAUUCAUAUUCAAGUUGAAUAUAAAAACUUAAUUUUUUUUAUUCGGGUUGAUCCGAAUAACUUGAUUAACUCAAAUAACUCGAACUAUUUAAUUCAAAAUUUAAAAUUUUUAUCAAAAUUUUCAGAUCAAAUCGAAUUUUGCUCACCCCUAGUAUUGGACAUUAUUUUUAUAUACGGGUGUAUAUAUAUGUGUGCGUGUGUGUGUGUUUGAUGUGAUUUCCUUGUGAGUUCCAUCUAUUUUUAGAAGUUUUUCCACGUAAAAUAUGUGUAUUUAAUAUUUUCAAUUCUUUUAUUAUUCUACUUGCUCGUUGCAAAUACGUUUGAUUCACAACAUUUUAACCUAAACUUAAUUGUAAAUGAUAAGAGAUAUUUUACGAUUAAAUAAAAAAAUUUAAACCACUAAACCAUUACCCUAAUAUGUCAAAACACAUGCAUUUUUUAAUUUCAAAAUUUAUGAAUUCCGAAGUAAAGAGCAUACGAUAUUUAUAUUAAUGUAAGAAAUGUAGGCUUGCUAAGUUUCGCAAAAUCAUAUUACACUUUUAAUUGAAUAUAAUGGUGGGAUGAUUCAAUUAUUAAAAACUAAGUUCGGGCAAAAAUGUAAAAAUAAUCUAAAAUUAAUUGAAUUAUUAUAAUAAAUUUAUAUAACUUAUGGAGUGAACCAAAUCAUGACAUAAUAUCAAAAAUAAUUAAGACAUGUCAUAUUACAAAUAAUAAAAACUCAACUUUAUAAGCAUAUCAAAAUUUAUUAUCAUGGCGUAUAAUAUGUUAUGAAAAAAGAAAAAAGAAAAAAGAAAAAGAAGAGAGACAAUCGCUUCAUCAUGAGAUAUAAGCCCUUGAAACCAAAAGUUAGUUGAAGCUGUUAGGAUCGACUCAAUUAAGCAACAAGUAACAAAAAAUAGUGGAGUAAAUUGAGAAAUUGAACACACAAAUUUAACGUGGAAAACCCCUCCAAAGAGGAUAAAAACCACGGGCAAAAAUAAUUUUACUAUAAUGACAAAAGAAUAAAGAGUACAAAAGAUGGAGAUAAAAAGCUAAACUCCAAAAAACCCCAAAAACAAAGAACCCUCAAAACGUAAACACAAUGUAACGCCCCAGAAUUUUUAUUUUUGUUCUUGCAAAGGUAUAACACAAUUGUGUAUCUACUUUAGUGGUUAAGUGUUUUGGGUGUAUGAGAGGUCUCAAGUUCAAGCCAAGACUUGGCGAAAUUUUGGUAUUUUUAUGAAUAAGCUCUAUCUUUGGUCAGUAGGCUUUUAAGUAAGAGUCGACAAAUAAUUAAAAGAAUGGGCUUGUUCGUUUGGUGGAUAAGUGGAGUGUUGGUGUGAAGGAGGUUUUGUGUUCAAUUCUCUAUGGUGGCAUGGAGAUAGUAUUUUUGCUCCAAUUUUGGCUAAGAGUUGUGUUUGGGCAAAAUUCUGAGUAGUUGUGUUUUAGUGGGUUAAUAGGGAGUGAUUUUUGGAAAUAAUGGGGGAGAGGUUAUCAGAAAAUAAUCUGAUUGUCUUUUUAUUGCAUAAAAAAGUAGAGUUUCGGUUUUCUCUCCAAUUACCCAAACUUUUUCUGACGUUUUCUUCUUUUUUUCCCUCCGCUGUCGAUUCUUUCCCCUAGUUGUUGCCAAAAUUUCCAUUAUUUUUUCCCCUUCCAUUUCUUUCUUUUAUUUUCCAAUUGAUUUGGUUGUUUAUCGUUGGUUGCGUGUGUUCGGUAAGUAACGGUUUUGUCUAUUGUUAAUUGUUCUUAGUUAAUCUCUGAAAGGGGGAUUCCUUUUUGGUGUUUCGGAGUUAAUCAAGGGGCUAGUGGUUAUGAAUCGAUGCUGUGAUUGUGUGAAGUCAUGAUUACUCAAGCGAGGUAAGGGUUUUGUUAGGUUUUUAGUUGAGUUCCUUCCAAAAUUGGUUAAUUAAAAAUGAAUUAAGUGAUUAAUCUGGAGAUUUGUUGGUCGAUUUUUAGGUUAUGGAGGCUUAGGAGUGCUUACGCAUUAGAAAUGAUACCAGGUGUGUACCCGAAAAGCAGAAAAUGAGAUUCGGCGAAAAGCAUAAAUUGCUUGCUAUUUGGACAGCAGCAGUGGGCUAACUUUAAAAAAUCAUCAUAAAUUGUGAAAAUCGAAUUAAAGGAUGAAAAAAGUAAGGAAUUAAAUAUUAUUGAGUCUAGUUUCUCAUAGAGAAAUGGUGUAAGUAAUGGAAUUGUAAAUCGUGAGAUAUAAUAAAUUUUGUGAGACAAGGUCAGAAUGAAUUCAGGUUUCCCUUUUUUGACUUUGGAAAAUCAUUAAAAAUUGUAUAAAAAUGAUUAUGGGUUAAAAUUUAUAUGAUUAAAAUUCUUAAUGAGUAUAUUUUCAAGAGAAACAAACCUUAACAUCAUCUGAAUCUCGUACUAAGAGAUAAUUAAUUUUUAGAGAAGAAGGGUCGAAAUUAUCAGACAGCAGAACAGGGACAAUUUUGAAGAAUUAACUGUACUCAUUGGCUAAACCAAAAAUUCUAAAAAUUUUAAGGUAAGAAGAUAUGUGAGUCUGUUUUUCGGGAAAAUCAAGCGGAUCUUAAUUUUGAAUUCUGUAGCUCUAGUUAUAAAUAAUUUAGUGACAAUGACUCAAGUAGACAACUCUGAAUGAUCAUAUUAGUAAAUAGUGGAAACAUAUAUGAAUAUUUAGCUAGCAUGGGUUACAUUAAAAAUGGAUCACACGGCCAAGGCCAAUUUGGGCCGAGUGGGCCACGCGGGCACAUGGGCGUGUGGGUCCAUUUUUACCAAAAUGUUUCUAAGGCUGCACAGGUUGCCCAAGUCGACUGUGAACCUACUGUAAGGUCGGUAAGUGCUACUUAAACCCCUAAAUGUGUGAAAUUGACUGAAUGAUAUUUGUACUGAGCAUGUUAAUAUCUAAACUGAAUAUAUGUACUGAAAUUGCAUAAUAGCAUAUCAUCCAUGGUAUGUUGCAUUGCAUUGGGUUGAGGGUUGUUAUUUGGAGGAAAUGUACUAAAAGGCUUUAAGCCUAAUUUACUGGAAUCUCAGCUACAAACUACUGUUUUGUGCCGCAAUAUUCAAUACUACUUGAAGUGUAGGAAUGGGUGGGUUGAUUAUAUCCCCACAUGGUGUGUAGAGGCUGGUUGGCAAAUGGAGUUUUAGUAAGCACAAGCAUCGUCAUCUGUCCAUCAUAACUUGGAAGACAACAAAGAUACUCAUAAAAUAGAUCUGCAAACUGAAAAGAGAGAAGUCAUGUGGAGUGAAUAAGAAGAAGAAAGAAAAAAAGGUUGGUGGGAGGAAGAAAAAGGGUCGCGAUAGCCAAUUCGAAGGUUGUCAAUGCCAUUGGGCAAAAUAAAACAUAAUAAACAAACGGCUUGGAGAAAAAAAUUAAGAAAGAAGAAAAAAUUUAGGCAAAAUUUAUAUUAAUGUAAGAAAUGUAGACUUAUUAUGAUAUUACAUUUUUAAGUGUGAUCAUUCAAUUAUUAAAAAUGUAUUUAUAACAAAUUAUGUAAAAUUUUAUAUAAGCAUAUAAUAUGUUAUGCAAAGAGAAUCACUUUUCUUAGUUGAAUUGUUAUAACACAUUAUACAAAAUAUAUUUUAAAUUAAAGCAUAAUGUGAAUACGAUACCAACCAACAAAUUAAAUUCGAUGAUUUAUGGAUAAUUACAUUUAUUACUCAAUUUAAUUUAAUUCAAAGAGCUAUUGAAUACACAUAACAAUUAAUUAUGAUUAAACUUUAAAUUUCACAGAAAAUAAAAAGAAAUAGAUUGUUGAAAAUGAUAAAAUGGAAAGAUAAAGCUACAAACUUCCUCCCCACAAACCUAAGAGCUUUUUAUUCAAAAUGCAGAAAUCAACAAAAUAGUCCUCACAAUCCAACUUAGCAUAGUAAAACAAUUAGGUGGGGAAAUCAAAUAGUAAAUUCCUUUUUCCUUGAAUCAACACCAACCGACUUUGUUGAAAUCUUCACUAUAGCUAAUCACAUUGCCUGAAGAUGUGAUAUGUAAGAAAAUUGGCCAUUGUUGAGUAACGACAGGUUGUGAUGCACUUUCCAAUAAAAGAAAACCAAACACUUCGCCAAUAAGGAUUUAUGUAAAGAACAACAAAAAUUGUCAAGACCACAACUAUAUAAGAAACCAGGAAGCUCACACAAAAAUCAUAUGUGUCUAGCAAACUGUCCUCUCCUUCAUCAUCUAACGAAUUUGAUCUAGUUGAUGGUGCAUCUGGUUUGGAGCAACUUUUAUGCAAAAUAGUUCCACAAAGAAAAGGGUUUCCCUCGUAACUACUUUCAAUAAAGGUCCCAAAUUGAGCUUUUGGUUCAGGAAUACUACCUGACAAGUUGUUGUGUGCCACACUAAAAACUUCCAAAGAGUUCAACUCUACCAACUGAUUGGGGAUUUCACCACUCAAGUUGUUGUAAGAAAGGUCCAAACUCUCAAUUUGAUGAAGUUUUCAGAAUGAUGAAGGUAUAACUCCGAUCAACUUAUUGUGUGACAAGUUUAAAGAAUAGAUUUCACUUAAGUUCCCUAAUUCUGGUGGGAUAUGACCAGUUAAGUUGUUGCAAGAUAAAUCAAUCCCGGUCAUAUAUGCAAGGAUGUUGCCCUCGUACGAAUAGAACCCACUCUUUGUUGUGAACUCUAUUACUUCUUCUAAAUUCUAUUACUUCUUCUAAGUAGCUGUCAGGGUAGUAAGGAUUUAUAUCCCUUUCCAAUUUUCUCAUCGCAAUGGAUGUUGAUUCAUCCAUUUCUGUAAAUGGAAGAUAGAACCCAGUUGCUAGACUCUCUUUCUCUUUCAUUGGAAGAGAUAAAUUUCCCAAACAAGAAGGUAUAGGACCAGAAAACAUAUUUUGAGAAAGAUCUAUGAUGCUUAAAGAAUACAACUUGCAUAACUGAAUUGGAACUUUGCCAUGAAAAUGAUUAUCUUUCAAGAGAAGAACACUCAAAGAAGAAAGUGUGUCAAUCCAUUUUGGCAUGCUACCUGUCAAAUUUUUUUCUCUAAGAUCUAAAGUCACUAGUGAAGAGCUAUUAUAAAAAGCAAGUGAUAGUGGACCUCUCAGUCUAUUCCCGUGGAGGUGGACAUGCUUUAUGUUUGGUGGAUUAAAACAUGACGGUAUAGAGCCAGAUAAAUUAUUUUGAGAAAGAUCCAAAAACUCCAACCAAUUCAAGUUGCAAAAUUCCAUUGGAAUAGAACCCUCGAAACCAUUGUUGGACAAAGCCAAUCUCAAUAAAAAUGAUGCAUUCCCUAUCCAUCUUGGGAGCUUUCCAUGCAACUGGUUGUUACUGAGAUCAAUAUCGCUUAGUGAAUUUGGAAACUCAAAAGUAGACACAUCAACAUUUGUCACCUCUCCUGAAAAUUUAUUUCCAUCCAAAUAUAAAUUCUGCAGCCCAUUUGCUUUGAGAAUCGCAGGAACUACAUUUCCACUGAAGUUGUUAUUUGAUAGUCUCAAAAUGGUCAGUGAGCCUUUCGUGAUCAACUCUUCUGGUACUUUUCCAUACAAUUGAUUGUUUGAUAGAUCUAAAAUUGAUAAAUCCUUCAUGCCACUUAAACAAAGUGGGAUAUUACCUUCAAAAGCAUUCUUGGAUAAGAAUAACCGACUCAAAUGUGGAAAAGUUGAACAUAUACUGGUCGGAAUUUGACCUUGUAUUUUGUUUUCAGAGAUGUCAAUUGAAGAUACAUUAGAAAUAAGAGCUGACGAAAAUGAGAGAGGACCUGUAAAAGAAUUGCCCUUCAAGAUGAGAUCUUCUAACUUUGUGUUGUUUUCUAACAACCAAGUUGGGACCGUUCCACUGAAAUUGUUAUGAGAAAGAUCCACAUAUCUCAAGUCAUAUUGGUAGUAAAGGAAGGUAGGAAGCUUACGACUGAGCUGUUGAGAUGUUAUGCACUUUGACAAACUGAUGACUUCCAAUUGGAACUUUGGGAUUGAGGUAUAAAAGGAAGGUUCCGUUACCAUCUUGUUUUCAUUACUCAAGAGGGCUUUGAUAUUUGAAAGGUUUGCAAAUGGUGCGAAUGACAACGGAAUUUGAAAAUGGUUUAUUGAAAUAUCUAACACACGAAGAGCUGUCAAGUUACUAAAACAAUGAGGAAGCAUCCCCUCCAGUGCAUUCCCACUCACAUCCAAUACUUCAAGAUUCCUUAGAUCACACCAUCCUGAAAAAUUGAAAAAAUUGGUGGAAGAAAUUCUAAUUAAAUUUGGUCUUAUUUAAGAGAAUAUGAGAUAUUACACAAAGCUCGUACAAAAUUCAAUUUGAGCCAUAAAUUUAUUUACCUUGAUUAGGUAGGGGACCAAUAAGUCAACAAUCAUAUAAAGAGAAUGUUUUAAGAGAAACAAGUACUCCAAUGCUUUGCAAAAUAUUGGUGUUGAGAGUAGAAUAGUCAAGAUAUAUUUCCUCCACAUUUCUCGACACAUUUGAUUCUAAGCAAUGUCUAGAGAUAUUAGAUAACGAUAUUGUAAAUAGAAAAUUAUAAUUGAUCAUGAGAAAGAAGUUCAUAUUGACGAGAAAUGCCGAGGACAGCAAUCGCCAUCCCAUGUCAAAAAAAUCAUUUGAGAUAAAUAAUGUUUGAUUUUCUCAGUCUUUUAUUUUUUGUGAAUGAAAAGAAAUAUAAUUUACUUGAAGUUUUUUUAAUUAUUCGAAAAUGCCAUUUAUUUAUUUUAGGCCAAAAAAUUCCAUUUAUUUAACUGUAAUAUAUAUUUUUAUGUUUUAUAUUAUUAAAACCAUAUGAAAUUAAAAUGAUAGUUAUAUGACAUAUUUUUCCAUAAAUAUGAGUAUUUUUUAUUUAUAAUAUUAUUUUUUUUAUUUUUAUAAUUAUUUUUUAUCUCAUAAAAAUUUAAUAAAUUAUUUUGAAAUUAUAUUUAUACAAACAAAAUAAUUAUGAACUCUAAUAUUUUAAAAUUAUGCAAAAUUUAAAAUAUUUUACUUUCAAACCGAAGACCAUAGGAUUUAUAAAAUGUUUCACCGAACCCAUAAGCUGAAUUUUUCCAUGUAUGAUAUAAAACAUAAAGACAAAGAUGAGCAACACAAAGACAGAAAAUUAUUAUUUGGUAGUUUGUUGAUUUACUUUAAGGAUUUAGCAGUUUCAAUCAUGUUCCUGUUAUGCUUUGAUUUUAUUUAGGUUCAUCCAUGUAAAACAAAGAAACAAAAACAUUAAUUAGUUGAAAAAUAAUUAAUUGUGUUAUAACAUAAUCCAAACCUUGUAUUAACAAAUAUUCUGUUUUUUAACCUUUUUCAACGAUGAAGUGGGGAGCACCGAUUCAGGGGCCAAGCAACAACUUUGUAUUGGAGGAUCGAUAUAAAAUUAUUUUUUUUGGAGGGACUAAAGUUAAAAUUAUUUGUGUUAAAAUUGUUGAAAUUGAAUUUUUAAUGUUUAAAGUGACUCAAAAUGCAAUUUUUAUGCAUAUAAUUAAAAAGCUACAGAGGAUUAUAUUGAAUAAUUAAAUUUUAAAAGGACUAAAAAGGGUAUUAUACCCUUGAUUAAAAUAUGUCAUAGGUCCUUGUACUUUUCAAAAAUUUGUAAUUUAGUCGAUAUACUUUUAUUUCUAAGGAUUUAGGCCCUCUACAUUUUCAAAUUUUAGAAUUUAAGUUCAAUUGUUAACAUUAGUUUUUUUUCCAAUGUUUUGAAAUAAAGAAAAUAUUCAAUUGGUAGCAAUGUAACUAAAAAAAUAGCAUUAUAAUGAACCUAAAUUUAACAAAAUAAUCUUAAUAGUGUCAACAAUUAAACUUAAAUUUUAAAAUCUAAAAAGUAGAGGGAUUAAAUUCGUAAAAAUAAAAAUAUAGAGACUAAUUUACAAAGAGUAUAAGGAUUUAUGUUAUAUUUUAACCUAUACCCGUUAGCCUAGGGGGGCCAAGACCUCUGUCUACCCCUUUGGCUUUUCCUCUACACCAAUUGAACAUUAGUUUAAUUGACAUUGUUGAUAUUGCAACAACUCUUUUUCUUUAUUUUCUUCGUCUUAUGAAAAAUGUUAAUUUUUAGUUUUGGACAUUUUUAAUAUGCUUAAAUUUGAGAUUUAAUUAUUAUCCUUUAUUUCUAAUUUAAAUUAAGCUUUAUAUUUUUAUAAUUUUACUAGUUAGUUCAAAUAGUUAAUUCAUUAACUUUUCAAUUAAAAUAUUAUGUAGUUAUAUAUUAUUUAAAAGUGGAUUUUUAAAUAGAUUAAAUUCUUAAAAAUAAAAGUUGAAGGAAAAAAAAUAAAAUUUAAACAAAAACGAAAGUUUAGUCAAAUGAUACCUUUAUGGAUCAUAAAAUCUAUCAAUUCAUUUGCCCUCAUAUUCAAAUGCAUCCAAAUCUGGAAAAAAAAGGGUAACAUAUAAACCUCAUUAUAUUAUCUUAAAACAUUAUUAAUGUUUUUGUUAAUUGAGUCAAGAUUUUGGGAAAAGAAAAUGUUUUUACCUUUUGCAUCUAUUGGUCCUUUCAAUUGAUUGCUUAUGGUCAAAGUUUUCAAAUUCAAAAGCUUGUUAAGAGAUGCAAAGACACUAUUAUUGAAGAGAUUGGAAUUUAAAUUAAGCUCUUUUAAGUGCGUCAAUUCCAAUUUUCUACCACCAUCUGCAAAAGAUUUACAUAAGUUCAUCACUGAAAAAAAUUAGCAUAAAAUUUAAUUAUAUAUAAAAACUUAGAUAACUCAUCAAAUAUAAAUACAUACCUUUGGAGGAUUGAAGGCUUUCAAUUUAAUUCUCGCUUAGAUCAAGUUUCUUCAAGUUUAUCAAAUUACUCAAUCCUAUAUAUUUUCACGUCCAAUUCAAAUAAUUAUGUUAAUAAUUUAAUUUUUACCGAAUAUUUGAAUGAGUUUCAUAAAAUAAAAACAAAAAAUUGGUUUGUUAGGCAAUUUUUUUAGGUGUUGUAGAAAUUUUAAGUUCCUCCAAGUUUAUUAUGCUUAAUUGUUUUUCAUCUAUAGUAGGAAGAAGAAUAGUUUCUAAUUAAUAUUAUAGGCUUUGAAUAUUUUAUAAGUUCAUCCCUUUGAAAAUUUAAUUUAUUCAAUAUAUAAAAAUCAUACUUGUACCUUUGUUUGAGAUGCUUUCAAUUCUGUUCCCACUUAAAUCCAAGUAGUUCAAGUCUGUCAAAUUAUUCAAUUCUGAAAUUCAAUCCUAAAUAUUGAUUAGUUAUAUAUAUUCAUGAUAUGAUAAAAUCAAAUAACAUAUUGCAAGUUUGCAACAACUUUUCCUUCAACAUAAAUUGAUUUUAAAGUACAAAAGAAACAAGUAAAAUCAAUCUACCUUGAAUAUGAAGCAGCCUUCCUUCCAACUGAUUACUACUCAAUCUUAAAGUCUUCAAGGAUGAAAGAUUUCUCAUAUCGAAUAGAAUGCUAUUCUUCAAAGAAUUCCCAGUUAAAUUAAGAGUUUCCAAUUUAGUGAGUCUUGAAAGCCACUGAAAACCUGAUUUAUAUACUAUAUAAUUAGUUACUACUAAACAUAAUAAAUAAUAAUACUCUAAUUUUACAAUAAAAAUUCACUAAAAUCUGUCAUUGCCUUUUGGAAUAAUAUUCUAUCAGAAAAGUCAUGCACAAAUACUUAUACCUUGGUUUGAGAUGCUUUCAAUGUUGUUGUAACUUAAAUCCAAGUACUUCAAGUUUGUCAAAUUAUUCCAUUCUGAUGAAAGUCAAUCCCAAUGUUGAUCAGUUAUGUUUUCAUGAUAAGAUAAAAGCAAAUGAAAUAUUGCAAUAGCUUUUUCUUAAACCAAAUUGAUUUUAAAGUAAAAGGAAGCAUGUAAAAUAAGUCUACCUUGAAUAUGAAAUAAUAUAUAAAUACUAUAUUUAUACCUUUGUUUGAGAUGCUUUCAAUUUUGUUCCCACUUAAAUCCAAGGACUUCAAGUUUGUCAAAUUAUUCAAUUCUAAAAUUCAAUCCCAAAUGUUGAUCAGUUAUAUUUUCAGGACAAGAUAAAAGCAAAUGACAUAUUGCAAUAACUUUUCCUUAAACCAAAUUGAUUUUAAAGUAAAAAAGAAACAGGUAAAACCAAUCUACCUUGAGUAUGAAUCAACUUUCCUUCCAAAAGAUUGUAUCUCAAACUUAAAGUCUUCAAGGAUGAAAGAUUUCUCAUAUAGACCAUAAUGCUAUUCUUCAAAGAAUUCCCACUUAAAUAAAGAGUUUCCAAUUUAGUGAGCCUUGAAAGCCACUGAAAACCUGAUUUAUAUACCAUAUAAUAAGUUACUGCAAAACAUAAAUAAAUAAUAAUACUCCAUUUUUUAGUUAAUUUGAGUAAGUUCUUGUUAGUCUUUUUUUCCUCUCAACCAUAUGAAAAAUUAUUGAAGCAAAAACUAAGUUACAGGGGAUAAAAGAAUGGAAAAUCACUGUCAAACGUCACAAUACAAAUAAAAACUAACAAUAGACCAAACUUAAUUUACCUCUUGGAUGACUUGAUCCUUCGAACCGGUUGUGUGAUAAAUCUAAAUAUCGGAGAGACGAAAGCUCACUCAAAGAUAAUAGAAUGCUAUCAUUCAAGUGAUUGUAACUUAAGUAAAGGAUCUCUAAAUUACUUAAUGUGGAUGAUAGCUUUCCAAAACCUGUAGGAGUGUUCUUUUAAUUAUAUACAAGUAAUUAAUGACUUUUCUUCAGUAAAAUAAAAUAAAUUAUAAGUAAUUGCAAACUAACAAUGAAUAGAGAAAUAGAAUAAUAAAAUAUGUAAUUAAGGGAAAAUUAAAGGCACGACCUUCAUUUUCAAGGUUACCACCUAUGGCAUUCUCUGACAAAUAAAGACUCUUCAAUUUCUCAAAAGGAAGAAACAUAGAGGCAUUGAGAUACCAAUAAUCCAUGUUGUAUUCCCAUUUUGUAGAAUUAAGGGAAGUUGUAUGACUCUCCUAGUGAUGGAGUUGCACUUAACUCUUUCCCAUUUACAGCAAUCUGAACCCUUCAGAUCAACCCAACUUUUCAAUGGGUUACCAUAAUUGAAGAAAGGUUUGAGAUGCAAGAGAGCGAUUCUCUCAUGCUCCAAACAAGCAUCAGUAGUACACCACCUACAUCCUUCUAACACCAACAACAGUACUGCCAUCCUAAUAAACCAUAACCAUUUCCACUCCAUCAUCAUCAUCUUUCUGUUUUCCCUUCUCUCUCAGCUAUAUGUUACUUUUUUAACUUCUAUAUGUAUAUAAUCUGCAGAAGCCUAAGCAGGAUCUAUGCAUCCCACUAAUUCACUGUAGUAUUAAAAUAACAUAUAAUUAAUUAGUUCCUCAAAAAUUGAAUGAAUCUAGACUUGUGCUGCUCUAACUUAUACGUUAGGAAAUAAAUGUUGACACAAUUUUUUGUUUUAUUUAGAAGUUGUAGUUAACUAUAUUUGCUAAAAUUUGUCUUGGAAUGAAACUGAAUUCAAAUCAAUCAAAUUAAUUAUAAUAAAAAUAAAAUUUCAAAAAACUGUUCAAAAUAUGAGUUAUGUUGAAGCCCUGUUCGACAUAUUUUAACUUUUAUUCUUUAUAUAAAAAUGAGAGUUACAAUAAAUAGUAAAAAGAAAAUCUAAUCAAAUGCACUUUUCCAUAACAAAAUUAAUUGCAUUCCUUGUGGAAAAUGAACUCUUGACUUGGCCGACCAUCCUCGACUGAAAUAGGCUGCUAAUUUUAAUUUAGACUGUAGAAAAAAUUUUAACCCAAUUAAUGUCAUUUGAAAUUAAAAUUACUUUAUAAACCUUUUGUUAGCCCUUAAAUUAAUAAACUUUUGUAUGUAGCUAAUUGAGUUUUAACUCAAUCGGUAUUGGUAUUGUUGUCAGUACAGGAAGACGUAAGUUUAAGUGUGCAGAAACGUGUGUUUUAUCCAAUUUAAGGAUUAGGGUAGAUUAUGAAUAAUUCUUUGAAUUGUAUUAACUUAGAAGCUUUGAGAUACUCACAAUUGAAUUAAACAUUCAAUAUAUAUAUUUAUCUUAUUUUUUUUUCUAUUUCCGAUAAAUAAGAAAAGAUCAUUCUUUACGCCACCAUACGAUUUUAGUAUCACAAUCAAAUGAGACUUUUAAAAGUCUUAACACUAUACAAGUAGUUAGUCGACAAAACUUGCACUAAUUUACUCUUUACGCCCAAAUUAUUUACAAAGUGCAAACAACAUUACUUUCACACUAAUUUUUUCCUUCUAUUUAUGUGGGAUAAAUAUCAAAAUUAUAUAUGAAUUUUAAUUUAAUGUGUAAUAUUAUAUAUAAAUUUUGAUUUUGUGUAAUUUUAAAAUGAAAUUUUGAUUUGAUUUAAUUUUCACAAAUCAUUAACAACAUCAUCGAAUUAGUACUAUAUUACAUUGAUAUAUUGCAUGCACAAACAGGUAUACUAAACCAAUAUGAAAAUAAAUAUAUGUAUUCAUUUAUUUAAAUGUGUACAAUUGAAUCAAAAUAAAAGUUUCAUGUAUACAUAUGGAUCACAAUUCAAGUUUCAUACAUAUAAUUGUACCAAAUCAAAGUUCAUGUAUCAAAUUGCACAUUAAGCCAAAAUUUAUGUAUAAAUUUAAUAUUUAUCCCAUUUAUGGGAGAUUAGCUUUCCAAUGGUAUUGUUUUAUUUACAUUAAUCCAAAUAAUUGGAAAUGAUGAAUUAGUUUAACGAAGAUUGUAAUUCUAUUAAUGUUUCUUCUCGAAUUUUUGGUUGCUCUUAUUUACAUGUUUUAUUAAUUGAUAGAUUUAAAUUCUUGGAAUAUAUUCUAAUUAAUUAGAUAUUUCCUUCCUUCCAAAAGCCUUUCAAAAUAGGUUUAGUUCGACCAAGAUACUCUUGUAGAAAAUUUUAGUUUUGUGGGAAAAAGAAAACUAGAUUUAUUUUUUACUCUAAUUGGUUUUAUAUGCAAGGUAUAUAAACUUUUGUGUCGCUGCAAUUUUUUUCCAACAUAUGUAUGUGAUUUGUGGGGUUUCAAUUUUGAAUUUUUUUUUACAAUUUAAUUAAAUUGUGAAAGUAUUUGAAAGUUUUUGAGUUGAUACAAUGUUUAGAACUACCCCAACACCCACCUAACCCUUAAAUAGGAGGAUAAACACGCUUCAGCACACUCGAACUCACAUCCUCCUACACCGAUGAUAAUACUAAUGCCAACAGAGUUAAGACUCAACCAGCCUUGAAUUUUGAAUUUUACUUCUUACACAUUUUGAAUUUUGAAAUUUUAGUUUUGACCCAAACAGUAGCAGUUAAAUCAAUUUGAUUAAAUUUAAUUACUAGUCCUAUAUUAUGCGUACGAUUAUUGAUUAGUCUAUACUCUCAAAUUGGGCAAUUCUAAGUACCUAUACUUUCCGAAUUUUGAAAUUUCAGUCUUGAUGCAAAUGACAAUUAUUAAUCCAUUAAUUUGAUUUUUAGCGAGUAAUAUGUGAAAAUAACAAACUGGUAUAACAUUACACAUAUGAUAAUAUGUUUAUUCCACCACAUUUGAAAAUAGCCGAAUUUAACAAAUAUUGUUAGUGAGGAUUGGAAAUUAGAGUCUAGCCCCCUACAAUAAUUUAGGUUAUGGAAAUAAUCUUGCAAAUAAUGCUUGAGACAUCAUUAUACAUCAAUUUAUAGUUUUAAUUCUUAUACUUACUCAAUUGGAAUAAAGAUUUAGUUUUUUAUUUUCUUUUGAUACAUUGUCUAGAAUCUUUAUUCCAAUUGAGUAAGUAUAAGAAUUAAAACUAUAAAUUGAUGUAUAAUGAUGUCUCAAGCAUUAAAAAUAACUAACUUCAUUAAAAAAUUCAUUAGUUGGCUCUCUAAGACUUAAAAAUUAAAAUUAUGUGGUUAUUAAAAAAGAAUUGUUUUUAUUAAAUUAUUAUUUAAAAUAAAUUUAUCUCAUCAUAAUGAUAUGAAUUUUUUUUCUUUAAAAAAUCCACAUUAACCGACUAAUAGAAUUGUAUAAAGCUGCCACCAAUCUCUUGGCAUGAUGGCAAAAGAUUCAGAGGCAAGCCAGAAAGUUUUUUGAGAGGAGUGAAUAAAGUUAUAUCUUUUUAUUAUAGUAAAAAUGAAAUUUUAUUAUUUUAAUAAUUUAUAUCUUUAUAAUUUUUAAAAGAUUAAAUAAAAAUUUUUUAUUUUUGAGGGGAUAAAGUAUAAGUUUAUCAUAUACUAAUUUAAAAAUUUUAAAAUUAUAAAAAGACUAAAGAUGAAAAUUUUCAUUUUAGGGAGAUGGGGCCCUGCCAGGUCCCUUGACUUCGCCUUGAUAAAAGUAUUAUGUUGCAAGUAUAAAGUUUGAGUUUAAUCUCGAACAAUCUCAUUUCUUAUCCCUAAUUAUAAAAUAAUAAAAUAAAUAGAGCAAUUGAUGUGAGGAGGCAAGUGUAAUAGGUCAAUUUUGACCUGGGCCAGAUUUCAAAACAAAACCCAAACUAAAUAAUAAAAGAGUCCAAAAUAGUUAAAACAAUCCAUCCAUUUUACAAACAAACCCAAAUUAGCAGCCCAAAUACAAAUUAAAACUCAAUAACUCAAAACUAACCCUAGCCCAAUUAGCUCAACACUUAAACACAACAAAAAAACCCCUAGCCCCCUAAGCCUCCAACGCCGCAUGACCACCUGUGCCGCACGCCGCCGCCGCUCAAGGCUUGCCUAUCACCGACCAUCCACGCGUCUAACACUUGCAAAACCAAGGCAACAUGCAACAACAAAGGCCAAAUAGAGGAAACAACAAGGAAACAGAUAAAAAAGGAAGAAACAAACAGUUUUGAUUUGGCUACAAAAGCCCGAAUCUCACCCUUGUAAUUUUUUUAAGAACAUUAGAAAAUAAAAAACAAAAACAACACUUUCAAGGUGAAUUUCUACUUUUAUUUCUGUUUUAAAUACCUAUUUGAUUCUAUAUUCAUAUUUUUAUUUGAUUUUAUAUAUAAUAAAAUAAUAAAAUAAAAAAAGGAAGAAAGGGCUCACCGGAGACGCCCCGUGACCGCGCCGUCGGAGGGCUCUUCUCCAUUGUUGCCAUCGAAUCCGAGAGAGGGUCGGGAGUACUCCUCUUUUGUUUUUUUUUUUGGGUCGAGAGGGCUGGGCUUCCAAGGGAGCUGUGAAACGGGGGCUAAAAACGACCUUUUGCGCAACGCCGGCCACCGGCCACAGGCCACAGCGGCGCUGCGGCGGCAACCCUGGCCUGCCAAGGGGUGGGCUGAGAGAGAGACCAAGAGAGACUGAGAGAGUUCUCUAUUUUUUUAGAAAAAUAAAAGUUGAACUGUUUUUUUCUUUUUCUUUUUGCUAUUUAUAUAGGGUAUAAAACUGCGUCGUUUUGGACUUAAGCAUCAGUGGCCAAAAUGACGCUGUUUUGCAUCAGACCAGAAAGCCAACCCGAAUGCAGUUAGGAUCCUAGCGCAUUUUAGCUUUGAGGAGCUAUUUGCAUAUUCAACCCUUCCGCUUUUGCAAUAUAGUGCAAUUUGGUCCUCGUUGUUUUUAUAUUUUGGCCGCAUAAUUUUCUGAUUGUUUUACUUUGGUUCGAGCUAAAACGCUACGCAUGGGGGCUGGGAAUAUUUGCCAGUCGGUCCCUCAUUCCUUAAGCACACUCUAUUUCAGUCCCUAGGCUUUUUUUAUUUAUUUGCAAUUUGAACCCCAAAUUUUGGGUCGAUUUCAGUAUCAUCCUUAGUCCAUUUAAUUUAUUUGUUCAUUAUUAUUUUUUAUUUAAAAAGCUCUUUUAAUAUUAUUUGUUUUAAGUUUUUUAUUUAUCAUUUACUUUAAACUGUUUUACAUACUAUUUAUUUAAAAUUUUUUUAUAUUAUUCAUUUUAAACCAUUAUAUGUACAUUAUCUUUUAAAUUCUUAUAUACAUAUAUAUAUGUCGAAACCGUUUUUUUGAAAACAAAAAUUUUUAGUUUCGACUUAAAAAUAAAAACUGGAGUCGCCACCGAUCCUUGAUUGAGGUGUAACCGGCUCACCUUAAAAACAAUUUUGGUCUACGAGAUUUGAGAAAAUGAGUUCGGGAGUCAGUUACGCACGAGGAAGGAUUAGCACCCUCGUAACGCCCAAAAUCGGUACCAAAUUGAUUCUUUAAUGCCUUGGUGUCGAAAAUUUGAAAAGAUUUUAAAAGGAAACUUUUUAUUUCAUGAAUGAAUCAAAAUAAUAAGACAUUCUUAUUUCAAAGAAAUAAAACACCACACCCAGUGAGUUAGGGCACAAUAUUUUUAAAUCUUCAAAAUACCCGAAUUUUACCUUUUGCUUUUGAAAAUUCUUAUUUCGAGAAGUCAAAAUAUCAGGACCAGUAAGUUAGGACCCAACAUUUUUGAACUCCCAAGAAUAAGCUUUUAUUUAAAAUUUACGAAUUUAUUGCAAAACAAAUACUUGGCUUUCUAAAUUCAUCGAAAAAUAAUCACGAUCCAGUCAGUUAGGACACGAUCUUUCUCGAGAAUCAUGAAUGCCAAAUAUUUUGGAAAUUUGUAAAAUAUGAUGAUUUUAAUGCCUUGACGAAGCCAAUAUAUAUUUUCUUUAAAAGCAUGAUAAAAUGUUAAUGCAUAACAUGAAACCAAUACUUUAAUUUAAAUCAUAUGUAUAUAUGUAUUUGCAAAUCGCGAAAAUAAAAUAAAUAUAAAUGUAUGGAUAUGUCAUGAAAAUAUGUGUGCAUUUAAAUAUAUGUAUAUAUGUACAAUAUGUAUAAAACCAUGAAAUAUAUAAAAUAAUAAAGAAAAAUGUGUACGUAUAUGUAACAGAGAAUGCAUGUAUGCUUUAAAUUAUAAGAUAUAGGAAAUAAAUAUGUUACAACAAUGUAUAUCUAUAUAAAAUAUAAAUGUAUAUAAAAGUAAGUAAAAGUUAUGCAAGUAGAAUAAUAAAAAAUAUAUAUAUGUAAGGUGCAUGGGUUUAUAAAAAUUAUUUUUAAGAAAAAAUGUAUGCAUAUAUUAUUGUAGAGAAUAAGCAUAUGUAUAUAUAUAGUAAUGGUAAUAAUAAUAAUGAUAAUAAUAAUAAAAAUGAUAAUAGUAAUAAUAAUAAUAAUAAUAUAUGACAUAAUUAAUAAUAUAAAAAACAACAAAUUAAGGAUUAAAUUGGAAAUAAGCGAAGUUUUGAAACCAAAUUUAAAGAUGGGAAUUAAAUAAGGACCAAAUUAAGAUGCGCGCAACAGUAGGAGGAUCGAAAAGAUAAUUUGCCCAAACCUCCCAAAUGCUGCGCAGCAACAUGGACCAAAUUGAAACAGUAUUAAAACAUAUGGCCUAAUUUAAAAAAAUAAAAAGACAGAUUUAAACACCCCUCAUAAAACAGAGGACCAAAUGUGAAAUUGUCCCCUUUCACAGAAAUGCGCGGAUCCUUCCCCGGGUCGGGUCACCGCACGGGUCGUAGGGCUGAAAUGGCGUCGUUUUUGUGCUUACCCUUCGGCCCAAAACAGUGCCGUUUUCGGUAAGCUAUAAAUACAAUGUUUUUUUUUUAAAAAAACUCAUUGUUCUUUCUAUUUCAAAAAAAAAAACAAAAAAAAAAUUUCCUUUUCUCUCAAGCAGGCCCAGAAUCUGGCCAAACUCCGGCGAGUGGCCACUGCGCCGGCCGCCAGUUGCCGGCACCGGCGCCGCCGUUCACGGCGGCGGGGAGUAAAAAAUCUCGCCUUUUUUAAACUGUUUUUAGAUCCCGUUCAAUAGUCAAACUGCUUUGGCUCAAAAGGAUGACCCUUGGCCCCUUCUCCUCUCGGAUCCGAUGUUCUUGAAGGAGGAGAGCCCUCCGACGGUGAACCCGCAAGGCAAAUCAGGUAAGCCCGUUCCCCUUUUACUUCUUAUUUAUUAUGCUUAAAAAAAAACAAACAGAAAGAGCAAACAAGGAAAAAAAAAACCGAAUCUAAGGGAAAAAAAAACCUCCGUUUUGUAUUUUAUUUUUUCAAAUCUUUUUUCUUCGUAUUUUCCUCUCUAUUUUUGUAUGUCUUUACACUCAAGACCCCCUUUUCAGAUCUCCCCCCACGGCUUUUAAAUAGUCGAAAAUAACAACAAAAUAAGCAACAAAAUCAUAUCUCCCUUCAAUAUUGGUUGCGAUUUUUGCUACUACUCUGCUAUUGCUGCGCCAUAUGCUUCUUUUUCGCAGGUGUGGUGGCUCUUGAGUGCGUGCGACGCGUGGGAGCGACAAGCGCGAUGUGCGGCGCUUGCGGAGGGGUGGUGCGCAGGGUGAUGCAGCGCUGAAGCAGAAAGGGCUAGGGUUUCUGGACUGGGCUAGGGUUAAUGUAAUUGGGCUAAAUUUUUGGGUUUAGUCUGUAGAUGGGUAAUUGGGUCUGCUAUGUUUUUAUUUUAUAUGGGCCUGGGCAGAAAAAUUGGGUAUUACAAUAUAUAUUAAAAAAAACUGUUGUAUGUUUCUUAUUUAUUUAUUUUAAACUGUUAUUAUUAUUCAUUUUAAGUUUUUAUAUACUGUUUAUUUAAAGCCUUUUAUUAUUUAUUUUUGAAUUGUUCUUAUAAAUUAUUUAAUUUAAAUUAUUAUUCUUUGAAUUUUUUUUUUUUGCAUAUUAUUUUGUUUUGUUUUCUUUGAUUGUUAAUAUUAGUAUAAAAAAUGAUAUACAUUGUGUGACUAUUACCAUCAUGUGUACUAUAAUUAGUUUCUUCGUGUUUUCAUAUUAUUAUCACUCAUUAACAUAUAUAACAUUUUUUUCAUAAAUUGUUAUUUUAUGUUCUAUGUUAUCAUUCCAUUUCACUUCAUCACUUUGAAAUUAAGUUGCCUUCAAUUUGUGUUUACCCAUAAUAAACCGUUCUAUUUUGUCACAAAUAAAACAAAUGCACCUCGUUCAAGCAUUGUACUCGCAAUUAUUCAAAAAAGAGAAAAAUUUUAAAAUAAGGCAAUAUUUCGCAUUUUGGAGAUUCGAGAAAUUGUACCCUAACUUACGAGGUUUCAAUUUUCUCAUUGAACCUAAAUAGCAAAAUAUCUUUCUAAUUUUCAAAAUUUACGAAAUUCCAAUAAAGUUAAAGGCUAGCUUAUUCUCGAGGGUUUCAAGUGUCGUGUCCUAACUUACGGGAUGUGACAUUUAUUAUCUCGAGACGAGAGGAUCUUUGACAUUCGUUUCGAUUUAUUCAAGCAAAUUCUUUUAAAUUAAAAUAGCGUUAACAAAAGGGGGAUUGUGUUUUAAAUUCUUUCAAAGUUUUUCAAUUUUUAAUAUUUAGACAUUAAUUAAUCAAUUGGGUACCAAUUUUGGGCGUGACGAGGGUGCUAAUCCUUCCUCGCAUGUAAUUGACUCCUGAAUCCGUUUUCUCAAAUUUCGUAGACCAAAAUCACUGUUUUGAUAAAUUAAAAUAUUUUAUUAAAACAACUAAAUUAUGAGAUGACCUAAUCACAUCUCAUAAAAAAAUGGAUUGGUAGCGACUCUCGUUUAAAUUUCCGUUUUCAAACCAACAUCGACCCUUUUAAAAAAAAUGGUUUCAAUAUUAAGUUAUAAGUUGAAUGAAUUAAAAAUAUGUGAAAAGUGUAAAUAAAGACUCUUCAAUCUCAUUUCCUCUAAUGCUCUUUUUUUUUUAAUCAGAGAAGUUGUAAUUGAUUGGAAUGAAAUUAAUAAUCGCCUUAUUAUUUCACUUUUUUUCUUCAUAUGUUUGGCGUCAGUAUGAUACAGGUUGGACUGAUCUUAAAGUUGAAGUAAAACGAUAUCAAACAAAAACCAUUCUGGUUUUUAAAAUUAUGAGUCCAAAUCAAUCCAAUUAGUUUAACUAGAUUUUAAUGUCUUAUGUGUUAUGAUGAUGAAGCAAGUUGAUCAAGGGACUUGCUUCAUCUUUCAAAAUAUGAGUUGCUUAAGAGCCCUGUUUGACGCUUUUUUUUUUCUUAAAUUACAAACGAAAAGGUAUUUUUUUAAAAAAAAUUAACUUAAUGAAUUUUUUAUAGAUAUAAAUUUCCUGCAAAGUUAUUCUUUUUUAAAAAAUAUUUUUUUAAUUUUUUAUAUACCUUUUAAAUAGUUAAUGAAAAUAAGAGUUUUCAUUUCGAAAUGCAAAAGCCAAAAAUAGUUUUUGACUACAAAAGCUGUGUGUUCUUCAUCACUUCUGCAGUGGAAAAACACUUCUGCAGUGUAAAAACACUUUUAACCCAAAACGGGUUUUCACCUAAGUAGAGAAUCCACCCUAAAAUUGUAAAUAGAAAAAGGAAGGACCAAACAUUGUUUCUACCCUGUUUUUGUCUCCUCUUUGAAAAUACUUUCCAAAAAGUUUUAUCAUUUUCUUUUUAUUAAGUUUUCUGUUGGAUCUUAUAGUCAAAUUCCUUUACAUCAUGUACGUUAAUUUGCUUCGCUCUGAUAAAUGUUACAUAUAGGGUUAUCAGCUAAUUAGGAAAGACUGAUGAUAGUCACACCUUACAUCCAAAAGCAAAGCUUUUUUCACAUGUGUAUGUAAGGUUGCUAAGCAAAUCUGAUGAGCCUUCACUGAUGUUUUAAGGUUUAAGUUGAUGUUCUGUUGGUGCAACAACAGAAUCAAGCAAACUCAGCAAGUAUCUUGUCGAGCAAGCCUCGAAACUUGCUGAGCAAACAAACAAUUUCGAGUUAAAGAAAGAAGAGAAUAAGCUGGGGAAAUUUGAGAGAAUAAUAUUGAUGAACAAAACUGAUUUCAUUCAUACAUAAAACAAUGGCUUGAAGCCAGUACAUAACUCAAGCAUAAGGCUUGUCAAAAUCAACAAGUAAUUACCUACCUCCACUAAUUACAUAGAAACUUGAAAUCUUAGCUUGUAAACUUAUACAAAACUGUGUUUACAGCUCAUACAUAAGCUAAUUACAUCAAUCAGAAAGCUAACUUAGUUAGAAAUGAACUAACACUCAUUUCAUCAACUAAAUAUAACAAAAUGAACAAAAUGAGCUUGCACCAGCAGCCCUUGCAUCUGUUCCAGCUUUGCUUGGUCUUCAUGGCCUGUAUGGAAUCGAGUGUUGGCUUCAUGCUGACCAACUUCAACACUCCUCCUUGGUUAGCAUGGUGCAAACACCUAAUUUUCUUCUUAAAUGCUCAAACCUUGUGACAUUAAGGGCUUUAGUCAAAAUGUCUGCAAGCUGGUCCUCUGAAUUGCUGUGAAUUAGCUUCACUUCCUGAGCUUGCUCCAUUUCUCGAACAACAUAUAGCUUAAUGCUAAAAUGCUUUGUUCUUCCAUGGAACACAGGAUUUUUGGCAAUUGCAACAGUAGAUUGAUUGUCACAGAAGAUCUCUGUUGCUUCCCUUUGAUCCAUAUUCAAAUCAGCCAGGAUUUUCCUAAGCCAAAUGGCUUGGUUGACAGCACUUGCUACUGCCACAUACUCUGCUUCAGCAGUAGAUUGUGCCACCAGACUUUGCUUCUUCGAGCUCCAGCAGAACAUAGCUGAACCAAGGUUGAAAGCAUACCCUGAGGUGCUUUUCAUGUCAUCUAUCGAUCCAGCCCAGUCACUAUCAGUGUACCCAACUAGAUUUAGAUUUCCUUUCCUGCUGUACCUUAAGCCAUAGUCCAAAGUGCCUUUGACAUAUCUGAGCACUCUCUUGGCAGCCUGGAAAUGCUUCUCAUUGCAACAAUGCAAGAACCUUGAGAGCAAUCCUACAGCAUACAUUAUGUCUGGUCUAGUGGCAGUCAAGUAUAGCAAACAACCAACUAGACUCCUGUAGGUAGUUUCACAUACCUUCUCAAAAUCUCCUUGGCUCGAUAGUUUUUCUCCAACAGCAACAGGUGUUUUAGUUGGUUUGCAGUUUUGCAUGGAGAACUUGGUCAGAAUCUUUGUGGCAAAGCUCUUCUGACUUAAAAAUAUCCCAUUCUGUGCUUGAGUCACCUCCAUUCUAAGAAAAUAGGACAUCUCCCCAAGAUCAGACAUUUCAAACACCUCUUGCAUCUUGGUCUUGAAAUUAACCAGCACUGCUUGAUCUCCUCCUGUCACCAGCAGGUCAUCAACAUAUAGGGACACAAUGAGUUGUGUUUGUGUCCCUUGCUUCUUGACAUACAGUGUUGGCUCACUCUUGCUUCGAUUGAAUCCCAGAUCAGUCAAGUAGCCAUCGAUUCUGCUGUACCAGGCCCUUGGAGCCUGUUUUAAGCCAUAUAGGGCCUUCUUCAAUUUGUAGACCAUAUGCUCUCUGCCAGCUAUUUCAAACCCUUGUGGUUGUUCAACAUAGAUGUCUUCAUCUAAGAAACCAUUCAGAAAGGCUGAUUUCACAUCAAGUUGAUGGAUCUUCCAUUCGAGCUGUGCUGCUAAGGCAAUCAGCAGUCUGAUGGUGUCGAGCCUGGCCACUGGUGCAAAGGUCUCCAAGUAGUCCAAGCCAUACCUCUGACUGAACCCCUUGACCACUAGCCUUGCUUUUAGCUUGUUCAAGGUACCAUCAGCAUUCUGCUUGGCUUUGUACACCCAUUUCACCCCAAUCACCUUCCUUUUGACUGGCCUUUCAACCAAUUUCCAGGUCUGGUUCUUCUCAAUCAUGCUGAUCUCCUCAGCCAUUGCCUGCUUCCACCCUUGUUGAGCCUCAGCCUCUUCAAAGUUGCUUGGUUCAGCUAUGGCUACAUGAGCCCUUUCAUAAACCUCAGCCAAUGACCUUGUUCCUCUGACUGGUUCAUCAUCAAUAUCCAUUUCAGGGACAUUUUGGUCUGGCUCAGCUUGGUCUACUGCAAGUUCUUCAGAAACUUCUUCAGGUUCAUGUCUUUCCCAGUUCCAACAUGACCUCUCAUCAAAUACCACAUCCCUGCUUAUUGACACUUUGUUUGUUGAAGGAUCUAAAAUCCUAUAGCCCUUCUUAACAGUGCUAUACCCCACCAAAACACCAGGUCGAGCCCUUUCAGACAAUUUGUCCCUUUUAACAGCAGGUACAUGUGCAUAACAGAUGCAUCCAAAGACCUUCAGAUGAGCCAAUGAUGGCUUGAAGCUAAACCAGGCCUCGAAUGGGGUCUUUUGAUCCAAAGCCUUGGUUGGAAGUCUAUUUUGAAUGUAUGUUGCAGUGUUAACUGCUUCUGCCCAUAGUGCUUUAGGCAGAUUUUUCUGAAUCAUCAAGCACCUGGCCAUAUCCAUCAAACUCCUAUUCUUCCUUUCACUUACCCCAUUCUGCUGAGGUGUAUAUGUGUUGGUAAGUUGAUGUUUGAUGCCUGCCUUAUCACAGAAGGCUUGGAACUGAGCUGAGGUGUACUCAGUCCCAUUAUCAGACCUUAUGGUCUUCAGUUUGCAGCCUGUUUCAGUCUCAGAAGCAGUCUUGAACUUCCAAAACACUGAGGCCACUUCUGAUUUCUGUUUUAAAAAGUAAAUCCAGCAAUAUCUCGAGAAAUCAUCAAUGAACAGUAUGAAAUACCUGUUUCCACUUAAUGACUCAGUCUUCAUAGGGCCACACACAUCAGUAUGCACCAGUUGGAGUUUUUCAGAGGCUCUUCAGGCUUGAUUCGAGGGAAAAGGGAGUCUGGCCUGCUUUCCUAGCUGACAAACAUCACAUACAUCAUCAUGGUCCACUGAGUUGAUGAAAUUUUCAGCCAGGUCCUCUCUGACCAUUCGAGCCAUCGAUCUGAAGUUGGCAUGUCCCAGUCUUUGAUGCCACAGCUUGGAUUCAUCUGAAGUGGCUGUGUAGGCAAUGUCUGACUUUUUUGUCCAGUCAACCACAAAGCUCUUAUCAGCCAUAGGGACUGCCAUCAGUUUGGAUCCACUUGGAUCACUGAUUUGGCACUGGUGGUCUUUAAACACAACUGAAUAACCUUUUUCCAGCAACUGAGCUAUGCUGAGGAGGUUUCUGUCAAUUUCAGGCACCAACAGCACAUUUGAAAUCACUUUGGUACCUGUAAUGGUGCAUAUCAGCACAUCACCCUUGCCUUCAGCUUGAAUAAAAUGACCAUUUCCUAUUUUGACUUUAGUUCUGCAGCUUCUGUCUAAAGACUUGAAGAUUGCAGCAUCAGGUGUCAUGUGGUUGGUGCAUCCACUGUCUAGGAGCCAACCAGAUGAGAGCCUUUCCUGAGCAGCUGAGCAUGACACAGCAAAGACUUGCUCCUCUUGGUCACUGUCCUCCUUAGCUACUCGAGCCUCAGCUUUCAUCUGUUGAAACUGAUUUUGCCUCGAUUUGGUCUUACUCUUACAGACUCUCUCAACAUGACCCUUCUUCUUACAAUGCUGACACACAGCAUCUGGAUUGAACCAGCAUUUUUCUUCUGAAUGACCAGCCUUUCUGCAGUGCUUGCAAGUCUGACCUUCUCUCCUUGCAGCAUCAUUCUUUGGCUUGUCUCUCCAGGCCUUCUUGCCUUUGUAGGCAGUAUUUGUUCUUGCCUGAAAGGCACCUUCUUGGUGCUCCUCCAGUCUGCUUGCUCUCCUCUGCUCUUGAGCAUAUAGAGCAUUGAUCAACUCUGUCAGGGAGAUGGUGGACAGAUCCCUUGAGUCCUCGAGAGAUGAGAUUUUUGCCUCAUACCUCUCAGGCAGAGUUGCUAUAACCUUCUCCACUAUCCUAGCUUCAUUGAACUGCUCUCCAAGGAGCCUGAUGCUGUUAACCACAGCCAUAAUCCUGUCAGAAUAUUGCUUGACAGUUUCUUCUUCCUUCAUCUUCAAAUUCUUGAAAUCUCUCCUCAAGUUUAACAACUGUUUCUGCCUUGUCCUCUCUGUCCCUUGAAACUCUUCCUGCAACUUGUCCCAGGCCUGUUUUGGUGAUUCACAGGCCAUAAUCCUUGUGAAAAUCACAUCAGACACUGAGUUUUGGAUGCAAGACAUAGCUUUGUGCCUCUUGGUCCUUUCAUCAGCAUGCUGCCUGAUCUGAGCCACUGUUGGAUUAGCUCUAAGUGGCUCUGGUUCAACAUCAAAGUUGACCACCUCCCACAGAUCGAAAGCCUGCAGGUAGGUCUUCAUUUUGACCACCCAUAUGUGAUAGCCUUCUCCAUUGAAGACUUGAGGUGCAGCUGGUGAAAAGCUUGAUGAAGCCAUGGAAUUGAGUAACAGAUCCCUUAAGAAAUAGGCUCUAGAUACCAAUUGUUGGUGCAACAACAGAAUCAAGCAAACUCAGCAAGUAUCUUGUCGAGCAAGCCUCGAAACUUGCUGAGCAAACAAACAAUUUCAAGUUAAAGAAAGAAGAGAAUAAGCUGGGGAAAUUUGAGAGAAUAAUAUUGAUGAACAAAACUGAUUUCAUUCAUACAUAAAACAAUGGCUUGAAGCCAGUACAUAACUCAAGCAUAAGGCUUGUCAAAAUCAACAAGUAAUUACCUACCUCCACUAAUUACAUAGAAACUUGAAAUCUUAGCUUGUAAACUUAUACAAAACUGUGUUUACAGCUCAUACAUAAGCUAAUUACAUCAAUCAGAAAGCUAACUUAGUUAGAAAUGAACUAACACUCAUUUCAUCAACUAAAUAUAACAAAAUGAACAAAAUGAGCUUGCAUCAGCAGCCCUUGCAUCUGUUCCAGCUUUGCUUGGUCUUCAUGGCCUGUAUGGAAUCGAGUGUUGGCUUCAUGCUGACCAACUUCAACAUGUUCCUUUUCGGCAAAGAACAUUAUCGAGAUCACAGAAUUUUGAUCGCCUUUUGCUUGUUAUGUUAUUCGUUCUUAAACGAUUGCAUAAUCUUUACUGUGAUUGCAGGAUAUAGAGGAACUUUUGAAUUUCAUCGGUGUAACGAGUUUAGGACCUUGGCAUGUUCUUGCAAAUUUGAAGGAGCUUCUAAGGUCUGUCCAGUCUUCAGAAUAUAUAGAUACCUGAAUUAAUUUUGAUUUUGUAGGAUCAACUAUAAUUAGCUACUUAUUACAGUAUGAAUAGACAACCUGACCUUCUUCACACACGACACAUGUGCGGAUUUUUUUACCAAUCCCAUUUCAUUAAAGAAAAAAAAGAGCUUUAAAAAAGGAUCACACUUUUUUGUUGUUUACAGAAUCAUAAUGUUAAUUAGAGUGGAAUAUUUCAGAUUUCUGAUAAUGAGUAUAUUAUUGAGUAUUGCAGUAAAAAAAUGGGUGUGCAACUUAUUUGAACUUUGAAUGUAUGUUUUGUUGGUGAGAAUAUAAAGUUGAUAAAGAUUUGGUAAAUAGAAUAAAAUACUAUUUUUUAUUAGAAAAAAUAUUUGGUACACUGCCAAUCGAGUUAUAAUUAUCAUGACACAAUAUUAAGGGUAAUUAAAACAUGUCAUAUUACAAAUAAUAAAAUUAUAAUGACUCAAAUCUGCAAACAUGUCAAAAUUUACGUACAAUGAAUUAUUAACAUGUAAAUGUAUAAUAUGGUAUGCAAAAAUAAGAUCAUUGCUUGUUUUUUAAAUUGAAUUGUUAUAACAUAUUGUACAAAAUACAUUGUGAAUUAAGGCAUUCUAUGAACAUGAUAUCAAAAUAUUAAAUUUUUUUAAAAUUCGAUGAUAUGAAUAAUUAUGUAAAAUAUAACAUGAUACAAAAUAACUUGAAAGGAAAAGAGGAAUAAAGAAUUGCAUUGUUUUUGAGGUUUUAAAAUAUUUCAGUUUUAGAUUCAUUUUUCUAGUAUGUUUGGUUUAAUUUUACAUUAGAUUUCCUUUACAGUAUGCACUAGUGAACGCUUAGUAUUCAAUUUAAUUUAAUUCAAAGAGAUAUUGCAUAUACAUAAUAAUGGAUUAUGAUUUUACAUUAAAUUUCAUAGAAGAAAAAAGAAAUAGAUGGUUGAAAAUGAUAAAAUCAUAAGAUAAAAGAGCUUUUAUUUAAAAUUCAAAAAUCAACAAAAUAUUCAUUAUCGCUCAACUUAGCAUAAUUAAACAUUUAGGUGUGAAAAUCAAAUUACAAUUUGAGUAGCUAAACACAUUGCUUGAAAAUGUGAUAAGUAAGAAAAUUGCCCACAUUUGAGUAGCGACAGGUGGUGAUGCAUUUCCCAAUGAGAGAAAACCAAACUCUUCGCCAGUAUGGAUUUAUGUAGAGGACAACAAAAAUUGUCAACAACACAACUACAUAAGAAACCAAAAAGCUCACACAAAAAUCAUAAGUACCUAUCAAACCAUCUUCUCCUUUAUCUUCUGAUACAGUUGAUAUCGUUGAUGGUGAAUCGGUUUUGGAACAACUUUUAUGCAAUAUAGCUCCACAAAGAAAAAGAUUUCCCUCAUAACUGUUUUCAAUAAAGGUCCCAAAUUGAGCUUUUGGUUCGGGAAUACUACCUGACAAGUUGUUGUAUGCCACGCUGAAAACCUCCAAAGAGUUCAACUCUACCAACUGGUUGGGGAUUUCACCACUCAAAUUGUUGUAAGAAAGGUCCAAACUCUCAAUUUGAUGAAGUUUUGCGAAUGAUGAGGGUAUAACUCCUGUCAACUUAUUAUGCGACAAGU